CACUCGGUUCAUCCAUAACCCUGAAUCGUAGAACGAUUCAACCGGACCCUGGAAAGAGAAAAUGUGAAUGUUACAAAAUAGAUUAGUACAAGAGGUGAGUAUCGACUGUGUAAUCAUGUAUUGCUACAACAUAAUUGCCUCGCAAGGUUUUGGAGGAAACGAGCAGGGGACUUCCGUGCCCUUAGGAGAGCUAUGCUAGCUUCUCCUCUCAUUUCAGCUGGCUGNNNNNNNNNNNNNNNNNNNNNNNNNNNNNNNNNNNNNNNNNNNNNNNNNNNNNNNNNNNNNNNNNNNNNNNNNNNNNNNNNNNNNNNNNNNNNNNNNNNNNNNNNNNNNNNNNNNNNNNNNNNNNNNNNNNNNNNNNNNNNNNNNNNNNNNNNNNNNNNNNNNNNNNNNNNNNNNNNNNNNNNNNNNNNNNNNNNNNNNNNNNNNNNNNNNNNNNNNNNNNNNNNNNNNNNNNNNNNNNNNNNNNNNNNNNNNNNNNNNNNNNNNNNNNNNNNNNNNNNNNNNNNNNNNNNNNNNNNNNNNNNNNNNNNNNNNNNNNNNNNNNNNNNNNNNNNNNNNNNNNNNNNNNNNNNNNNNNNNNNNNNNNNNNNNNNNNNNNNNNNNNNNNNNNNNNNNNNNNNNNNNNNNNNNNNNNNNNNNNNNNNNNNNNNNNNNNNNNNNNNNNNNNNNNNNNNNNNNNNNNNNNNNNNNNNNNNNNNNNNNNNNNNNNNNNNNNNNNNNNNNNNNNNNNNNNNNNNNNNNNNNNNNNNNNNNNNNNNNNNNNNNNNNNNNNNNNNNNNNNNNNNNNNNNNNNNNNNNNNNNNNNNNNNNNNNNNNNNNNNNNNNNNNNNNNNNNNNNNNNNNNNNNNNNNNNNNNNNNNNNNNNNNNNNNNNNNNNNNNNNNNNNNNNNNNNNNNNNNNNNNNNNNNNNNNNNNNNNNNNNNNNNNNNNNNNNNNNNNNNNNNNNNNNNNNNNNNNNNNNNNNNNNNNNNNNNNNNNNNNNNNNNNNNNNNNNNNNNNNNNNNNNNNNNNNNNNNNNNNNNNNNNNNNNNNNNNNNNNNNNNNNNNNNNNNNNNNNNNNNNNNNNNNNNNNNNNNNNNNNNNNNNNNNNNNNNNNNNNNNNNNNNNNNNNNNNNNNNNNNNNNNNNNNNNNNNNNNNNNNNNNNNNNNNNNNNNNNNNNNNNNNNNNNNNNNNNNNNNNNNNNNNNNNNNNNNNNNNNNNNNNNNNNNNNNNNNNNNNNNNNNNNNNNNNNNNNNNNNNNNNNNNNNNNNNNNNNNNNNNNNNNNNNNNNNNNNNNNNNNNNNNNNNNNNNNNNNNNNNNNNNNNNNNNNNNNNNNNNNNNNNNNNNNNNNNNNNNNNNNNNNNNNNNNNNNNNNNNNNNNNNNNNNNNNNNNNNNNNNNNNNNNNNNNNNNNNNNNNNNNNNNNNNNNNNNNNNNNNNNNNNNNNNNNNNNNNNNNNNNNNNNNNNNNNNNNNNNNNNNNNNNNNNNNNNNNNNNNNNNNNNNNNNNNNNNNNNNNNNNNNNNNNNNNNNNNNNNNNNNNNNNNNNNNNNNNNNNNNNNNNNNNNNNNNNNNNNNNNNNNNNNNNNNNNNNNNNNNNNNNNNNNNNNNNNNNNNNNNNNNNNNNNNNNNNNNNNNNNNNNNNNNNNNNNNNNNNNNNNNNNNNNNNNNNNNNNNNNNNNNNNNNNNNNNNNNNNNNNNNNNNNNNNNNNNNNNNNNNNNNNNNNNNNNNNNNNNNNNNNNNNNNNNNNNNNNNNNNNNNNNNNNNNNNNNNNNNNNNNNNNNNNNNNNNNNNNNNNNNNNNNNNNNNNNNNNNNNNNNNNNNNNNNNNNNNNNNNNNNNNNNNNNNNNNNNNNNNNNNNNNNNNNNNNNNNNNNNNNNNNNNNNNNNNNNNNNNNNNNNNNNNNNNNNNNNNNNNNNNNNNNNNNNNNNNNNNNNNNNNNNNNNNNNNNNNNNNNNNNNNNNNNNNNNNNNNNNNNNNNNNNNNNNNNNNNNNNNNNNNNNNNNNNNNNNNNNNNNNNNNNNNNNNNNNNNNNNNNNNNNNNNNNNNNNNNNNGUGGAGCGUCAUCGUAAGAAUAGGAGAUGUCACCACACUAUCGGCAAUUCGCAAAUGCGAGUUUCAGCAACGGGUAAUGUUUGCAUAUGCACUGAAGAACAAUCUAAACAUGGUGAAGUUUGUUGUCUAAGUUGGAGUGAUGAAUUAGCCCGACCAACAAUAUAGUUGUGUAAAUGUUAACGACAUGCCAUGCCUUACCGCGUGUGCUCAUGCAAAACCAUCAAUUGGUCUUCAUUGAGAGCCAGAUGUUAAAUGAGUAGUUGACUCCGCAGCAACCCGUAUACAUGGACAGUAAGAGAUUUGAAUGCUCUAAUAGAUAAAUCUAAAUGCUCAAACUGUAAGAGAUAUCUGUCAACUUACUUGCCGGUCAAAAUCAAUGGUGUGAAUGGAGAAAACUUCAUUGGCUAUUUGAAUGUCUUUACUGAUUAAACCAUCCAAGCACCUGCUUGGUAUGCUUGCAUUUUCACUACACUCCUGGGAAUAUAAAAUUGAAAAGCAAGUCAACAUCGAGAAACCUGAACGAAUGCUAGAGAAGGAAGAUGGACAUUUUGAAGAACUAAAGUUUCAUGCAUGACCAAUGGAUCACAUCACUAAUGAACCACCUUUUCAAUACAUGUAAGAUUUGGCAUAUUUGAUGGGUGAUGAAGAUCUCACACCAUCUCUGCCUCCAAAAAGUUGUAUAUCCCGUAUUAUAUCUUUGGAUAAUUAAAAAAAAUUGUUCAUUGUCUAAAUCUGCAGUAUCACUAAUAAUCCAUCGAGCCAAGAUUCAACCUUGCUGUGCACCUAAAAAAAGGCAGGAGUAACCCUUGACAAAAUUGGAAAUGAGAUAUUAAUGGCUCCAUAUCAGAAUACAAGUUAGAUAUGUUCUCGCUGAAAUUUUUUGCAGGAAAAACUGCUCCCACUCUGCACUACUUACUAUGCGAAGUUUAACAUAAGUCUCUCUUUUCCACUAAAAAAGUAGCAAGUUUGGUUACUUAGUAACUACUUUAUCCAAUAUAUGUAAGACUUUGAUUUCGAAUUUUGGGUUUCAUCCAAGACCUUUUUGGCCAGUAAAGGGCAGAGCAAAUGGAUUCUGUUGCAGAAAGAUUCAUGUGAACUCUGCUGACCAAAGUUGCACAGAGCAAUUAGGGAAGACAAACAUCGUGCAAGGUUGAGGAGGAAAUGGAUUGAUGCUGCUUUCACAUCCAGCAUCAUUCUAAAGAAAUACGGAGAACCAGAUGAAAAUGCAGAAAAAGAAAAAGAAAGUGAUGCGGAUUCAAAGAAAGGGACGUAUGAAUUUAAAGGCAAAGGUGAGCUGCCACAAAGAUUGCAUCUUCUGAGGAACACUUUUUUUUAGACAAUUUUAUGUAAGUUUUUGUAUUAUAUGAACUAGACCAGAUUAUUUGGCACAUUCAAUGUUUCAAAUUUAUCGUAUCCUUUACAAUAUUGAAAAGGUAAAGUAAUUAUUAAUUUCAAGCAUGUCUAUGAAUGCAUAAAUCUAAGUGGUGAUAGUAUUUUACAGAAGAUAAUAUAUUUCCUUUCUCCCUCCACAUACGUUCCCUGCAUAGCGUAUCUGCUUUUCUGCAGACUCAAAUCAUUAAAAUGUUAUAUCAUUAACCUAUUAAUUAUAUGUGUUAAUCAUCUCUUUUACUGCUAGGAUAUAGAAAAAUUGCCAUGCAUGCAUGUAUUAUGUUGCAUGGUCUAAUAUAACUAAUCUGACAUAUAAAGUUUCCAUGGCUUAGGACACCCAUAGAAAUCAGCACCUCUCAGUAAAUUCGAAGCCAGGGAUUCUAGUCUAUGCUUCGAUUUUUUAAUAAAAACCAGGGCACUAAGUAUCAAACCAAGUAAGUACAGGUAAAACUUUCUUCUCUAGGUGAUUGGGAAGUCGACUCCUCACACAUCCCAUACAUGUUGAACUUUUUCUCCUCUAAGAGGAAGUAAAUGAAUCCUUACGAGGCAGCAGUAGGCAAUGCAGAUUUUUCUUCAGUGACAGAGUUAAAACCAGGUACCUCCUCCUCUUCCUCGUGUUCUUGCUCAAAAUCUUCUUCUCCUUCAUCAUCAUCUUCGCCAAACCACACCUCGGAUACAGAUAAAGCUUGCAGCCUACGGUGGUCACCAUCUUUCAUAGCCUCAAUUAAAGCAUCCAUUAACACAGGUUCAACUUCUCGCAGGCUCGCAGCAACUUCCCUAACAAAUAUGAUUCAUUAAGGAAGUUUACAUUGGAUAUUAUGGACUCGUGAGGCAUCAAUGAAUCAAUGAAUCAUUGAAUCAACACCUCUCGUGCGUAUUUUGUAAAAUAAAACUAAAGUAAAAUACCUUAGCAAAAAAAAAAAAAAAACUAAAUAAAACUGAAGAGAAAAAAAGCCAAGGACAUUUGUGUUCCAUCUGGAAAUGAAAAAAAGCAUUCAGCAAGCAAAAUCUCAGAUUUUUUGCACAGCUUGAGCAUUCAUGUACGCCUCUCACGAGCACAUCAUUAGCAAUUACUUAUCAUUCAUCAAUUUAUGCUCAAGGAACUAUACUGCAAUUAUCAUCCAAGCAUUUCAAAAGUACAAGCUGACAUACUCACACACAAUCUAAAGGGGGUGAAAAGGGGGCAGUCAAAAAAGAGCUUCUUAUCUUAAGAACUAUUUUUUUGGGCAAGAACUCAUCGUGCAAUGGCCAAGCAUAGCAAAGAAGAUACCAGGUGAACCGGCAAAGAAAGGCAAAAAGAUUCUCACGAACACACACAUCCACACUCACAAAAACAUGAAUAAAACUUGACAGUACCAAUGAAAUUGAACUGCCUUCGCUUUCCUUCUCGAACAUCCGGUCCCCGUCUCUGCGACAAAUCGACAAACAUCUCAACGGCAUUAACAAGUAACAACUCGGACCAAAAGCCUCACCAGAAACAGCCACGCAUUGGAGAAGCAUCACCUUCGCAAGCAUCCGAGCGUCCAACGCCGCUUGCUCUCCAGAAAAGCCACUCUGCAAUCUCCCUUUUAAAAGGAAAGGAUAAUGAAUCUACAGCGCUACGUUAUUGAACAUCAUUAUAUACACAUCAUUUUUUCAUCCCAGCAGUAUCUGAGGAAGCGCUUGAUUUGGGGAUGGGAAAAGGAAGCGAGCUCCACGCCUUCUUCUGGUUGAGGCUCUUCUGGGCGUCGGAGUCGCUGCCGACAUCUUCUCGGGGAAUCGUACGGCGGCGGGCGGUUGGAGAAUCUGAGCCCGCGCGGCCGGUGAUGGACCUCGCGGUUACACCGUCUGGAACAGAAAACGUUGAGGAUGCGACGUUGUUCAAAAGGGCGAAAGAGAUAUCUGUAGUGGAUAAUGGCUCUCGCUUCAUUUCCCUCUUUUUUGGCUCUCUUUUUUUUUUUUCAACUGAGCGCUUGACAAAUUUCAUUAUUCAUCUUUUCAAUUCAACUCAUAUUCAAUUACACCACCAUACAAAACGAGAAGACAUUAGAAACAAGCCAUUCAUGAGGGAAAUGACAUUUGAAGCCAAUUGGGUGACAUAUUUAUUUAUUGAAUCUACAUUACACACUUUAAAGAGACUAUUCCUUAACAAUUUCACUGUCCAUGAAACUUGAUGGCCUUCCACUUUGGCUUCUCCAUCCACUGGGCUGCGCUUCUCUCCAACAUUCUCACGCCUUGCGCGAGCCAUUCCGGCCUUCCUAUUUCAAAUGCAAUGUAUGCUAUGGAGAUCCCAAUGACAAUUCCAGAGGCAUAACCAAUCCACACUUCUUUCUUUUUGAACCAACUCUCAUGCCUUUCACAAUCGAAAUGUGUCAAGGAUGAUGGUGGAGGAGGUUGAGCAUCACCAGGGCAUGCUUUCAACAAUGGAGUUCCACAUAAGCUUGGAUUCUCACUAAACGAGUCGUUUGAAAAUGUGCUCAGUUGCCUGUCUUGAGGAAUUCGACCAAUGAGUUGGUUCUUCGAGAGAUUUAAGUACCCAAGGGAUGCCAAAUCUCCCAAUACUCUAGGAAUUUCCCCACUAAGCAUGUUCGAAGAUAGAUCGAGCCAUCCAAGAUUAGUCAAGUUUCCUAAAGUCAAAGGGAUGGAACCAAUAAGGUGGUUGUACGAAAGGUUGAGCCCUACAAGGGAGUGAAGAUGGCCAAAAGCUUCAGGAAUGUCUCCUUGGAAAGAGUUUUGUGACAAGUCAAUAGUUGUGAAGAUGGUCAAGAUCUUCACUAACUUUAUCUCUUGCCCUUUCAUCAUCACGGUCACAGUAUUUUCAUAUGGUGUUAUCCCGUAGGGAGGGGUAAAUCAUGUCAUAUACAAUGGUUCAUCUUCCCCAACUUCUCUAUUCUUCAUGCCUCUAAGGUUCAUUAUCAAGUUGGCUGAUAAAGGACCACUGAAGUUGUUGUUGGAGAGAUCCAAAAUGCGUAACUUCGGAAAGAUGAGAUCUCCCUUUGGAAUAUUCAAAAGACCCUUGAAAUUGUUGGACCUCAAAAUGAGAACUUUUAGUUCUGGGAGUUCUCCUAACCAUCUCGGGAAUGUAUCCUCUAUCUGAUUGCUACUAAGAUCCAAAACUUGCAGAUAUGUACAAUUGACAAGUGACCGGGGCAACGUGCCUUCAAACCGAUUUCGACUCAAAUCAAGAGUCAACAAUCCACCUAUCAAAGAAAUUGAUUGUGGAAUUGUGCCCUCGAGUUGAUUCAUUCCCAAGUUCAAAAUCGAGAGAAAAAUGUUCUCAUUUGUUAAGCACCGAGGAAAGCUACCUGUUAAGCUGUUGUUAGACAAGUUGAUCGUCUGGAGAUAGGUGGCAUUGCAUAUCAAAGAAUGAAUCUUUCCUGUUAUAAUAUUAUUUGCAAUGGAAUAAUACGUUGUGACGGGAGAUGGAAGUGGGAUUGGCCCUUCAAAUUUGUUGUUGGACAAAUCUAUUACACCUAAUGAGGUGUUGGAGAAAACCUUUGUAGGCCACCGUCCAAUAAAGUUGUUGUUGGAAAUAGAUAAAUAUCCAAGAGCUAGGAAGGAGAGUUCGAAGGCAGUGAGGUUGAUCAUACCAUGAAAUCUAUUGGAUUGCAAAUCAAGGUGAUAUAGUUGCGGUGCUUUCAGCCAAUGUGGGAAUAUAUCAUUAAACUCGUUGUGAUUGAGAACUAGCCCCAAUAAGUUUUUCCAUUUGACUAGGGAGCGUGGUAAUGGCCCUUGCAAUUUAUUGUUGCUCAAGUCUAGAACCUCAAGAUUGGUUAUAUUACCAAAACUAGGGGGAAUAUUCCCUAAGAGACUAUUGUUAGACAAAUCUAAAAUCAAGAGUUUGGAUAUAUUACCAAAACAUGGGGGCACAGCCCCCAAGAGAUUGUUGCUCGAUAAAUUUAAUUCCAAAAGGGAACUCAACUGACAAAUCGAAGAGGGGAUCUCACCAGUGAAAUUAUUGUUCAUGGCAUAAAAGUAACGAGUAGAAGGUGAAGGGAUCGGGAGUGGUCCUUGGAAUGAGUUGUUCUGGAGGUCAAUAUACGACAAUUGCUUCCAAUGCAAUUGGUGUAUACCUCCCUCUAGAUGAUUAUUAGAAAGAUCUAAACAUGUAAAUGUAUGAUGGCUUAUUCCCCAAAACCACCUUGGGAUCUCCCCACUAAUCUCAUUGAAAGAGAGGUCUAAGUCUGUUAGGCUUUCUAACGAAUUCAAGAAAUAAGGAAACUUGUUCAAGUUGCAAUAUGAUAUCGUCAACACUUGAAGCUUUGGGAGAAGGAGGUAACUAUUGGAAUAGAGAGUGACAUGAAACUGAACAGAGGAAAACUCAAGACCAAUGACAUUACCUGUGACAUUAUCGCAAGUGACCCCAUUCCAAGAGCAACAAUCUAUGCUCUUGUUCCAUUCCAAUGUGCAUUUAGACUGUAGAUAAGGAUAACAAUAAGUUUUAUUAAGGUAGAAGGAAUUCUUAAAAUUGAGUAAGGCAUCACGUUGGUUAGGAGGGCAAAGGAAGGAGGCAGAGAGAAGAUGGAAAUUUAAGAAAAACAGGAAAUAGAAGAGGUCGAGGAUUUGAUGCCACCCCAUUGUGCAAUUUAGCAUGCGAGUGAGUUUAUUGGUGGUGGGGAGUGCUUCAACUUAUACAGCCCUUCUCAAGUGUGAAGUCAUUGAAACGAGUCUUCUCUAAGGUCCAUUGGUGGGCUCACAUGUGUCAUCUAUUUUAAAAGCUUUGUUGGUUGGCAUACGAGAAAUUUCAUGUAAGAUUCAGUCAGAAUGAUGUCUCAUUUUCUCAUGGUCAAGGAAGAUCAGAUUUUCUGCCAAAGUUAGUUUAGUCAUAGGUACACAAGCGUGUAAAACAAAUAUUCAAGUUAAAAAAAAAAAAAAUUCCUUUCCUAGACACAUAUACUUUACACUAUUCGUUCCUUCUAUAUCAAUCAUGAUAAGGAUGGACAGAAAGAAACAUUAACAGGGAGUGAUAUUUGACACAAGCUUUGUGACCCCGACCCUCAGGUUGUACACUACAUCCUAAAGAUAAACACAAAAAGAAAUAGAAUUUAAACGGAGUUGUUCUCCUUACGGUGAUAGGCUACCUAAUUAAUUGACAACCCGCAACAACGGGAAAGCCUCCAAUAUUUUCGUCAGACAUAGGAGCAAAUAAAACCUAAAAAAGUUAUUUGACACUUCAUGCCAGAGACAAUCCAUAUGCAUAUUUGGAUCGCGUCUAAACAUGUAUAAUACACGAGUCCUUAGAGACCACAUCAUAUUUCUCAAAGUUAAAUUAUUGUGGAAUUUAAUAUAAAGUGAUAAAAUAUCUUUAACUUCACUAAGUGCUUAAAAAUAGUUUAUAGCUACAAUUGUGCAGAAAGAAAAAGAAACACAGUCUGGUCGAGCACAAUAACUGUUGGCAGCGAUUCACUUAAUUAUAAAUGCUAAGAAGUCAAAGUCUUCUUGAAAUGACAUUAUUGUGAUCGCAAAAUUGUAUUUCUUGAUUGUCUUGGUGGGGUUCCUUGGGUGUGGAAAAUUCUUAGUUACUUGGGCUCUACGUAGACAUGGAGUGGACAUCUUAUCCAUUUUUCUUGAAAGACAUAUUACUCAAGUCUAUGGCGGCAUUUUCAUUUUAUAUAUAUGUGUGUGUGUGUGUGAUGCUCUGUUAUCAUAGUCCAGUAGAUAAAUGUGGAGAAUCUAUUAGGAGGAGCGCUUUCAUUUAUGAAUUUUUUUUCCAGUAAUGCAGCUUUGAAUUUGCAGAUACUUUGAAUCUCUAAUAUCUUUAAGUUUGAUAAAGUGCUUAUCAAAAAUUUUACGGCUAUUAUAGCUUAUGACAACUCUUAAAAAAAACUGUCUCGCACAACUUUUAGAUGUUAUAACUUUAAAAUAUGUAUUGCUCCAGUACCUAACUCUAAGGGUAAGACAUAAAAAUUUUAUACGAUGAUUUCGUAAAUCGUGACAUAUAUUUGAUAAUAGUAAGCACAAAAACCAAGCGGCCGUGAGGGGCGACGGUCCCCAUGCCGGUCAACCCAAGCAUACAAGAGGAUUAUCAGUUAUGGAAUCGUCUCACCUUACCCCCUGGAAAUCUGUAUUGUCAUUUCCGGGAGCCUUUUUUUUCCCCACCGCAAAGUCUAAUUCGGCUUCAAUUAUAAGGAAAAACCAAAAUGUCUCGAAUUGGCCACGCAACUUAUGAAAACCUGCGCAAAGACCCUGUGGAAAGGCCUGCAUAAUUGCUUCGGAGGCUGAGGAACUGAUGCCACCCCACAUUGCGCUUUAGCAGAUAAGUUAAUGGUGGUUGGGAUGGGGAUUCAACUUAAAGGAGAUUUUGCAAGAAUCGCAUGUUUGGAUUAUCUGCAUAAUGCUUGAGCUGCCAUGAUCCCCAGAAUAAAGACGACAAACAUCUCGUCGUGUAAACUCAAUUGUGCUAGAGUUGGUGGAAUAUGAAAACGAAGAAUCAGAUCAUCUCAACAUGAACCGGCUCUUGAUGACCCCCGCUCUCAUAUUCCAAGUCAGGAAGUUUGUUUUCCCAUGGAAAAAGUAUUCUCUGAUGUACUUUGUUCUAUUGUAGGAAAACCAAAUAAGGGCAAAAGGAAGUGGCUUUAGCAAAAGUGAGGGUUGCAUUAUUCUAGGCACUCAGGUGGUCCUUGUUCUGCUUUUUAUCAAGUAAAGUCUCCUCCCUUAUUGCUUGCCAAUAACGAAUCGCUUUUCUUAUGCUCAUACUAUUUAUCCACUUAAUUAAUUUAGUUAAGUUUCUUAACAAAUUACCGACAUAUUUUACUUUCAUCUUCAAUCAUUGAUGAGUAGAAGAGUGCAUAACUUUUAAGAUUAAGCAUCCCAUUGAUCUCUCUCUCUCUCUCUCUCUCUCUCUCUCUCUCUCUCUCACUCAUAUUUCUUUUCAUCAGGGUAAACAUAAGCAGCAUGCGAAAGUUAAUCUUAUGUACACGAUCGAUUAUAUAAUAAGAUCAUGAAGAUCAAUUGAGAAUUAGCAUGUCUAGAAUCCACAUGUGAUUUAUUUUUGUUUUUGGCUUUGACUUGACGUUUUCAAAAUCUUCCCGUGCAUGUUAUUUUGAAUAAAACUGUUCGGCAAGUUAUUUUAGAAACCGUUAUAUAGUCCGGGGAUGUAUUGCAUUUGUGUUUUAGAAAGUGUUAUAUAGUCAUUUCGUUCUCUCUUGUGAUGGGAGAGUAUGGCCUUUUUCCGGUAGUUAUAUCUUAGUCCACUGAUCAUAUAAACACAUAUUUUGAGUUAUCCACCAAAUAAUGGAGAUUACAAUUUUUUGGAUGAACAAUUAUUCAUGCUUUUUUGCAAUUUUAAGGUUUGAAUAUAAUUUAGGAUCACCAAAAUAUUAGCCUGUGAAGUAUCAAUGAUAUGUGAAUUGUUGUUUUGCUUUCAGUCCCCUCUAAUAUGUCGUUUUUGAGUUAAAAAUAUCGCAUGCAAUCAGAAGUGAGUAUUUUUCCGCCCUGGCUUCAACUAUACAAUAAUAAAUGUCUUGUUUGCAAGAUUCAAAUGAUGAGGGUAUCUGACGUAACCAAAGUACCUUUCAAGUAUGUAAUACUUAAAUAUGGUACGGUGAAAAAGAGUAUGACUGAAUGCAUAUUUAAAGAGGCAAGAAGAGGCUAGUCAAUUGAAUUUUAAAUGGCAUAAAAAAUACAAAUUUUCAAGAAUUUGAAGCUUUUUUCAUAUAAAAGCCACAUGAUGAAAUCAAAUUUUGGCAGGUUUGGAUUAAACCAGAUAAUGCGAUGCCAAACCAUCUUUUUGCUUAUCAUCUCGUAUCGAUUCCACUAGCCCAAGUAUCAGUUGAGUAAACUUACCAGAAGAAUUUCUUGUGAAAACAACUCUAUCCUUAGAAGAAUUGCGAGAAGAGUGUGUCCCACAAAGGCUGCAUGAAUCACGAGUUGAGAUUAUACUAAACAAAGACCCAUCUUUUGCUUCUUUUCAGUUGCCUCUUUUCUCCUUUGAUAAAGUCUAAUCUUGCUUUAUUUUUCAUAGUCAAGUCCGGUAAAAAGAUAAUAAUAAAGAAAGACCUGAAUGAAUGUGAAACGAACCCGCAUAAUCUUUUAAAAUUACGACAAAGUAAUCUUCACGUUCAUGCUGUUCAAACGCUAUCUUCCCUUAGCAACGGCUGGUCUUUUGAUUACUAUCACGACUAGGGGUCCAACAAGAAUAGUCUGAUACCGAGGGAGCGUUAAGGAAAACUUCCAGAGAGGCAGAUUUUAUUUGUGAUGCUUCCAGAAAGCAUAUGAAACACUGCACUGCUUUAUAUUCGAAAACAAGUCAGAUCAACAGUUACGUACAAUUAGCUCGAGCAUAAAGUCCUUGAGGAAAGGCCCGCGAAAUUGCUUGGGAGGACGAGAAUUUGACGCCACCCCAUUUUGUACUUCGGCAUGUGAGUGAAUUUAUUGGUGGUGGGGAUAAGGAAUUCAUCAUCGACUUUAGACAGACUGUCAACACAGGUCUUCUCUGAAAGAUCUGUUAGUGAGUUCGCAUGGACUUCCAACUUCUUCCUCCGUCAUCUCCAAUAAGACCACUUUAACUUGCCUUCCAGGUUGGGAGUUAAAAUUUCUUUGAAGUUUGAUAAAAUUCUUGUCAAAUAUAUUACGUAUUCGGAGACAAAGUUGGAAGUUCGUGCACAAGGCAUAUAAAUGAGAUAUCCACUAUUACCAACUUUGCUCCUUCGAAUUGGCACGACUUAAGGAGAUUUUGCAAGAAUUGCAGGUGUGAAUUAUAUGGAGAUUGGUUGCAAGCCAAAACAUCUGAUCUUGGCAGAAUUGGAAGGAAUCUCUGGCAAUUGAACUGCCAUCAUAAUUUAGUUAUUUUAUUUAAUGAAUACCACGUGAACUCAAUUGUGCUGGUCUUGGUGGAAUGUGAAAAGGAAGAAUCAGAUCAUCAUCACAUUUCCAAUGUGAACUGACUCUUGACGACCCUCGCUCUCACAUUCCAAGUUAGAAAGUUUGUUUUUACAUGGCAAAAGUAUUGUUCAACACACUUUAUUCCGUCGCACGACAAUCUAAUCAAGCGGAAAAGAAAGUGGCUUUAGAAAAAGUGUGAGGCGCUAAAUAUAUUCACUCAGGUAGUUGUUCUGCUUUUUAUUCCAUCAAUGUGCAAGUCAAGUCUCCAUGCGUACAUUGCUCUUCAUGGUCUUAACUAAAUUCUGCUAUGCAAUGUUGCACGUUGCACGUUGUAUAACUUCCAUUUGCCAUCAACAGAGAGGCAUUCUCAUUUAUUUAGGUUCAUUUAUUUUACAAAAAAUGAAUCAUUUCAAAAAUAUAUCCCUAAAAAUGAUAGAUUAUAUCGCUUGAUAUAAUUAGUCAAAAAAAGAUAUUUCCAUUAUCAACAAUAAUUUAUGUCCCAAUAUUUUCGUAGACAAUAUUAAUAAUUGACACUCAUUCAUUUUUAUGAGUGAUGUAAUCAAUCAGUUUUAGGAAAAUGUUUCUCAAAUGAUUUAUUUUCUGUGAAACAAACGGCGUCCUCCUUGCUUUUCCUUCUGAUGAUAAUCAAACUUGCGAAAUCCUCCAAGCACUCAAUUAAUUAUAAUUUGCAUUAAGCAUGAUACUCCUCUCAUUCUAUACAGAUGGUUCUACACGCAUCAUAUAAUUAUUGGUUUUCUAUAUAGAUUAGUAUGCUCAUAACAAUUACCUCACUUAAUUAAAUAACUCUUUCUCAAGUUAGGUUCUCUCUUUCUUAUCUCUCCAAUUUUUCGACUGGUCAUUUUUCUUUUCAUUAUAUCAGGGCAAACAUCGGCAGCAUAUGAAAGUUAAAUCGUAUGUAAGUGAUGGUUCAAACAUUAAGAUAAUCAGGCUCAAUUGAGGAUUACCACGUCUGCAAUCUUCACGUCAUUGAUUAUUUUUGUUUUGUGUAGUCUAGAUUAACAUUUUUGUCUUUGGCUUUGGCUUGAAGUUUUGAAAAUCUUCCCAUGCAUGUUAUUCUGAAUAAAAAUGUUUGGCAAGGUUACUUUAGAAAGUCUUAUAUAGUCUUGGGAUGUAUUGCAUUUGUGUUUGUGCGAGUGAGAGCUUCAUUUUGUUCGCUCAUUGUGAUGGGAAAGUGUGGCUUUUUAUUUUUAUUUUUUCUAUAUAGGUAUAUGUUAGUCCCUUGACGAUAUAAAUGCAUGUUUCGAAUUAUCCACCAAAUAAUAAGGAUCAGAGUCUUUUUUGGAUGAAAAAUCGGUCAUACUUUUUCAUUUGUAACUUUGAAUGUAGUUUAAAAUCACUAAAAUAUUAGCUUGCGAAGAAUCAAUCACAUACGCAUUGCUGUUAUGCUUUUUGUCACUUCAAAAUAUUUGUUUCGCGUGAAAAAUGUCGCGUGCAAGCGUAAGCAAGAUUUAUCUUAGUUUCAUCUUUAACUAUAUAUGACAGAUAAUUGAUUUGUGUGUAGCACCAAAGUGUUGAGUAUUUCUGACGUAAAUAAAGCACCUUUUGCCGAUAUAAUUCUCCAAUCUCUGAUUACAAAAUUGAUGAAACAUUAAAUUAAUUUUAAAAGAUCAUAACUGAAUACGUAGAAACAAGCGAAGUGGAUGCUCAUGAGUCGAAGAAAAAAUGGCAUAUAACAGACAAAUUUUCAAGACUCGAAGACCAUUACAUAUAACAAGCCACACAAUAAAAUCAAAUUUCAGCAGGUUUGGAUUAAACCAGAUAUUCUAAUGCCAAACCAUAUUUUUGCUUAUUUUCUCGCACCAAUUCCACAAACCCAAGUAUCAGCUGAGUAAACUCAGCAAAAGAAUUUCUUGUGAAAACAAUUCUCGUGCCAAUUCCACCAACCCAGUGUGCUUUUAUUUAGGUGCUUUCUUUUCUCUUUUGAAGAAGUCUAAUCUUGCUUUAUUUUAAGAUGGCUGACAAAAAGAAAUAAUAAAGAAAGACCUGGACGAAUUUGAUAAAUUUUUAAACCUUUGAUCCUAUAACCAAUUUCGUGUUUUAUUAGAUGUACAAAUAUAUAUAUUUGGAUAGCAGAUAUAUAUAUAUAUAUAUAUUGAUUUUGUUAUAAGUUGCGUCCUUUGAAUAAGAGAACCACCAUGCCAUUUCCCUAUUUUGGAAGGAAUCGGAGUGUGAUAUGGCUAAACUUGCUUGGAAGAACAAGUCCAUGACAAGGCCAUCGAUUCUACUCAUACCACAUUCUAGUUAUUAGUGUAACUUGACAUUUAUCGUGCACUCUGCUGCCAUUUGCAUAGAGGGCAAUGACUUGUACUGUAGUCUCUGAGAGAAUCGUACUAUUCAACAUUCCCAGAACAGCAGAUUGUGUAAGAGGAUUUGCUUCUACGUUAAAUAUAAACAAAUGAUUGAUUCAGAAAUGCAACGGCAAUAGCGAGUAGAAAUAUUUGUGAUGAGCACAAUAAUGGUAAGGGUACGAUCAAAACUAUCGUCAAGAGUUACCAUUCUUGAUUUGGCCACUAGAAGAAGUUUCUUUGCAGAUUUUCCUCUUAAGUCAACUAAUUCAAUACCCAGAUUUUCUAUUAGCUAAAAUGGAAGAAAUUAACGGAAUGACUCCAUUGUAUUUUUUAGGACUCAAUUGCACUUUCGUAACAAGUUUUAAGAUUUUUUGUACACUUAUCUCAUUUUCCUUUUAGCAACGAAGUUGAAAACAACCUUCUUUUUUUUUUUUUAUCAUUCCCCUCUUGUUUUUAGGGAUACAUUCCAUUUAUUUCCAUGUGAUUAUUUUCUGUCCUUCCUCACUUCUUUUCUAAACAACAUGCAAGUCAUAGAGAAAUAUUACUGAUGAAUCCUCAAUGAUGAAUUUAUGAGCUUUUCUAAGGACUUCUAUCUCAGCAAUGAAGAACACUGUGUUAGAAACAAGAAACGAUGGGCUGGGCUUGGGCUUGGGCUUGGGCUUGCUUCAAUGGUCACAGUGCCUAGAAACUCGUCCAGGCGCGUGGGGUUCUUGUAGAUCCAUGGGAAUGAACCUUGAAAUUGGCAAACCCAUUUCUCCUAAAUCUAAAUUCCCUAAGCAAGAACAAGUAAUUGGGGUGAAAUUGAUCUGCACAGCAUCAUGGAUUGGCCAUGUGCUAAUCUAAAGCUAGAAAAUCACAAUGUUACAAAUCCUAUAUUAAUAAAACGAAGGAAUUAUGGAAGCGAUAAAUUAUAAAAUAAAUGAAAUACAUUCUAUUAAGAUUUCAGGCUGUUAAAGAUGAGACACUGCUCCUAUCUGAUAUAGAAUCCAGUCUCUGAAUAUAUGAUGGUUUUAUUAGCGAUGGGCUUAAGGCCCGUCCGCCCAAGUUGGGCCCAAAAAGCCCGGCCCACGGGAAUAGGGCCCGUGGAUGGGGGAAGGUAUAAAAGGGAAGAGAGAGAGAGAGAGAGAGAGAGAUGACACCUGUUGGAAACAGAAAACGAACGUACGUCUUUUUCUUCUCACGCUCUCUCUCUCUCUCGCUUUCUCUCGCAAAAAGAAAACAGUGAAGCGCAAAAGGCGAAUUUGCUUCAUCGGAUCGAACAAGACCAAGUUUCUCUUCCUCUAUCGGCGUCGAUGUUUAAUCUGUGGCUUAAAAGGUACGCUCGAAUCCGUGGUGUGCUUUAGGAUCAGUGAUAUGUGUUGUUUUUCCCGGGCUCGUCUUCCGCAUUAAUUUAGGGGUUCGAUUCAGUGUCGAAUUCGCUUUUCGAGGGUCCUUUAUUCCCAACAUUGGUAUCAGAGCCCUAGUUCACGUUUUCCCGACCUGUUUGAUUUUUUUGAUUGAUUUUUCGCGAAAAUUUUCAGCCGUACAGAUCGGGGCGAGAAAUCCCAACACCCGAGUGUUGUUCGCCCAUUUUUCCGAGUUUUCGUAAGACAAAAUCGAAUUCUGAUUGCAUAGGGAGAAAGGGGUCGUCGAGACGAGUCCGGCGACAGGUUGUGCGCCGCCGGGCGACGCCGCACGCGCCCACACGCGCGGCCAGAAGCCGCUGCGCGUGGGCGCGACGAGCCCGGAAGCGCUGGCUCAGCCAGCGCAUGCAGCACACGCGCCGGUCGGCGAACUGGCGCGUGCGCGCCGCCGGCCGGCGAACCGGCACGCGCUGGUCGACGGACCGACGCGUGCUGACGUCACCCAACGGUCGGUAACCGCUGGGAUGAUGUCAGCGCUAACGUCGGUUGGCCGGGCGGUCACCGGCCGGCGACCCAACCGGCGACCCGACCCGCGGACGCCUGGCACACGCGCGGCACGUGCCGGCUGACGUCUGCGUGACGUCAGCCCGCGCACGCGCGCGGCAUGUGCGGUCGGUUCGUCCGACCCGGUUCGACCGGUCCGACGAUCUUACUGUUGACCCGUUGACCGUUGACCGUUGACAAAAAAAAAAGAGGAAAAGAAUGUGUUUCUUUUUCAAUUAAGUCUAUGUGGAUUAUAUGUGAUCCCUUAUUUGUUCUGCAUUUGUUGCAGGAACAAUGCCUCCCCUGAGGUUGUGCACACCUAUUCGCGCAGUUACCGAUGAACAAAAGGAUAGGCUGUCUAAGUUGAUAGCUGAGCUGACUAAUCAUCGAUGGGAGAGUGGUGACUUAAUUGAUCACGUCCUUGAAGUCAACAGGAAAAUUCAAAAGAUCAUAUGGAAUGGUCGUCCUAUGCCACAGUCAGAGAUGGUGCGAUUUUUCAUAAACACUCUUCCACCUGAAUGGCAAGAUGUGUUAAAUCGCAUAUGGGAUGUCAACGGAGCUGCUUCAUAUAAGAAAAUUGUGAUGGAUUUUGUAAAUGAAUAUUACUGUAUUGUUACAAGGGAAAAGAUCAAGAAAUUGAACAAAAGAUGAUCUUUCCCAGUUCGUGUGCUGACUUGGUGUUAGUUGUAUUGGCUGAUAUUCGUUAAGUGUGUUUUGUGGACAUAUUAUGUAAUGAUUACUACCUGAUUGUUGUUGAUGUAGCAACCGAUAUCUUGGUUGUAUUAGUUGAAAGCAUUAUUGUUUUAUUGUAUGUCAAUUAUCCGUUACUUUCUAUUAUUGCUGGUUGAUGUGGGUAAUUAGCUGUGGGUAGUUAUAGAAGUUUUUAUAACUUCAUAGAAUUGAUUUUGCAUAUGACAAUCACAUUAAUGAUAGUUUUGAGUUAGAAUUUUUGGAGGAUGAUUGGAAAUGUAGUGACAUUUUGAUUCUGAAGCCUUACUUGAAAUUAUUUAUUAAUAUGAUGGAUCUAUGUAAAUAGGGAUGCAUAAAUGAUAGGCAUUAAUAAUUCGUGCAUAUUUGUCUGAUAUGUUCAGAUCAAUGGCUUCAGCCACAAAGAGCAUAGUUGCCGAGCUGAACGAAGGUGAAAAGCUCAAUGGUGACAACUAUGAAAUUUGGCAAAUGAAAAUCCAGUAUGUGCUGGAAGAGCAAGAAGCACUUGAGACUCUUAACCUGACCAUGGUAGAACCUGAAGAAGGAACCAUUGCACAGCACAAGAGAGAUAAGGAAGCUUUUGCUACGUGGAAAAGAAAGAACUCUCUUGCUCGCAUCACGUUGCUGAGCAACAUGAAAAAUGACGUCAUGCGAGAGUUUAGGCGUUUUGACAAUGCCAAGGAAAUGUGGGAGGCAUUGGCAGCUAGAUUUGGUCAUACUUCGGUGACCAAACUGAGGCAGCUCACUAUUAGGUUUGACUCUUAUAAGAAGCCUCAUGGUCAAACCAUGAAGCAACAUCUUAGAAAGAUGUCAAACAUGAUAAAUGAGCUGAAAGAUGCUGGCCAUGUCCUCACAGAUGAGCAGCAAGUGCAAGCAGUGAUUCGUUCCUUGCCUCAGAGUUGGGAGCAUAUGAAGGUGCACCUGACUCAUAAUGAAAAUAUCAAAACCUUCGAGGAUGCAAUGCGUCAUCUUGAGCUGGAAGAGGACCGCCUCUUGGCGGCUAAGCUAGAUGCUGAACUCUAUCAUGCUAGUUCUAGCUCAAAUGGAGCUUCGAGCUCCAAGCGCAAGUGCCCUAACUAGUUUGAUAAAGGGAAAGGCAAGGAAGCAGGUCCUUCAGGGAAGAAACCCAAGUUUAACCAACAUGAAAGAGGAAAGCGUCCUCACAUGAAAAAGCUUGCAAGGGUGAAAUGCUACAACUGUGACAAGAAGGGUCACUAUGCUCGCGACUGUCGUGAGCCAAAGAAGGUAUGCACCCCUUGUACUUUUCAGAACUUUGCUUUUGUGUCAAGUUCUGUGUUCUUAACUGAGUCUAAUCAUUUGUGAACUGUGGAUUCAGGAGUGACGAACCAUGUAGCGAAGGAUAGAGGAUCCUUCGUGGAAUUCCGACGAGUACCUACUGGAACUAAGUGGAUCUAUGUGGGAAACAACUCUAGAGCUAAAGUGAAAGGAAUUGGCACCUGCCAACUGAACAUGCGUGGUGGACGCACUUUGUUCCUUCAUGAUGUGUUGUAUGCUCCGGAGAUUCGUCGGAAUUUAGUGUCUGUUUUAGUGUUGGCUAAAUUAGGUUUUAAUAUGAACUUCUAUAAUAGAGGUGUGGAUUUGUUUUUAGAUACAAAUUACUAUGGUUGUGGUUAUUUUCUGGAUGGUUUCAUUGUAUUAGAUAUUGAUUAUGUUAAUACAAAUGUUUGUUAUUCCCUUCUCACGUCUCCUAAUACAUAUGAUAAUGAUGUGAAUGUGUGGCAUGCUAGACUUGGUUACAUUGGCCAACAAUGUAUGAAUAGACUAGCCAAAGAGGGCUUGUUGGGCAACAUUGAAAAAGUCAAUUUGCCCAUAUGUAAGCAUUGCCUAGAAGGGAAAACGACAAGGAAACCAUUUGGAAAAGGUAAAAGAGCUGAAUUUCCUCUGCAUUUAAUCCAUUAUGAUAUCUGUGGUCCAAUGAAUGUGAGAGGAAGGCAUUGGGCUGUUUAUUUCAUCACCUUUAUUGAUGAUUAUACUCGAUUCGGAUAUGUCUUUUUGAUUUCUCAUAAAUCUGAAGCAAUAAGUUGUUUCAAAAGGUUUAUGAACCUGGUAGAAAAUCAAUUAAACAAGAAAAUAAAAGUAUUGAGAUCCGAUCGAGGUCGAGAAUAUUUAUCUGAUGAGUUCAGAAAAUUAUGUGAUGAAAAAGGAAUAGAAAGACAGUUGUCUAUUCCAUAUACUCCUCAACAAAAUGGUGUUGCGGAGAGAAGAAACAGAACCCUACUGGAAAUGGUUAGGUUCAUGAUGGCGCAUGCUAACUUACCUAUCACUUUUUGGAGUGAUGCGUUGUUAACUGCUGCCUAUAUACUUAACCAGGUGCCUUCCAAAUCAGUUACUUCCACUCCAUAUGAGUUAUGGACAAGUAGAAAACCGGACUUAAGUUUUCUUAAGCCAUUGUGCUGCCUAUACACAUGAGUCCUCUCACAAGUUUGGGAAAUUAGGUCCCAGAGGAAAGAAGAGUAUUUUCAUAAGAUACUCGAAACACUCGAAAGAGUAUGUGUUUAGAGGUGAGCAGGAAAGUGGGAGUAUAACUGAAUUUGAAUCACGGGAUGUCACAUUCUUGGAUGAUGAAUUUCCUAAGAAGGGCGAAAUAGGGGUAGAUCACUCCCUAUUUGAGACCUUGGAUCAGGAUAAUGAUGUUAGUGGAGUUCAUCCGAGUGGGAGUAAUAUGAGAAGUGAUGAAUUGAAUUCAACUCAUUCUCAAUUACAACCACAUGAUGAGACGACAUCAUUAUUACCUAAUCCAAGUGGGAGCAUGAUGGGGAAGAUGUGCAAAGUAUACAAUCUCCCAUACGGCGAACAAGUCGCCAAAGUAUUCCCCGUCGACGUUUUGACAUUGAAUGGGAAACUUUUAUGAUUGCUCCACAAGAUGAGGAUGAGCCAAGAAAUAUUAAUAAGGCUUUGAAUUGCCCUAAUAAGGAAAAAUGGAUUCAUGCAAUGGAAGAGGAAAUGGAGUCAAUGAGAUCAAACCAAGUCUGGGAAUUGGUUGAUCUUCAAAAGACGCAGAGCUAUAGGAACAGUGGUUAUCAAAUAAAGCGAAAGCUGAUGGUUCGAUAGGAAAGGCAUAAGGCCCGCCUUGUGGCGAAGGGGNNNNNNNNNNNNNNNNNNNNNNNNNNNNNNNNNNNNNNNNNNNNNNNNNNNNNNNNNNNNNNNNNNNNNNNNNNNNNNNNNNNNNNNNNNNNNNNNNNNNGGAUCUUGAGUUCAUCAUAUGGAUGUAAAGACUGCUUUCCUCAAUGGAGAAUUAUAGGAAGAAAUAUAUAUGAAACAACCUGCUGGUUUCGUAGUGAAAGGCCAGGAAGAAAAGGUAUGUCGACUUUUAAGAUCGAUAUAUGGCCUUAAGCAGUCAUCGAGACAAUGAUAUAUACGUUUUCAUAAUGUCAUAAUGGCAUAUGAUUUUACAAUGAUUGAUGAGGAUCAUUGUGUAUAUAUCAAAAGAUCCAAGGAUCAAUUUGUGAUCAUAUCAUUAUAUGUUGAUGAUAUAUUGAUUGCCGGAAGCAAUAUGGAGUUUGUUAAUACUGUCAAGAGUUGGUUGUCUUCCAACUUUGAGAUAAAAGAUAUGGGUGAGGCUGCAUGCAUUCUUGGAGUUAAGAUUUCAAGAGAUCGUUCGAAGAGAUCGUUGUCUCUUUCGCAAGAAACCUAUAUAAAUAAGGUUCUUGAACGAUUUCGUAUGCAAGAUUGUAAACCCAUAGACACUCCUAUUGCGAAAGGUGAAGGAUUGAGCUAUAGACUGUGUCCGAGGACUCUACAAGAGAAGGAACAAAUGAAACAUGUUCCUUAUGCUAGUGCAGUUGGGAGCUUGAUGUAUGCUAUGAUGUGUACAAGACCCGACAUAUGUUUUGCAAUUGGAAUGGUGAGUAGAUACCAAUCCAAUCCAGGUCCAGCACAUUGGAAAGCCGUUAAGAGAAUACUGAGGUAUAUGAAGGGAACUGCUGAUUUCAAGUUGAAUUACCAAUGAAAUGAUCUGCGACUUGAAGGCUAUUCAGAUGCUGAUUGGGGAGGAGAUUUAGAUGAAAGAAAAUCUACCUCAGGAUUUGCUUUCUUACUGAACAAUGGCGCCAUAUCAUGGAGCAGUGAGAAGCAAACGUGUAUAGCCUUGUCCACGAUGGAAGCUAAGUUCGUGGCAUUAUCAGCAGCGGUACAAGAAGGAGUUUGGCUUAAGAGAUUUUUGGAUCAUUUAGGUGUUAAUGAGAAAGCUGCAAAUCCAUUGUUGGUUAACUGUGAUAGCCAAGUAGCUAUAGCGUACACCAAAGAUCCAAAAUAUCAUGACAAGACCAAACAUAUAGAUACCAAGUAUAACUUUGUCAAGGAUAUGGUUGCACGAAAGGAUGUGAACUUACAGUACAUAUCUAUGCAUAGAAUGGUAGCAGAUCCUAUGACAAAGCCAAUACCUAGAGAUGUAUUUUGUGGUCAUGUAAAAUCUCUAAGAUUGCGUAGAGUCUGGUGUACUGGAUUGUAAUUUCCCUGAGUUGUUCACAAUUAUGAACUAGUGUUGUUUCAUUAUUAAUGCCUAUGAAUCUUUGUAUGAUCUUUAUGCAUCUUAAUGCUUAGUGCAUUACUUUAAGUUGAGAAAGUAUGUCGGACAGAUAAAAGAUUAGCCCACUCACACGAGUAAUCGCCUCUGUUUACUGUGUGAUAAAUAGAGAUGAGACUGUUUUAAGCUUAUUAUCUAGGUGAUAAUCGAGAGCUCAAGCUUAAAAUACGUAUGUCAUCUUAACUAAGUGUUAAGAUGAGAACAUAAUACUUACGAUGUCCGAAAGUAAAAUACCCCACAUAUUUUACUUAAUCUGUCUAAGAUGCCAAAUGUGAGUUCUGAUGAAUUUUGUGAUUGAGUAGAUACGUGAACUCAAGUUAAACAUUGGGUAUGUCUGAACUAUCAUCUGUACGGUAUUGAAAGGUGUAAACAUACACUCCAUGGGAAAGGAGUUAAGACCAUAAUACAUAUUUCAUACUACGUAUGCAUGAGACGAUCAAUAAGAGUGGCAAAAAGUUUGAUCUCAACUUUUAUGACGUGUGAGACUCUUGAGGAAAAGAGUUCCUCAAUUUUUAGUCCCCUCAUGACUCUUACUUAUUCUCAAGAUUUCUAUUUAGUGUUUGCUAUCUUAGGAUGUUGCCAAUGGUCAUGAGUUGAUUCGAUCUAAUUGGACAUUUCUAGAAAAGCAAGCUGAACUGAAAUUGAGAGUUUGAAGGAAAGAGGAAGAUCGAUUUUGGAGAAUCACAUUGUAAUUUUUGUAUUCACUGGUCGACUAAUUAUGACUGUUUUUGGGAUAAUCAUAGCUGUGAAUACAAUAUAUAUCAUGUUUGAAAGAGAUUAAGAGAGAUAUAAAUGUUAUCGAUCGAUCUAGGGUACUGCAUACUAAAUCUACUCGGAGUGUGACGCCAAUUAUGAGCUGCUAUAUAUUCCUAAUAGAUGUAUAGUAACGAGCUCUCAAAGUAUGCUGGUCGCACGGAUUAUUCACCAGUAUGAAUGUUGAAGAGAGGUAAAGAGAAUCUUGUUCGGCCCACCAUGUGCGAGUGGGAGAUGAUGGUUUUAUUAGCGAUGGGCUUAAGGCCCGUCUGCCCAAGUUGGGCCCAAAAAGCCCGGCCCACGGGAAUAGGGCCCGUGGAUGGGGGAAGGUAUAAAAGGGAGGAGAGAGAGAGAGAUGACACCUGUUGGAAACAGAAAACGAACGUACGUCUUUUUCUUCUCACGCUCUCUCUCUCUCACUUUCUCUCCCAAAAAGAAAACAGUGAAGCGCAAAAGGCGAAUUUGCUUCAUCGGAUCGAACAGGACCAAGUUUCUCUUCCUCUAUCGGCGUCGGUGUUUAAUCUAUGGCUUAAAAGGUACGCUCGAAUCCGUGGUGUGCUUUAGGAUCGGUGAUACGUGUUGUUUUUCCUGGGCUCGUCUUCUGCAUUGAUUUAGGGGUUCGAUUCAGUGUCGAAUCCGCUUUUCGGGGAUCCGUUAUUCCCAACAAUAUACACAACGAGUACCUAAAAAUCUAAUUAAUCUUCAUGAGUGCUAAGAAAUGAAGCCACUUAAAAUGCAGGACGCCAUAUCACCCAACAAUUGGAUCUUAUCAACAGCAGUAACACGGAUCCUCAUAGCUGCUGACGCUGAUCUGUCUCCAUUUUCCGCCUUGGGCUAUCCGUCGACUCGGCGGCAGCAACGGACACCACAAACUGGCUAGGCCACUGGAACAGCAUGAACUCGUCGUGUUGGAUCCAAGAGAGUGGCAUUUGCCUCGUGGACCGCUUGAACUCAGUCCUCGAUGCGGCGAUGUCCGGUUGUAGGACCCCAAAAGCCUCUGGUAGGCAGUCUUGAUCUCCCGACAAAGUCACCGCAGCAGUCUUGAUUGGAAAAUUUCCACGGUCCCAAUUUCUCGUGUUUUAGAGUUUUGUUCCUUGACUCAAUACACAUUGUCUUCAGGGCAUUGGGGUAGAAUGGGCAUAGACAGGCUGAUAUAAUAACUUGGAGGACGAUGAACAUCGGGCAAGGUGGAGGAGGAACUGGAGUCAUACAGCUUUCGCAUCCAGUAUCAUUCUAAAGAAAUACGGAGGAAGGGAUGAAGAUGCAGAAAGUGGUGCGGAGUCGAAGAAAGGGAUGUAUGAAUUAAUAAGCAAUGGUGAGCUCCCAACAAGAUUUUUUAUUCGAGACAAAUUUAUGUGUCUUUAUAUUAUAUGAACAAGACCAGAUUAUUCGGCAUAAUUAAUGUAUCACAUUAAUCCUAUCCUCUAUGAUAUUUGAAAAAGUAGAGUAAUUAUCCACUUCUAGCAUGAUUAUGAAUGCAUCAUUCAAAAGUGAUGAUAGUAUUUUACAGAAGACGAUAUAUUCCCUUUCUCCCACUGCAGAGUUUCCCUAUGUUGCAUAUUUAUUUUUCUUCAGACUCAAAUUAUUUAAACAUUAUGUCUUUCACUUUUCUUAAUGAAAUUGACGUAUUAAUUAUAUGUGGCAAUCUUCAUUUUUCUUACAAGAAUAUACAGAAAUUAGCAUGCAUGUACGUAUUAUGUUGUGAGGUUUAAUGUAUCCAAUUCGAUGCGUAAGGUUUCCAUGGCUUAGGACACCUGUAGAAAUCAGCAGCUCUCAUUAUCUACAAAGUCGGGAUUUUAGUCUAUGCUUAAUGAAUUUGUAACCAGCACAGUGUUUCCAGUGAUUUUCCAAUAACAACUAAAGGAACUAAAGUAUCGAAUCAAUUCAGUACAUUGAAACUUUCUUCUCUAGGUGAUUGAGAAGUGGACUCCCGUCAGACGUCCCAUACAUGUCAACCUCUGCUUUCAACUCUUAGCAAUUUCAAUUGAUUAUUUUCUUUUCCUUCCUCGCUCCUUUCACCAGAACGUGCAGGUCACAGAGAAAUCUUACAGAUGAAUCCUUGAUGAUGAACUUACGAGCUUUUCUGGGGACUUGUGUUUCACCGUUGAAGGGCGCCGUGUUGGAAACAAGCAGUGAUUGGCCGGUCUGGGUUCAAUGAUCAAUGCUUUAUAACUCGUCCAAACCCCCUUUCUUGACUUUCCAGAGUAACGAAUGUCCGGCGCAUGGGGUUAAUCUAAUUGGGCGUCGGUUAAGUAGAACAGCGAGCGAACUGCUAAGCCGACCUUUUUAAGCAUGAUGAAGAGGGCGUGCGAAACCGAAUCAGUGGCCUCCACCAUGAUCGAACCGGUUUUUUUCUCACUCAGUUCCUCUUCGGAGGUUGAUAAACAGAGAGUUUUGGACUUGGGUCCCAGAUCCUUUCCAAGCAAUCUUCUAGUUCUUAAACGAAUUUUGCUAACAUAACAGUUUUUUAGCUACUUUAACGAUAAUAGCUCGAUGUGAGUCAUAAAUUCUUGAAUAAAUGAACCCCACAUCAAUUUAUAAUUGUUUAUUAUUUGAUUUUUUAUAGUCCAAAAUAGAUUAUUAUCCUCAUAAUAAAUUAAAAACAGUCAAUCAAUCAUUUCUCUUAAUAACAUGACUCGGAUACCUUGGAGCACCAUUAUGACUUUAUGCACUGUUAUUUUUUGGGGCACCUUCAAGGGUUACCGCAAGGAUGAGUGUUGGUCUCCAAUGUGGCUGCAAAGAUAGGCAAGGUUAAUGAGAUAUUAUAUUGUUGGUAGAAGGUGGAAAACAGAGAAACGAACCAUUACAGCUUAGUCGCACUUGGUGACCUUUUAGAUGCAAAGAGCAAAGGCUGUGUCUUCACUUAGGCUAAUAAUAGAGAGGAGAACACUUUGGCUAAAAAGAGAUUAGAAAAGUGUUAUGCAAUGUAGAUUAAAGGGUGAACUAUCCUAAGGCGGAGGUUUACGCGCUACUAGCAUGCGCUCUCCCAUUCUAGAUUCGCUUCACUCGGUCUCUGCCCUUACACGCGAGCCUCUUCAUUUUAAACCUUUCCGGAACGCGAGAGAGAGAGAGAGAGAGAGAGAGAGAGAGAGGGAUAAGUAUGUGGCCGGGCCUUGAGUACUUUUUUAAUUGGGCCAAUGGGCUCUUGCUUUAUACUUCUAGGCUCCGGGCUUGAGCCGAUUGGAAACUUUCGAUAUUGGACUUGGAGGUUCAAGGACGAACUGCACUAGUGGGCAUGGAAUUGUGUCAUGCCCAAGAAAUCAGAUUGGGCCUUUCCAUAUUGACCGAAGUGGAGCCCUUUUAAGUUUUUCUCUUCUUCUUUUUUUCUAUUUUCUUAUCUAUGUAUUUACUUAUUUAUUCAUCUCUAUCUCUUUACAAAAACGCGUGCUCAAUUUGUUAUCCGUCACCUAUUUCCGCCUCUGGCCACGGAUUGAUGCAGCAAUGGCAACCAACACUGCAAAGUGGCAGGCCCUCGGAACAACACUUAGUCGUAGUCGGCCCACCGACUUGGAUCCAAGAGAAAGGCGCAUGCAUUGUGGACCGGCAUGAACUCGUGCCCGAACGCUACAUCAAGAGACGCGGCAACAUCCGAGCAUAGGACCCCAAUCAGGCUCUCUGUUGCGGUACUCAUAGGAAUCAAAUCAUGGACUUGAUACUUUCCAACCCCAUUGCCAAUCCCUUUACCAGUAGGGCCACUUACCUACGAGCAUCUAUGCCCUCGUUCCACAAGCUGUCAAAAGGGUCAUUCUUUCACUACUUAUCCUGGGAUUCAGAUAUGAAUGUGAGUCGAUUCGAAGAUUGAGUGAAAUGCUAAACUGCAAUCAUGCAUUACUCUGCACAUAAUAAUAUAUUUGUUUAGAUGAGGGAGGGAGGAUUGAUAACUCUAAAGCAAGAGAAAUGAGAAAAUAGAGUAUUUGGUAUGAUCCCAAACUUUGCUUCCAGAUACUGGCUCAGUGGUCAUCGGGGAGCUUGUCGCUUAUGUUAUAGAAUUCAUGGUACUCUAGUUACUGGAGUCAAAUUAGAUUCCUUGAUGAGAAAUUUUUGUUGUGCCACUAUCUCGUGCAAUGGAGUUUUGUUCCUUGACUCAAUACCCAAGAGACACUAGAGUUGUCUCUAGGGCAUCCAUGUAAAAUAAGCAUUAACAGGCUGAUCCAAUAACUUGGAUUUUACUGAUAAAUUUCUUCCAUUAUCAUUCAAUCCUUCCAUAUAACACACGGCAAGGGAGUCUUUGUUCGCUGUUCUUGAAGGUAAAGUCUGUGGUAGCAUCUUCAAUCCAUGAUACAAUCUGUGGCCCAGAUGUGACCAUUAAUAAAGACAUGCAUGGGUAUGUCAUGACAAUAUGGUGGGCAAUUUACUUCGAAUUUGGAUAGUUAAUUAUUAGGGAGGGCAUCCCUUUUAUUAUUUUUUUUAGUAGAAUUAUGUGGAAUUUGAAGAUACUUAGAAUAUUUCACCGAAUGUUUUCCUGUUCCACUUCGAUCUAUCUAGUCCACGAUCUAUUAUUGACCUACAAUUUUAAUGAUCUUAUUAAUUUUUUAGGACGUAUUUUCACGGCAGAUUAAUUUAUUAAUAUAUUUGGCUGAAUGGGUUACGGUCAGUUUUCACUUGUAAAUCUUCCUGGAUAAAUAAUAGUUGCGCACAUUGGAAGGUGGAAAACAUAUUUGUCGAGGUUAGGGCACUUGCUUCCUUUCUCUUUCUUUUUUUUUUUUCUCUUUUUUUAUUCUUUUAAAAGUUGUGUGCUUUACGGGUCUUAUUAUUAAUCUUCUCAAUUCAACUGAUAUACAAUUGAAUGGAAAAAUAAGAAAAGAAGACAUUAGAACAAGCCUUCAUAAGGUAAAUGAAAUUUCAAACUGAUCAGGUAACAUAUUUAUUCACUAAAUCUACUUUGACAUUUUAAAGAGGCAACUCCUCAAUAAUUUCAUUGUACAUGAAAUAUGAUGGGCUUCCGCUUUGGCUUCUCCAUCCACUAGGCUGCUCUUCUCUCCAGCAUUCUCACAUGUCACACGAGCCAUUUUUGGGCUUUCCCAUUUCAAAUACAAUGUAUGAUGUUAAAAUCCCAAUUAUAAUUCCAGAUGCGUAACCUAUCCACAUCACUUUUUGCUCGAACGAACUCUCAUGCGCUAUACGAUUGAAAGUUGAUGAUGAUGAUGGUGGAGGCGGUUGAGCAUCGCUGGGGCAUGCUUUUGGCAAUGGUUCCACAUAAGCCUAGAUUCCCACUAAACGAGUCACUUGAAAACGUGCUCAAUUGCUUGUCUUGAGGAAUUCGAUCGGUGAAUUGGUUCUUCGAGAGGUUUAAGUACCCCAAGGGAUGUCAAAUCCCCAAAUUCUUUGGGAAUUGUGCCACUAAGCUUGUUUGAAGAAAGAUCAAACCAUCCAACAUUAUUCAAGUUCCCUAGCAUCAGAGGAAUGGAACCUAUAAGUUGGUCAUGAGAAAGCUUGAGCCCUAUAAGAGAGUGAAGAUGUCCAAUAACUUCCGGAAUAUCCCCUUGGAAAGAGUUGUGUGACAAGUCAAUGGUUGUGAAGACGGUCAAGAUCUUCACUAGCUCAAUUACUUGCCCUUUCAUCAUCUAGUCACGGAAUGACUUGCCCUUGAAAAAGAGUUGUGUGACAAGUCAAGAUUGAGAAAGUGGCGUACACCUCAUGGACACGCAUGAACUCACGCCCCGCGGCUGUUGCCCCCACACCAGCUCGCGCAACGACGUCUGGUUGCAAGAUUCUGGCGAACCUUCGGUAGGCGGUCUUGAUCUCCUGGCCCACGGCGCCAGCCCCAAUCCCCAGCACCUCGUACAGCGACGAGGCCUGGGAGCGGGCCCCAGGGGCCAUUAGCCUCGGCCUCUUGGUGGUCGACGCGCAAGAGGCAGAGACGACGCAAAGCAGGCAGCACCAGACGCUGGACGGCAGGGGCACAGGGUAGCCGCGGCGGGAGGGGGGCGUGGGACUGGAGGAGACGGCAGAGAGAACGAGGGAAGCGGACGCCAUUGGCAAUGUCGAUGUGGAUGAGCGGGAAUGUAAGUUAAUACAGAGUCCGAGCCUGGCAGAAAGAUUGGCAUAACUAUUAUCUUUUUAGCCAUCGCCUAUGAUUAAACCCAAAACAUCCCAAAUCUAGAACCCCAUCAUGCACCCGGUUCUUGGUUCGUAUAGACCCAUAAAUCAUAAAUCGAUUUAAUAGGACCCCAAAAGUAGAAAAUGUGAUGUUACAAAAUAGAGUAGUACAAGAGGUGAGUAUCAACUGUGUAACAAUAGAUCACUACCGUGCGAUUGCCUCGCGAGGUUUCGGAGGAAACUGGUAAGGGACUUUUGAGCCCUUAGUAGCGCAAUGCUAGCUUCUCUCUCAUUUUUAUUAGUAGCGGCUGGUUGUUACUGAAUCGACUAUACAUUCCGUACAAGCUUUCGGAGCUCCUAAUAUAAGUACAACAAAGAAAAGUAUUACUCAUAAACAUGGAACCUAAAAAUGAUUUUGACAAUGUGACGGGGAUGUCAACCACACUAACUACUGGCAAGUGGCAAUUGGCAAAUGCAAAUUUCACCAACAGGCAAUGUUUUUAUAGGCACUAAAGAACGACCUAAACAUUGUGAAGUUUGUGCAUGCCAAGGGAGGCCCAUAUAUAAUGGUGUACAAGCUGGAGGAAUGAAUUAGCCCGACCGACUAUACCUUGUGCCCGACUGACUAUGGCUUGUGCAAAUGUUACCCAUAUCCCAUGUUUUAUGGUGUGUGCUUAUGAAAAACGACCAAUUGGUUUAUGAUGUUAAAAGCAGAAUGUUAAAUGAGUACAGAUUAGGCAACCCAUGGAGCUUUUUCCUCUUUCUUUUUAUUUCAGCCGGCAUGGAUUUGUUCAAGUAGUUAUAAAUGGACCUCGAGAGAUUCGAAUACUCCAACAAUAGAACUAAAAGCUCAGGCUGUAGGAGAUAUCUGUCGACUUACUUGCCGAUCAAAAUCAACGGUGUGAAUGGAGUAAACUUCGUUGGUUAUUUGAAAGUCUUUACUGAUUAAACCGCCAAACCACCUGCUUGCAUGCUCACUGGACUCCUGGGAAUUGAAGAUUGAAAAGCAAGUCACUAAUGAGAAACCUGAACAAAUCUAAAGAAGGAAGAUGAACAUUAUGUAAAACUAAAAUUAUUGCAUGACCAAUGGAUCCCGUCCAAAAUGUGUUGGUUUAAUUUCAGCACGGGUGUAUUUGCACCAAUUCCGAGUACAACCGUUCCAGCAAGAGCAUGAAUAUAAAUCAGGUGGAUUCAAAUGCGAAGGAUAAAUCGAGUUUUGCAUAUACCUACUAAUGAGCGUCAAAUUAAACACUCAUAAGAGAGCUUAGCCUCCCAUUUUUUUAUAAGAUGAUUUGUAGUAUUUCGCUCUUCUUAUAACUCCCCAGAUUUGAUGAAGUUAGCAGGAAUUGGAAAGGCAAAGGCAUUUUUAGUUUCGCUCAUCUUAUAACCAUUCUCCUUUUAGCUAUAAGGGGCUUCCUAAAUCUAGCACCCCAUCAUCCACCGGGUAUUCGGUUCAUAUACUACCCAGAAUUACUAAAUGAUUUAAUCGGAACCCAAGAAAGAGAACGUAAUGUUACAAUGUAGAUUACAACGAGAGGUGAGCAUCAAUUGGGUGAACAUAUAUUGCUACUAGGUAAUUGCCUCGCAAGGUUACCUAGGAAAAUGCUGUGCACGUCAUAGAGGAAUGAAUUAGCCCGAUUGGCUAUAGGCUUGUGCAAAUGUUACCCACAAGCCCAUUACAACCAUCAAUUUGGUUUACGUUGUUAAGAGCAGAAUGUCAAAUGAGAAAUUACCUUGUAUUUUCAGUACAUAAAACUGUCGACACUUGAUAUUGAGUACUUAAAUUCUUAGUGCUUACUUUUUAGUCUUAUCUAACGGGCUUUUAGGCUUCGACUAUGUGGGCCUAGUUAAAAGCCCAAGAUCACCCAUAAAAGAGAGCAUGUUAUGCACGUGUGGGGUGGGUGCGUGUUGUUUCGAGUGAAAUAAUGGAUGGAAUCAGAGUGUGUGGGAAUGAAUGUCAAUGGGCAAAUGCAACACGCCCAUAUCAUGCUGUGAGUUCUAAUGUAUCUAAUUUGAUGAAUAAGGAUUCCAUGGUUCAGAACACUUGUAGAAAUCAGCAGCUCAGAGUAAAAAUGAUGCCAGGAUUUUAGUGUAUGCUUAAAAGAUUUGUAACCAGCAAAGAGUGUUUCCAAUGAUUUUUUUUUACAACGACUAAGGAACUAAGUAUCGAAUCAAUGACGUACUGGUGAAACUUCACACAACCCAUACAUGUUUAACUCGUAGCAGCAGUAGGCAAUGCGGAUUUUUCUUUUUUCUUUUUUAGCAACAAAGUCAAAACCAGGUACCCCCUCCUCUUCCUCGCGUUCUUGUUCGAAAUCUUCUCCUCCUUCGUCAUUAUCUUCGCCAACCCAAGUCUCCAAUACAGAUAAAGCUCGCAGUCUGCUGUGAUCGCCAUCUCUUGUGGCCUCAAUUUAAGCAUGCAUUAAGUCAGGUUCAACUUCACGCAGCAACUUCCCUAACAAAUACGAUUAGUUAAGGAAGUUUACAUCGCAUAUUAUGGACUCGUGAGGCACCAAUGAAAUCAACACCUCUCGUUCCUAUUCUGUAGAAUACAACUAUAUAAAACUGCUUUAGUAGAAAGAAAAAGAAACAAAGACAUUUAUGUUUCAUCUAGAAAUGAAAAAAAAAGUGUUCAGCAAGCAAAAUUUUAGAUAUUCCGCCCGGUUUGAGCAUUCAUGUACGCCUUUCCCGAGCACAUCAUUAGCAGUUACUCAUCUUUAUUGAUAUAUGCUCGAGGAACUAUAGUGCAAGUACCAUCCAAGCACUUUAAAAGUACAAGCCGACACACUCAAACUCAAUCUAAGUAGGGAAAAAAGCGGCAGUUAGGAAAGAGAUGCUUACUCCAAGAACUACUUUGCCCGGAGAGAACUCAUCGUGCAAUGGCCAAGCAUAGUGAUGGAUUUAUGAGAUGGGCUUAAGGCCUGUCCACCCAUGUUGGGCCUAAAAGCCCGGCCCACGGGAAUAGGGCCCGUGGAUGGGGGAAUGUAUAAAAGGGAGGAGAGAGAGAGAGAUGACACCCGUUGGAAUAGAAUGUACGUACGUUCUCUCCCUCGCUCUCUCUCCAAAGAAAAACAGUAAGCAAACGGCGACACUGUCUUCCCUUCAAGGCGUCAUCGGAUCGAGCAGGGCCAGAUUCUCUUCCUCUUAUCGGCGUCGGUGUCUAAUCUGUAGCUAACAAGGUACGCUCGAAUCCGUGGUGUGUUUUACGAUCGGUGAUACGUGAUUUUCCCGGGCUUCGCUUCCGCAUUCGUUUUAGGGGUUCGAUUUAGUGUCGAAUCCGGUUUUCGGGGAUCCGUUAUUCCCAACAUUGGUAUCAGAGCCCUAGUUCAUGUUUUCCCGACCUGUUUGACGUUUUUUCAUUGAUUUUUCGCGAAAAUUUUCGACCGUACGGAUCGGGCCGUGAAAUCCCGACACCCGAGCGCUGUUCGGCCAUUUUUCCGAGUUUUCGUAAGUUGAAAUCGAAUUCUGAUAGCAUAGGAAGAAAUGCGUCGUCAAGACGAGUCCGGGGAUAGGUCGAACGCUGCUGGGCGACGCCACACGCGCGGUCGGAAGGCGCUACGCGUGGGCGCAAUGCGCCCGGAAGCGCUCGCUUCGCCAGCGCGUGCGCUACACGCGCCGGUGGCGAACCGGCACGUGCACGCCGGCGGCCGGCGAACCGGUACGCGCUGGUCGGCGGACCGACGCGUGCUGACGUCACCGUGACGUCACGGUAACCGUCGGGAUUACAUCAUCGGUGACGUCAUCGCCAACGACCGUUGGCCGGCCGGCGACCCGACCUGAUGGCGACCCGACCCAACCCAACCCGCGCGGACGCCUAGCACGCGCGCGGCACGUGCGGUCGGUCGGUCCGACCCGCGCGCCUGUUGACCCAAUCAGUUGACCGACAACCGUUGACCGUGACCGUUGACUUUGACCGUUGACCCGGAAAAAAAAAUUUGUUUCUUUUUUCAAUUAUUAUACCUAUGUGGGUUAUAUGUAAUCCAUUAUUUAUUCUGCAUUUGUUGCAUGAAUUUUUUCGAAAAUUAUGUAUUUUCCCUUAUGUAAAUUAUGGAUUAUAAGUGAUCCAUUUUUAGUUCUGCAUUUGUUGCAGGAACUAUCAUGCGUCAUGCACGAAUACCUGCAAUCCCGAGAACGGACGAGGGAAAUGCAAGACUUAAAAGGCUGAUGUCAGAUUUAGCUAAUUAUCGGUAGCAUGACGGUGAUUUAGUAUCACAUGUGGUCAGGGUCAAUCAGAUGAUACAGGAAAUCAUCUAGAAUGGUUAUCUUAUGUCGGAUUUUGAGAAGGUGCCGGCUUUGAUAAACACUCUUCCACCUGAAUGGCAAGCAGUGUUAGGUCGGCUAUGGGAGGUCAACAUGGUUCGGAUUAUAGAAGGCUAGUGGAAGCUUUUGUAAGAGAGUACUAUAUGAUUGAGUUAACCAAAACUUCAACCCUUAGAAUGAGCGCCACAUGGCGUAGAGUAAAUGCGCCUUGGUGGCGACAUGAAAGCUCUCCAAAAGUUUUUCCAAGGUUGGCAAAUGUGCCUUCAGUUUUCUCAGAUGUUUUGACUGAUAGAUUAGAAGGGACAUUCCCUAAUUAUUUCUUAGAUUAGUUUGAGAUGUUUUAUGGGUGUAAAUAUCUCUUUCCAUGUUGAUAUUUUUUCUCUGUAUAUAUUGCUUAGUGUAAUGUAUGGUUGUAUUAUGUGAAAGCAUUGUUAUUUUACUGAAUAUUAGAUAUUGUUUGCUUUCUGUUAUUGUUGACUGCUGUGGGUAGUUGAUAGAAGUUUUUGUAACUUCAUAGGAUUUAUUUUGCAUAAGACAAUUAUAUUAAUAAUAAUUUUGAGUUAGGAUUUUUGGAGGAUGAUUGGAAACAUAGUGACCUUUUUUAUUCUGAAACCUUACUUGAAAUUAUUCAUUGAUAUGAUGGGUCUAUGCAAAUACGGAUGCAUAAAUGAUAGGCAUUAAUUAUUCGUGCAUGUAUGUCUGAUAUGUUCAGAUCGAUGUUUUCAGCAACUAAGAACGUAAUUGCUUAUAUGAACAGCAACAAUUGUGAAAUAUUGAAUAUGAAUAUUCAAUAUGUGCUGGAAAAGCAAGAAGCACUAGAAGCUCUUGACCAUAUUAUGGAAGAUCUAGAGGAUGCUGUGCGCCACCUUGAGCUAGUAGAGGACUGCCUAUCGGCAUUUGAGCCGAAAAUAGACAUUGGCAAUGCUGGUUCUAGCUCAGAAAGGGUUUUGAGCUCUAAGCGCAAACAUAUUAAUUCGUACAAAUGUGACAAGAUAGGUCACUAUACUCGCAACUGUUGUGAACCGAAAAAGAUAAACACCUCUUGUACAUUUGAGAACUUUGAUUAUGUGUCAAGUUCUGCAUUAUUGGCUGAAUCCAAUCCUUAGUGGACUAUAGAUUCAGGAGCGACAGACCAUGUAGCGAAGGAUAGAGGAUCCUUCGUUGAAUUCCGACGAGUACCAACUGGAACUAAGUGGAUCUAUGUGGGAUAUAACUCCAGAGAUGAAGUUAAAGGGAUUGGCACCUGCCAAUUGAACAUGCGUGGUGGACGCACCUUGUUCCUACAUGAUGUUCCAUAUGCUCCAGAGAUUCGUCGAAAUUUAAUGUCUGUUUUGGUGUUGGUUAAGCUUGGUUUUAGUGUGAACUUCCGUAAUAGAGAUGUAGAUUUGCAUUUGGAUACAAACUACUAUGGUUGUGGUCACUUUCUAGAUGGUUUCAUUGUACUAGAUGUUGACUGUGGUGAUGUCAAUAUUUGUUCCCUUGUUUCACGUCUUCUACUUAAUAUGAUAAUGAUGUGAAUGUGUGGCAUGCUAGACUUGGUCAUAUUGGCCAACAACGUAUGAAUAGACUAGCCAAAGAGGGCUUGUUGGGCAACAUUGAAAAAGUCGAUUUGCCAAUAUGUGAGCAUUGCCUAGUAGGGAAAAUGACAAGAAAACCAUUUGAAAAGGUAAAAGAGCUGAAUUUCAUCUGCAUUUAAUCUAUUCUGAUGUAUGUGGUUCAAUGAAUGUGAGAGGAAGGCAAGAGGCUGUUUAUUUCAUCACUUUUAUAGAUGAUUCUACUCGAUUCAGAUAUGUUUAUUUGAUUUCUCAUAAAUCUGAAGCAUAAGUUGUUUCAAAAUGUUUAUGAACUUGGUAGAAAAUCAAUUAGACAAGAAAAUAAAAGUAUUUAGAUCUGAUCGAGGUCGAGAAUAUUUAUCUGAUGAGUUCAGAAAAUUAUGUGAUGAAAGAGGAAUAAAAAGACAGUUGUCUAUUCCAUAUACUCCUCAACAAAAUGGUGUUGCGGAGAGAAUAAACAUAACCCUACUAGAAAUGGUUAGGUCUAUGAUGGCGCAUGCUAACUUACUUUUCACUUUUUUGGAGUGAUGCGUUGUUAACUGUUGCCUGUAUACUUAACCAGGUGCCUUCCAAAUUAGUUAUUUCCACUCCAUAUAAGUUAUGGAUAGGUAGAAAACCGGACUUAAGUUUUCUUAAGUCAUGGGGUUGUGCUGCCUAUACUCAUAAGUCCUCUCACAAGUUUGGGAAAUUAGGUCCCAAAGGAAAUAAGAGUAUUUUAAUGAGAUACUCCGAACACUCGAAAGGGUAUGUGUUCAUAGGUGAGCAGGAAAGUGGGAGUAUAACUGAAUUUGAAUCAUAGGAUGUCACGUUCUUAGUGGAUGAAUUUCCUAAGAAGGGCGAAAUAGGAGAAGAUUUCUCUAUAUUUGAAACCUUGGAUCAAGAUGAUGAUAUCGUCAUUAUCUAAUCUAUCGUCAUUAUCUAAUCCAAGUGGGAGCAUAAUGGGAAAUGAUGUGCUAAGUGUGCAAUUUCCCAUACGGCGAACAAGUUGCCAAAGUAUUCUCCGUCGACGUUUUGACAUUGAAGGGGAAACUUUUAUGGUUGCUCCACAAGAUGAAGAUGAGCCAAGAAAUAUUAAUGAGGCUCUAAAUUGCCCUAGUAAGGAAAAAUGGAUUUAUGCAAUAAAAGAAGAAAUUGAGUAAAUGAAGUCAAACCAUGUUUAAGAACUGGUUGAUCUUCUAAAAGGACGCAAAACUAUUGGGAACAAGUGGGUUCUCAAAAUAAAGCGAAAGGCUGAUGGCUCAAUAGAAAGGCAUAAGGCUCGCCUUGUGGCGAAGGGGUAUAAUCAACAGGAAUGAAUUGAUUAUGAAGAUACGUUUUCUCCUAUAGUAAGAUUUACCUCGAUUCGCAUUAUUCUGGCAAUAAUGGUUAGUAUGGAUCUUGAGUUACAUCAGAUGGAUGUAAAGACUGCUUUCCUCAAUAGAGAAUUAGAGGAAGAAAUAUAUAUGGAACAAUCUGCUGGUUUCAUAGUGUAAGGCCAAGAAGAAAAGGUAUGUCGACUUUGGGGGUCGAUAUAUGGCCUUAAGCAGUCGUCAAGACAAUGGUAUAUACGUUUUUCGUAAUGCCAUAAUGGCAUAUGAAUUUACAAUGAUAGAUGAGGAUCAUUGUGUAUAUAUCAAAAGAUCCAAAGAUCAAUUUGUGAUCAUAUCAUUAGAUGUUGAUGAUAUACUAAUUGCCAGAAGUAAUAUGGAGUUUGUUAAUACUGUGAAGAAUUCGUUGUCUUCCAACUUUGAGAUGAAAGACAUGGGUGAUGUUAUAUACAUUCUUGGAGUUAAGAUUUCAAGAUUGCAAACCCAUAAACACUCAUAUUACAAAAGGUGAAAUAUUGAGCCAUAGACUGUGUCCAAGAACUCUAUAAGAGAAGGAACAAAUGAAACAUGUUCCUUAUGCUAGUGCUGUUGGAAGCUUGAUGUACGCUAUGAUGUGUACAAGACCUGACAUAUGUUUUGCAGUUGGAAUGGUGAGUAAAUACCAAUCCAAUCCAAGUCAAACACAUUGGAAAGCCGUUAAGAGAAUACUAUGAUAUCUAAAGGGAACUGCUGAUUAUACGAUGAGUCAUUAAGAAAAGGAUCUGCGACUCUAAGGCUAUUAUGAUGCUGAUUGGAGAGGAGAUUUAAAUGAAAUGAAAUCUACCUCUGGCUUUGUUUUCUUACCGAAUAAUGGCACCAUAUGUUGGAGCAGUAAGAAACAAAAGUGUAUAGCCUUGUCCACGAUGGAAGUUGAGUUCGUGGCAUUAUCAGCAGUAGUAUAAGAAUGUGUUUGGCUUAAGAGAUUUUUUGGAUCAUUUAGGUGUUAUUGGAAGUGCUGCAGAUUCAUUGUUGGUUAACUGUGAUAACCAAGCAGCAAAAGUGUACACCAAAGAUCCAAAAUAUCAUGGCAAGACCAAACACGUAGAUACCAAGUAUAAUUUUGUCAAGGAUAUGAUUGCACGAAAAGAUGUGAACUUAGAGUACAUACUACGCAUAGAAUGGUAGUAGAUCCUAUGACAAAGCCAAUACCUAGAGAUGUGUUAUGUGGCCAUAUGAAAUCUCUAGAACUGCGUAGAGGCUGAUGUACUGAAUAUUGUAAUUUCCCUAAGUGUUCACAUUUGAUGAAUUUGUGUUUUCAUCAUUAAUGCCUAUGAAUCUUUGUUUGAUCUCUAUGCAUCUUAAUGCUCAGUGCAUUACUUUAAGUUAAGAGAAGUAUGUCGGACAGAUAUAAGAUUAGCCCACUCACACGGGUAAUCGCCUCUGUUUACUGUGUGAUAAAUAGAGAUGAGACUGUUUUUAAGCUUAUUAUAUAGGUGAUAAUCGAGAGCUCAAGCUUAAAACACGUAUGUCACCUUAACUAAGUGUUAAGAUGAGGACAUAAUUCUUACGAUGUCCGAAAGUAAAAUACCCCACAUAUUUUACUUUAUCUGUCUAAGAUGCCAGAUAUGAGUUCUGAUGAAUUUUGUGAAUGAGUAGAUACGUGAACUCAAGUUAGACAUUGGGUAUGUCUGAACUAUCAUCUGUACGGUAUUGAAAAUGUAGACAUACGCUCCAUGGGAAAGGAGUUGAGACCGUAAUACGUAUUUCAUACUACGUAUGCAUGAGACGACCAAUAAGAGUGGCAAAAAGUUUGAUAUCAACUUUUAUGACGUGUGAGACUCUUGAGGAAAAGAGUUCCUCAAUAUUUAGUCCCCUCAUGACUCUUACUUAUUCUCAAGAUUUCUAUUUAGUGGUUGCUAUCUUAGGAUGUUGCCAAUGGUCAUGAGUUUGAUUCGAUCUAAUGGGACAUUUCUAGAAAAGCAAGCUAAACUGAAAUUGAGAGUUUGAAGGAAAGAGGAAUAUCAUUUUUGGAGAAUCACAUUAUAGUUUUGUAUUCACCGGUUAACCAAUUAUGACUGUCUUUGGGAUAAUCAUAAUUGUGAAUACAAUAUAUAUAUCAUUGUUUAAAAGAGAUCAAGAGAGAUAUAAAUGUGAUCGAUCGAUCUAGGGAACUGCAUACUAAAUCUACUCAGGAUGUGAUGCCCAUUAUGAGCUGCUAUAUAUUCCUAACAGAUGUAUGGCAACGAGCUCUCAAAGUAUGCUGGUCGCACGGAUUAUUCACCGGUAUGAAUGUUGAAGAGAGGUAAAGAGAAUUCUGUUCGGCCCACCAUGUGCGAGUGGGAGAUGAUGGAUUUAUGAGAUGGGCUUAAGGCCCGUCCGCCCAUGUUGGGCCUAAAAGCUCGGCCCACGGGAAUAGGGCCCGUGGAUGGGGGAAGGUAUAAAAGGGAGGGGAGAGAGAGAGAUGACACCCGUUGGAAUAGAAUGUACGUACGUUCUCUCCCUCGCUCUCUCUCCAAAGAAAAACAGUAAGUAAACGGCGACACUGUCUUCCCUUCAAGGCAUCAUCGGAUCGAGCAGGGCCAGAUUCUCUUCCUCUUAUCGGCGUCGGUGUCUAAUCUGUGGCUAACAAGGUACGCUCGAAUCUGUGGUGUGCUUUACAAUCGGUGAUACGUGAUUUUCCCGGGCUUCGCUUCCGCAUUCGUUUUAGGGGUUCGAUUUAGUGUCGAAUCCGGUUUUCGAGGAUCCGUUAUUCCCAACACAUAGCAAAGCAAACACCAGGUGAAGCGGCAAGAAAGGCGAGAAGAUUGUCACAAACACACACGUACACACUUACAAAAACAUGAAUAAAAAUGAGAUAGUACCAAUUUAAUUGAACUGCCUUCGCUUUCCUUCUGGAACAUCCGGUCCCAGUCUCUGCGACAAAUCAACAAACAUCUCAACGGCAUCACCUUUGCAAGCAUCCGAGCGCCCAACGCUGCUUGCUCCAGAGAAGCCACUCUGCAAUCUCCCUUUUUAAAGAAAGUAUAACGAAUCUACAGUGCUCCGUUAUUGACACCAUUAUAUCCACGAAGCCCGUGAAAGCUCAAAUCCGUGCCGCCUCCAGGACACAUUGUUUUUCCCAGCACAAUCUGAGGAUUGAUUUGGGGAUGGGACAAGGAAGUGAGCUCCAUGCCCCAGGGGACAUCACACCGAGCCUCGCGCUCUUUCUAGUUGAGGCUCUUCUAGGCGUCAAAGUCGGAGUCGCUGCCGUACGACGGUGGGCAGUUGGGGAAUCUGAGCCCGCACGGCCGAUGACGGAUGUCGCGGUGUGCCGAAGGGACCACGCCGUCUGGAACAGACAACGGUGAGGAUGUGACGUCGUUCCAAAGGGCGAAAGAGAUAAGGGAGAGGGGGAGAGAUGGUGGCGGCGGCCAACGGCGGCGGUGGAACCUCGGCCAUGGCCGAAGGGGCAUGUAAAAUGGGCAUUGACAGACUCGUCUAAUCAGUAGGAUUUUAUUAACAACCGUCAACUAAAUGCAUUAAGGUCAGUAUCUACUCCUAAUUCUUCACGGACAAAUAUAACCAAGGCAAACAGGAAGAUGGAAAAGAUAUCUGCAGUGGAUAAUGGCUCUAUAUUCAUUUUCCUGUUUUUGUGGCUCUUUUUUUUUUUUUAAGCUGUGUGCUUGACAAAUUUGAUUAUUCAUCUUUUCAAUUCAACUCAUAUACAAUUACACCAAUAUACAAAAGGAGAAGACUAAUAACAUAAAUGAUAUUUGAAGCCAAUUAGGCGACAUCUUUAUUUAGUGAAUUUACAUUACAAGAUUGAAAGAGACAACUUAUCUACAAUUUCAUUGUCCAUGAAACUUGAUGGCUUUCCGCUUUGGCUUCUCCAUCCACUAGGCUACACUUCUUUCUAGCAUUCUUACGCCUCGCGAGAGCCAUUUAGGCCUUCCCGUUUCAAUUGCAAUGUAUACUACGGAGAUCCCAAUUACAAUUCCAGAUGCAUAACAUAUCCACACUACUUUCUGUUUGAACCAAAUCUCAUGUCCUUCGCGGUCCAAAGUUGAUGAGGAUGAUGGUGGAGGAGGUUGAGCAUAGCCAGGGCAUGCUUUUGGCAAUAGAGUUCCACAUAAGCCUGGAUUUCCAUUGAAUGAGUCGUUUGAAAAUGUGCUCAAUUGCUUGUCUUGAGGAAUUCGACCAAUGAGUUGGUUCUUCGAGAGAUUUAAGUACCCAAGGGAUGCCAAAUCUCCUAGUGUUCUAGGAAUUCCCCCACUAAGCAUGUUUGAAGAAAGAUCAAGCCAUCCGAGAUUAGUCAAGUUUCCUAAAGUCAAAGGGAUGGAACCAAUAUGUGAAAGGUUGAGUCCUAUGAGAGAGUGAAGAUGGCCAAAAGCUUCAGGAAUGUCUCCUUGGAAAGAGUUGUGUGACAAGUCAAUGGUUGUGAAAAUGGUCAAGAUCUUCGCUAGCUUUGUUUCUUUCCCUUUCAAUGUCACGAUCACAGCAUUUUCAUAUGACCCUUCAAAGGAAGACCAUGUCAUAUACAAUGGUUCAUCUUGCUUAUGUUCUCUAUUCUUCAUGCCUCUAAGGUUCAUUAUCAAGUUGGCUGGUAAAAGACCGCCAAAGUUGUUGUUGGAGAGAUCCAAAAUGUGUAACUUCGAAAAGAUGAGAUCUCCCUUCAAAAUAUUCAGAAGACCCUUCAAAUUGUUGGACCUCAAAAUGAGAACUUUUAGUUUCGAAAGUUUUCCCAACCAUAUUGGGAAUGUAUCUUCUAUUUGAUUGCUACUAAGAUCCAAAAUUUCCAAAUCUCUACAUUUGACAAGAGACCGGGGGCAACAUGCCUUCAAACCAAUUUUGGCUCAAGUCAAGAGUCAUCAAGUUAUUUUUAGAAUAAAGUGAUUGAGGAAUUGUUCCCUCGAGGUGAUUCAUUCACAAGUUCAAAACUGACAAGUUGAUGCUAAAAUUUGUUAUGCAUUAAGGCAAGCUACCCAUUAAGCCGUUGUUGGACAAGUCGAUGACCUCGAGCUGGGUUGCAUUGCAUAUCAAAGAGGGAAUCUUUCCUGUUAUAUUGUUACUUGCAAUGGAAUAAUACCUUGUUCUGGGAGACGGAAGUGGAAUUGGCCCUCUAAAUUUUUUUUAGACAAAUCUAUUGCAUAUAAUGAGGUGUUAGAGAAAACCUUCGUGGGCCACCGUCCAAUAAAAUUGUUGUUGGAAAUUGAUAAAUGUUGAAGAACUGGGAAGGAGAGUUCAAAGCCAGUGAGGUUAAUCCUACCAUGAAAUUUGUUGGAUUGCAAAUCAAGGAAAGUUAAUUGCGGUGCUUUUAGCCAAUGUGGGAAUAUAUCAUUGAAUUCGUUGUGACCAAGAAUCAGUGAAAAUAAUUGUGCACAUUUGGCUAGGGAGCGUGGUAAUGACCCUUAUAAUUUAUUGUUGCUCAAGUCUAAAAUUGUAAGAUCGGUCAUAUUACCAAAAGAUGGGAGCACAGUCCCCAUGAGAUUAUUGUUGCUUAAGUCUAAAAUGCUAAGAUUGGUCAGUCCCCGAUAAAUUAUUGUUGCUCAAGUCUAAAAUUUUAAAAUUGGUUAUAUUACCAAAACAUGGGGGCAUAGUCCUUGAGAGAUUAUUGCUAGACAAUCCUAGAUGGACAAGUGAACUCGAUUGACAAAUUGAAGAGGGGAUCUCGGAGAAACCAUUGUUCUUGGCCAAAAAGAAAACAGUAGAAGGUGAAAGGAUUGGGAGUGGUCCUUGGAAUGAGUUUUUCAAAAGGUUAAUGUACUGCAAUCGCUUCCAAUGCAAUUGGUGUAUACCUCCCUCCAUAAGGUUAUUGGAAAGAUCUAAAUAUUCCAAUGUAUGAUGGCUUAUUCCCCAAAAUCACAUGGGGAUCUCCCCACUAAUCUUAUUGGAAGAGAGGUCUAAGUAUGUUAAUCUUUCUAACGAAUUCAAGAAAUAGGGGAAUUUGGUCAAGUUGCAAUAUGACAUCGUCAACGAAUGAAGCUUCGGGAGAAGGAGGGAACCAUUGGAAUAGACAACGUCAUGAAACAAACUAUUACUAAGAUCGAGAUCGAUGACAUUACCGGUGACAUCGUCGCAAGUGACCCCACCCCACGAGCAGCAGUUUACACUCUUGUUCCAUGCUACAUCCGUUUUGCAUGGGCGGAAUGGGAUGGUCGAUUGAUAAGAGUAAUUAUGUAUCGAAGGACAAAAGACAAUCUCCUUCUCAUCAAGAAGGAAGGAAUUCUUAAAAUGGAGCAAGGUAUCACGCUGGUGAGGAGGGCAGAGGGGGGAGGCAAGGGGAAGAGGGGAAUGUAAGAAAAAGAGGAAACAAAGGAGGAUGAGGAUUUGAAGCCACCUCAUUUUGCAAUUUAGCAUGCAAGUGAAUUUAUUAGAGAUGGAAAGUGCUUCCCUUUAUAUAGCCUUUGUCAACUGUGAAGUCAUUGAAGCAAGUCUUCUCGAAGGUUCCAUUGGUGGGCUCAAAACGUGUGUCACCCAUUCUAAAAGCUCUAUUACUUGGCAUAUGAGUAAUUUCAUAUACGACUCAGACAGAAUGAUUUCUCAUUUUCUCAUGGUUAAGGAAGAUCAGAUUUUCUGUCAAAGUUAAUUUAGUCAUAGGUACACAAAGUGUGUGAAAUGAAUAUCCAGGUUAAAAGAAAUUUUCUUUCCUAGGCACAUACACUUUUAAUUUGUUCAUUUAUUUUAUAUCAAUCACGACGAGGAUGGACUGAAAGAAACAUUGACAGAGAGGGAUUGUUAACGUAAGCUUUGUGACCCUAGGCCUCGGGGUCUCCACUGCAUCCUGAAGAUAAACACAACAGCAACUUAACAUCAAACACAAGACGUGGAAAGAAGAGUAAUUAAAUAAUAACUUUUUAUGACGUCAAGUGAUUGUUUUGUAUAGCUAUAGUUUAGUAAUUUUACUAAAGUGACAUUAACUUUUCCAGUAAUUUUAAUAAGUAGCGAUCAUAGACCAUAGUCGGGGAAUUGAGUUAUAAAUUCUCCAUAUUUGAGCUUUACAUCGGAGAAAGUUCCCUCCUAUUUGUGACCUUCUCUAAUCAGUCCCACUUCAGGGCAUCAAAAACGAGUACUGCGCGUGUUUGGGGAUGUAACUUGGAAGGGUUUUCUUCCCAGCUUCAAUCGGCGCUGCAUUUUCUCGAUCUCAAUAUUCCAUGAAAUGAAUAAAAAUUGCUUUAUAUUCACUUUAGCAUGGGAGUGAAAGUUCUUGCAAUUAUACGGCCCUUAUAAAGUGUGAAGUCAUCCACGCAAGUCUUAUCUAGAAAGUCUGUUGGUGAGCUCCCAAAAUGGGUUAGCCGUUCUAAAAGGUCUAUCGGUGGGAUUGUUGAAUCCAUACGAUUGCCAUCAUGAUGUUUUAUAGCUGGAAUAGGAUGAAAUAUUAUUGCUGGUGACAUAGGGAUUCAACUCAUAUAACCCUUCUAACAAGCCAAGUGAUCAACACGAAAGUCUUCUCUCCAAAGGUCUGUUGGUGGGCUCAUGCCAAACAAUUUCGCAGCGCGUUCAUCGACCCUAUAUUUACGUUCAGGGAUGAGCAAAAAAAAAAAAAAGAAAAAAAAAAGAAAUGAAAUCAUCCUUCUGCUCUAGUUCAAUAAGUAGUGCCUUUUGUUGUAAUGUAAUGCUGGAUCUUGAAAUUUAAGUCGAUACGAAAUCAUUGAAGAAAUAAAUGAGGAACAAUAAAGAACGCCAAAGAUUUCCGUGGUUUAGUUCGAGUGUCUGUACUUACAUUUACGGAGAGAGUCAAUAGCAAAUAAUCCAUUAGAAUCAAAGAAUCAAAAUUACAACCACUUAAAUACUCAAAUAUUUCCUAUGUCUAGAUCACACCUAAGCUAAUGGUAUUUACAGUACAAAAUUCGCCAUGGUCAACGCUCUUGCGUUUUUCAACACAAAAAGAAAAAAACACUCCUGCGUGCGAUCGAGCAAAAAGAGUGUCACCCUGCGAACCCUUUCUUACUUCGCUGUUAGUCUGUUUUUGGAGUUCACUCCACGGCUCGAAGGAAUUCUUCUGUGUGGCCGAGAAAAGGCACUCCGCCCCCACAGGAUUUAUGUGUUUCCCAAUUUUAUUUUUUUUAUUCUAUAGAAGUCAACAAAUCCACUUUUGAUUGGGACCAACCGAUUAUUCUUAGUUCCUUUUCUUGUACACCAUACCCAUUUUCAUGCAAUACAAUUUCGAUAACUCAUACUCGACUCAUCUUAGACCCCACCCAUACUCGACCUAACCCAUAUUGCUAAAACAAAUUCAUACUUAACCCUAACUAUGAAAGUAAAUACCAACUCAUUUAAUCUACUUUGGGUGCGUUUAGUUAAGCUUUUUUAAGGAGCUUUGGGCCGUCAAGGCCUCUAGGAAAAAAAAAACUGAGAUAUUUGACAAGCAUUUUGAAGUGGCUUUUGGUCAAAUGAUAGCCUUAAGAUUGUUGAAAUUAAAAAAGUAAAAUACCAAAAUAUGAAAAUAUAAAUAAAUAAAAGGAAAAACAUAUUAAAAAAUUCAAAGAGCCCAAAGGGGACUAUGUUUGUUUAUUUUAUUUUAUUUUAAAAAUUGAAUUUUAAUUUUUAAUUUCUUUUUCUUUUUCCUUCUUCUUCACCUAACCAUCGAAAACGACAAUUAGCAAUAGGGGAGCUCAAGCCUCACCACAAGUCGGGAAGGCUCAAGCUCGCUUGUUUCCAACGAGCCAAGCCAAGCCAGAGGUCGGUGAGCUUGAGUAUCACAAGCACCAAAGGUCGGCCAAGGUCUAGCUUCACCAACCACCAACGAAGAAAGAAGGAAACCCCCCCCCCCCCCCAACAAAAAAAAAAGAUAAAAAAAAGAUAAAAUUUAAGAAAAUUUUAAAAAAAUAAAAAGAAGAGAUUAGAUUUAACAAGAAGAGAUUCUAAGGCCAUUAUUUAGAGGCUUAUUAUAAUUUGAUCCACCCUGAUGGUUUUUAUUAAUUAAUGUGAUGGGCCUAAGUUGGCCCGUCCGCCCAUGUUGGGCCUAAAAGCCUGGCCCACAAGAUUAGGGUCCAUGGAUGGAGGGAUAUGAUGAAUGGGUACGUUUCUUUUUUGGAGGGGACGUACAUAAGGGAGAAAAGAGAGGAAGGAAGGCACUUUUGGCAUUUACGUACGUUCCUCCUUCCUCUCUCCCUCCAAAAGAAAAAUAGUAAGUAACGUGCAACGCUCUCUUACCUUCAAGGCCAAUUGACGUCAUCGGAUCGAACGGGAUCAGUUUCUCUUCAUCAUAUUGGCGUCGGUGUUUAAUCUGUGGCUAACAAGAUACGCUCAAUUCCGUGGUGUGCUUUAGGAUUGGUGAUGCAUAUGUUUUUCCCGGGCUCGUCUUCCGCACAAGUUUAGGGGUUCGAUUUAGUGUCGAAUCCGGUUUUUGGAAAUCCGAUAAUCCCAACACACCCAUUAGAAAAAAGCUAUUAGAUCCAUCCCAUUAUUCACUUUAGCAUGUGACUAAAAGUUCUUCAAGUUAUACAGCCCUUAUAAAGUGCGAAGUCAUUGUCGCAAGCCUUCUCUGGAAGGUCUGUUGGUGACCUCCCAAAAUGGUUUAGCGCUUUAAAAGCUGUAUCGGUGGGAUUGUUGAGCUAAGAUGGAAUAUUAUUGGUGGUGACAUAUCCGACUUCUAAGGGUCCCAAAAAGCUGCCAAAUUGGGUUGAAUUUAUUUCAUGGGUUGAACCCAAAUUUCUAUCCGUUAGAUACUCUCAAUGGCGACUUAUCGUGGGACCAACACUACAUAUUCAUGAUGAAUUGAGGUUGUUGCAUAGUCAGCCGAUUUGAAGAAAUCUGAUUCCAAGGUUGACCAGGUUUCAUGUCCUUUUGUUUUGGGCAAGAAACUUGUUCCUUAUUGGUCAAACUGAAGAUGGACUUGUUCGACAUGCGUAAUGGGGUCGAACGAGCUUUUUCUACCGCCCAUCAAUUGCGGCCAUCGUUUGUUCAUCUCCCUUUCCACUACGAUAUAAUUACUAAUCUCUCAAUGUGUUCGGAUGGAUUAAAUCUUUGAUUAUUCUUACUUUAACCUUCUAUUUUCAAUUAUAGAUCUUUGACCUUUCGGGAGGGAAGAAUUAUAAGAAAGAUACGGAUUUCUAUAAGAAUCACGCUAUUUCACUUAUUUGCGUUCUAAUUGGACUUUCAAUGAAAAAAGAAAAAGGUCAAAGAUAAUUAGAUUAGAUGGGAUAUUAUUGGUGGUGACAAAGGGAUUCAACCUAUUUAACCCUUCUAACAAGCCAAGUGAUCAACAAAGUCUUCUCUCAAAAGGUCUUCUGGGAUGCUCAUGCCAAACAUAUUAUUAUAUUGCCCACCAAGGCUACAUCAAAUGGAAUUGGAUCCCGUGUAAAAAGCGUUCUAGCUUUGUCAAAAGUAAACAAAGUUUAGAGAAGGAAGUUAAGACAAAAUUUAUCAUCAUAUUUCCUUUGUCUUUGGAGUGAUUUUUCACUUCCUAAAAUUAGGAAAUAAAAAAACAUUCAAUAGAAAACCUUGCCAUGAAUUACCCUUAAUCAGACAGGAUCAUGUUUCUCGAUGGUUUUUUUCUUCCUCUUUUCAUCGACCCUAAAGUUACGUUCCGGGAUGAGCCAACAAGAAUAGAAAUUAAAUCAUCCAUUAGUUUCAGUCAAUUAGUAACGCUUUUGAUGUAAUAUUAUGCGGAGACUAAUAUUGAAUCUUGCAAUUUAAAUCAAUGCAAAAUUACUAAAAAAAUAAACGAGCAACAAUAAAGAACGCUAACGAUUUACGUGGUUCGAUCUAAGUGUUGGUACUUAUAUUUACGGGCAAAGCCAAUUGCAUAUAAUCCACUAUAAUUAGAUAAUCAUAAUUACAAUUGCUCACGCACUCAAGUAUUUUAUUACAUCUAAAUUAUACUCAAGAAUACGGUGUUUAUUAAUAAAAUAACUCAAUUGGACAAAAAUUCAUAGCACAAAAUCCAUCGUGGUCAACACUCCUCCAUGUGAUCGAAAAAAAGGGUGUUAGCAUGCGACCCGUUUCUUACUUCGCCCUACCGUCUUUUUUUUUUUUGGGGAGUUCACUACACUGCUGGAAGGAAUUAUGUGCGGCCAAAGAUAGGUACUCCUCCCUAGGGGUGAGCAUGGUCCGAAUUAGGCCGAUCCACCUCCUAACCUUAGGAUCAAUCCGUACAGUGUUGCUUCUCAAUUUUUGGGACUGAGGACUGGCCCUAUUAAGCCUAAGACCGAGGCCGGACCAACCUAAUGGGUUUGGUUCGGUUCCAAGAUCAACCCAGGACCAACCGAUAAUUUUUUUAUUUCAUUUUUUGCAUUUCCUAAAAAGGCGAUCGAGAAUCGGACCAACCUAAUGGGUUUAGUGACGAACAAGGUUAGCGAAGAGAGGCGAGCAGCGUGAGCAAGGAGUGUCAAGUGGGGUGAGCGUCGAGCAGUCAGCAACACAAGUGACCAAAAGCGAGGGAGGCGAGUGUUGAAUGGCGAGUGAAGAAGUUGUUUCUUUCAAUUUUAGCAAGUUGAAGACUAAGAUGACAAAGAAGACAUAAGAGAACGAGUACUGGAAAAUAAUAUCAUUAUGAGCUAUUUACGCUGUGAGAACUCCUCAUAGAGACAUUUUCCUCAUUUGUAAAUAUGGUUGUUGAUGCCAUAAAAGACAUUAAUAUAUUCACCACUACCACACAACAGUCUUAGAUCUUUGUUCAUGUGUAGAACGUCUAGCGUACUUCUUUUGUGCUUAGGUGAUGUAAUCAUAAUAGAUGCAACACUGAGAGUGUGAGAGAGGAUAUAGUAAGGGCAUAUUUCAAUGUAGUUGAUUACGGUGUAUGCAUAUUGGUAUUCAUUUUGUACGCCGUAUUAGCUCACGACCUUCCUAGGGGAAAAAAUGUGUUGGUUUAAUUUCAGCGCUGGUGUAUUUGCACUAGAUUCAAGCACGUAUGUUCUGGCAAGAGCAUGAAUAAUACUCAGGUGCAUUCAAAUGCAAAGGAUAAACUGAGUUUUGCAUAUAACUACAAAUAAGUGUCAAACUAAAAACUCAUAAGAAGAGAGCUUAAUCUCCCAAUUUUUUUCAUCGGAUGAUUCGCACUAUAUCGCUCUUCUUAUAGCCCCGUGGAUUUGAUAAAAUUAGCAGGCAUUGGAAAGGCAAAGGCAUUGUUAAUUUCACUCUUCUUAUAACCAUUCUCCUUUUAGCUAUUGCCUAGGAUUGAAAACGGGACUUCCUAAAUCUAGCACCCCCAUUAUCCACCAAGUAUUCCUUUCAUAUACUACCCAGAAUUAUGAAACAACUUAAUCUAAACCCAAGAAAGAAAACGAAAUGUUACAAGUAGAUUACCACAAGAGGUGAGUGUCAAUUGUGUGAUCAUAUAUUGCUAUUAGGUAAUUGCCUCACAAAGUUACUUAGGAAACGGGUAAGAGACAAACCAUGCUAGCUUCUCUCAUUUUCAUUAGCAGCGGCUGGGUGUUCUUGAAUAGACCGCAUACUCCCCAUAAGCUUUCGCAGCUCCUAUUGGAAGUGCAACGUAGGAAAAUAUUCACCAUUACCAUGCGAACUUGAAGAUAAUUUUGACAGUGCGAUGUAGGAGAUGACGAUCAUGCUAAGUACCGGCAAUUGGCAAAUGCAAAUCUCAGCUACAGGCAAUGUUUGCAUUGCUCACUGAAGAACGAUCUAAACAUGGUGAAGUUUGUGCAUGGCAAAGGCAGGCACAUACAAAAUGUUGUGCAAGUUAUAGAGAAAUGAAUUAGCCCGACCAACUAUAGGCUUGUGCAAAUGUUACCUACAUGCUGAUGAAAAACCAUCGAUUCGGUUUACUUUGUCAAGAGUAGGAUGUCGAAUGAGAAACUACUUCCUAUCUUCAGUACAUAAAACUGUCCACACUUGAUAUUACCUACUUAAAUUCUCAAUACUUAUUAUUUUAGUCUUAUCAAACAAGCUUUUGGGCUUCGAAUAUGCGGGCCCAGUUAAGCACCCAAGAUCACCCAUAAAAGAGAGCAUGUGAUGCGGGUUCGGGGUGGGAGAAUGUUGUUUUGAGUGAUAAUAAAUGGAACCAGAGUGUGUGGGAAUGGAUGUCAAUGGGUAAAUGCAACACGUACGUAUCAUGCUGUGAAGUCUAAUGUAUCUAAUUCGAUGAAUAAGAAUUCCAUGGUUCAGAACACUUGUAGAAAUCAGCAGCUCUCGGUAAAUACGAAGCCAGGAUUUUAUUGUCUGCUUAAAAGAUUUGUAACCAGCAAAGUCUGUUUCGAAUGAUUUUUUAGCAACAACUAAGGAACUAAGUAUCGAAUCAAUGAAGUACGGGUGAAAUUUUCUUCUCUAGGUGAUUGGGAAGUGGACUGAUCACACAGCCCAUAAAUGCUGAACUCAUUUUCCUCUAAGAGGAUGCAAAUGAAACUUUUGAGUGGCAGCGGGAGGCAAUGCAUAUUUUUUUUUUCAGCAAGAAAGUUGGAAACCAGGUACCCCCUCCUCUUCCCCGUGUUCAUGUUCGAAAUCUUCUUUCUCCUUCGUCAUUAUCUUCGCCAACCCAGGCCUCUGAUACAGAUAAAGCUCGCAGCCUGCUCUGGUCACCAUCUUCUGCGGCCUCAAUUGAAACAUCCAUCAACUCAGGUUCCACGUCUCGCAGCAACUUCCCCAACAAAUGUGAUUAAUUAAGGAAGUUUACAUUGGACAACAAAUCAUUGACACCUCUCGUGCGUAUUUUGUAGAAUACAACUAAAUAAAACUGCUUUAGCAAAAAGGAGAAAAAAAAAAAAGAAGACACUUAUGUUUCAUCUGGAAAUGACAGCAAGCAAAGUUUCAGAUUUUUCACACGGCUUGAGCAUUCGUGUACGCCUUUCUCAAGCAAAUCAUUAGCAGUUACUCAUCUUUAUUGAUAUAUGCUCGAGGAACUAUAUUGCAAGUACCAUCGAAGCAUUUUCAUAGGAAAAACUGCUCCCACUCCGCACUACUUACUAUGCAAAGUUAACCAUAAGUCUCUCCUUUCCACUACAAAGGAGCAAAGUUUGGUUACUAGUAACUACUUUAUCCAAUAUAUGCAAGACUUUGAUAUCGAAUUUUGGGUUUCAUCCAAGACCUUUUGGCCAGUGAAGGGCAGAGCAAAUGGAUUCUGUUGCAAAAAGAUUUGUAUGAAGUUUGCUGACCAAAGUUGCAAGGGGCAAUUAGGGAAGACAAACAUCGUGCAAGGUGAAGGAGGAAAUGGAUUGAUGUUGCUUUCACAUCCAGUAUCAUUUUAAAGAAACACGGAGAACAAGAUGAAAUGCAGAAAAAGACAAAGAAAGGGAUAUAUGAAUUUAAAGGCAAAGGUGAGCUCCCACAAAGAUUGGGUCUUCUAAUGAACACUUAUUUUUAGACAAUUUUAUGUAUAUCAACUAGACCAGAUUAUUAAGCGUAAUCCUAAGUAAAGAUAGUAUUUUACAUAAGAUAAUAUAUUUCUUUCUCCCUCCACGUACAUUCCCUGCAUAGGCGUAUCUGCUUUUUCUGCUGAUUCAAAUCAUUUAAAUGCUAUGUCAUUAACCUAUUAAUUAUAUGUGGCAAUCAUCACUUUUAUUGGGAGGAUAGAGAAAAAUUGUCAUGCACACACUUACUAUGUUGUAUGGACUAAUAUAUCUAAUCUGACAUAUAAGGUUUCCAUGGCUUAGGACACCUCUAGAAAUCAGCACAUCUCAGUAAAUACGAAGCCAGAGAUUAUAGUCUAUGCUUAGAUUUUUUAAUAAAAACUAGGGCACCAAGUAUCAGAUCAAGUAAGUGCAGGUAAAACUUUCUUCUCUAGGCGAUUGGGAAGUCGACUCCUCACACAUCCCAUACAUGAUGAACUUGUUUUCCUCUAAGAGGAUGCAAAUGAAACUUUAUGUGGCAGUGGUAGGCAAUGCAGAUUUUUCUUCAGUGACAAAGUUAAAACCAGGUACCUCCUCCUCUUGUUCUUGUCCGAAAUCUUCUUCUCCUUCAUCGUCAUCUUCGCCAAACCACACCUUGGAUACAGAUAAAGCUUGCAGCCUACUGUGAUCACCAUCUUUCGUAGCCUCAAUUAAAGCAUCCACUAACUCAGGUUCAACUUUUCGCAGCAACUUCCCUAACAAAUAUGAAUUAUUAAGGAAGUUUACAUUGCAUAUUAUGGACUCAUGAGGCAUCAAUGAAUCAUUGAAUCAACACCGCUCGUGCGUAUUUGGUAAAAUAAAACUAAAUUAAAAUGCCUUAGCCAAAAAAAAAAAGUAAAUAAAACUGAAGAGAAAAAAAGCCAAAGACAUUUGUGCUGUAUCUGGAAAUGAAAAAAAGCAUUCAGCAAGCAAAAUUUCAGAUUUUUUGCGCAGCUUGAGCAUUCAUGUACGCCUCUCCCGAGCACAUCAUUAGCAGUUACUUAUCAUUAAUCAAUGUAUGCUCAAGGAACUAUACUGCAAUUAUCAUCCGAGCAUUUCAAAAGUACAAGCUGACAUACUCGAACACAAUCUAAAAGGGGGGAAAAGGGGGCAAUUAAAAAAGAGUUUCUUAUCCUAAGAACUUUUGUUUUGGGCAAGAACUCAUCGUGCAAUAGCCAAGCAUAGCAAAGAAGAUACCAGGUGAAACGGCAAGAAAGGCGAAAAGAUUCUCACGAACACACACAUCCACACUCACAAACAUGAAUAAAAACUUGACAAUACCAAUGAAAUUGAACUGCCUUCGCUUUCCUUCUCGAACAUCCGGUCCCAGUCUGUGCGACAAAUCGACAAACAUCUCAACGGCAUUAACAAGUAACAACUCAGACCAAAAGCCUCAAGAGAAACAGCCACGCAUUGGAGAAGCAUCACCUUCGCAAGCAUCCGAGCGUCCAACGCCGCUUGCUCCAGAAAAGCCACUCUGCAAUCUCCCUUUUUAAAAAGAAAGGAUAAUGAAUCUACAGCGCUACGUUAUUGAACAUCAUUAUAUGUACACGAAGCCCGUAAGAGCUCAAAAUCGCGCCGCCUCCAAACACAAUAAUUUUUUUUUCCCAGCAGUAUCUGAGGAAGCGCUUGAUUUGGGGAAGGGAAAAAGAAGCGAGCUCCACGCCUUCUUCUGGUUGAGGCUCUUCUGCGCGUCCGAGUCGAAGUCGGAGUCGGAGUCGCUGCCAUCAUCUUCUCGGGGAAUCGUACGGCGGCGGGCGGUUGGAGAAUCUGAGCCCGCGCGGCCGGUGAUGGACGUCGCGGUUACACCGUUUGGAACAGACAACGUUGAGGAUGCGACGUUGUUCCAAAGGGCGAAAGAGCUAUCCGUAGUGGAUGAUGGCUCUCGCUUCAUUUCCCGGUUUUUUGGCUCUUUUUUUUUUUUUUUAAUUGAGCUUGACAAAUUUCAUUAUUCAAAUUUUCAAUUCAACUCGUAUUCAAUUACACCAAAAUACAAAACGAUAAGACAUUAGAAACAAGCCAUUCAUAAGGUAAAUGACAUUUGAAGCCAAUUGGGUGACAUAUUUAUUUAUUGAAUCUACAUUACACAGUUUAAAGAGACUAUUCCUUAACAAUUUCACUGUCCGUGAAACUUGAUGGCCUUCCGCUCUGGCUUCUUCAUCCACUGGGCUGCACUUCUCUCUAGCAUUCGCACGCCCCGCGCGAGCCAUUCCGGCCUUCCUAUUUCAAAUGCAAUGUAUGCUAUGGAGAUCCCAAUGACGAUUCCAGAGGCAUAACCUAUCCACACUACUUUCUUUUUUAACCAACUCUCAUGCCUUUCACAAUCAAAAGGUGUCGAGGAUGAUGGUGGAGGAGGUUGAGCAUCACCAGGGCAUGCUUUCAACAAUGGAGUUCCACAUAAGCUUGGAUUCUCACUAAACGAGUCGUUUGAAAAUGUGCUUAGUUGCUUGUCUUGAGGAAUUCGACCAAUGAGUUGGUUCUUCGAGAGAUUUAAGUACCCAAGGGAUGCCAAAUCCCCCAAUACUCUAGGAAUUUCCCCACUAAGCAUGUUCGAAGAUAGAUCGAGCCAUCCAAGAUUAGUCAAGUUUCCUAAAGUCAAAGGGAUGGAACCAAUAAGGUGGUUGUGCGAAAGGUUGAGCCCUACAAGGGAGUGAAGAUGGCCAAAAGCUUCAGGAAUUUCUCCUUGGAAAGAGUUUUGUGACAAGUCAAUAGUUGUGAAGAUGGUCAAGAUCUUCACUAACUUUAUCUCUUGCCCUUUCAUCAUCACGGUCACGGUAUUUUCAUAUGGUGCUAUCCCGUAGGGAUGGGUCAACCAUGUCAUAUACAAUGGUUCAUCUUCCCCAACUUCUCUAUUCUUCAUGCCUCUAAGGUUCAUUAUCAAGUUGGCCGAUAAAUGACCACUGAAGUUGUUGUUGGAGAGAUCCAAAAUGUGUAUCUUCGAAAAGAUGAGAUCUCCCUUUGGAAUAUUCAAAAGACCCUUGAAAUUGUUGGACCUCAAAAUGAGAACUUUUAGUUCUGGGAGUUCUCCUAACCAUCUCGGGAAUGUAUCCUCUAUCUUAUUGCUACUAAGAUCCAAAACUUGCAGAUAUGUACACUUGACAAGUGACCGGGGCAAUGUGCCUUCAAAUCGAUUUUGACUCAAAUCAAGAGUCAACAAUCCACCUAUCAAAGAAAUUGAUUGUGGAAUUGUGCCCUCGAGUUGAUUCAUUCGCAAGUUCAAAACCGAGAGAAAAAUGUUCUCAUUUGUUAAGCAGCGAGGAAAGCUACCUGUUAAGCUGUUGUUAGACAAGUUGAUCGUCUGGAGACAAGUGGCAUUGCAUAUCAAAGAAUGAAUCUUUCCUGUUAUAUUAUUAUUUGCAAUGGAAUAAUACGUUGUGAAGGGAGAUGGAAGUGGGAUUGGCCCUUCAAAUUUGUUGUUGGACAAAUCUAUUACACCUAAUGAGGUGUUGGAGAAAACCUUUGUAGGCCACCGUCCAAUAAAGUUGUUGUUGGAAAUAUAUAAAAUUCCAAGAGCAGGGAAGGAGAGCUCAAAGGCAGUGAGGUUGAUCAUACCAUGAAAUCUAUUGGAUUGCAAAUCAAGGUAAUUUAGUUGCGGUGCUUUCAGCCAAUGUGGGAAUAUAUCAUUAAACUCAUUGUGAUUGAGAACUAGCCCCGAUAAGUUUUUCCAUUUGACUAGGGAGCGUGGUAAUGGCCCUUGCAAUUUAUUGUUGCUCAAGUCUAGAACCUCAAGAUUGGUUAUAUUACCAAAACUAGGGGGAAUAUUCCCUAAGAGACUAUUGUUAGACAAAUCUAAAUUCAAGAGUUUGGUUAUAUUACCAAAACAUGGGGGCACAGUCCCCAAGAGAUUGUUGCUUGAUAAAUCUAAUUUCAAGAGGGAACUCAACUGACAAAUCAAAGAGGGGAUCUCACCAGUGAAAUUAUUGUUCAUGGCAAAAAAGUAACGAGUAGAAGGUGAAGGGAUUGGGAGUGGUCCUUGGAAUGAGUUGUUCUGGAGGUCAAUAUACAACAAUUGCUUCCAAUGCAAUUGGUGUAUACCUCCCUCCAGAUGAUUAUUAGAAAGAUCUAAACGUUUCAAUGUAUGAUGGCUUAUUCCCCAAAACCACCUUGGGAUCUCCCCACUAAUCUCGUUGAAAGAGAGGUCUAAGUCUGUUAAGCUUUCUAACAAAUUCAAGAAAUAAGGAAACUUGGUCAAGUUGCAAGAUGAUAUCGUCAACACUUGAAGCUUUGGGAGAAGGAGGUAACUAUUGGAAUAGAGAGCGACAUGAAACUGAACGGAGGAAAACUCAAGACCGAUGACAUUACCUGUGACAUUAUUGCAAGUGACCCCAUUCCAAGAGCAGCAAUCUAUGCUCUUGUUCCAUUCCAAUGCACAUAUAGACUGUAGAUAAGGAUAACAGUCGGUUUUAUUAAGGUAGAAGGAAUUCUUAAAAUUGAGUAAGGCAUCACGUUGGUCAGGAGGGCAAAGGAAGGAAGCAGAGAGAAGAUGGAAAUUUAAGAAAAAUAGGAAAUAGAAGAGGUCGAGGAUUUGAUGCCACCCCAUUGUGCAAUUUAGCAUGCGAGUGAGUUUAUUGGUGGUGGGGAGUGCUUCAACUUAUACAACUUAUACAGCCCUUCUCAAGUGUGAAGUCAUUGAAACAAGUCUUCUCUAAGGUCCAUUGGUGGGCUCACAUGUGUCAUCUAUUUUAAAAGCUUUUUUGGUUGGCAUACGAGAAAUUUCAUGUAAGAUUCAGUCAGAAUGAUGUCUCAUUUUCUCAUGGUCAAGGAAGAUCAGAUUUUCUGCCAAAGUUAGUUUAGUCAUAGGUACACAAGCGUGUAAAACAAAUAUUCAAGUUUAAAAAAAAAUUCCUUUCCUAGACACAUAUACUUUACACUAUUCGUUCCUUCUAUAUCAAUCAUGAUAAGGAUGGACAGAAAGAAACAUUAACAGGGAUUGAUAUUUGACACAAGCUUUGUGACCCCGACCCUCAGGUUGUACACUACAUCCUAAAGAUAAACACAAAAAGAAAUAGAUCUAACGAGUCACAAAAAGAAAUAGAAUUUAAACUGAGUUGUUCUCCUUACGGUGAUAGGCUACCUAAUUAAUUGACAACCCGCAACAACGGGAAAGCCUCCAAUAUUUUCGUCAGACAUAGGAGCAAAUAAAACCUAAAAAAGUUAUUUGACACUUCAUGCCAGAGACAAUCCAUAUGCAUAUUUGGAUCGCGUCUAAACAUGUAUAAUACACGAGUACUUAGAGACCACAUCAUAUUUCUAAAAGUUAAAUUAUUGUGGAAUUUAAUAUAAAAUGAUAAAAUAUCUUUAACUUCACUAAAGUGCUUACAAAUAGUUUAUAGCUACAAUUGUGCAGAAAGAAAAAGAAACACAGUCUGGUCGAGCACAAUAACUGUCGGCAGCGAUUCACUUAAUUAUAAAUGCUAAGAAGUCAAAGUCUUCUUGAAAUGACAUUAUUGUGAUCACAAAAUUGUAUUUCUUGAUUGUCUUGGUGGGGUUCCUUGGGUGUGGAAAAUUCUUAGUUACUUGGGCUCUACGUAGACAUGGAGUGGAAAUCUUAUCCAUUUUUCUUGAAAGACAUAUUACUCAAGUCUAUGGCGGCAUUUUCAUUAUAUAUAUAUAUAUAUAUAUAUAUAUAUAUGUGUGUGUGUGUGUGUGUGACGGUGCGAAUUUUGGAUAACCUGAUCGCGAGAUCAAGGACUCUUCUGGCGUCACAUCAAUACAUUCGAAGAGCUUGAGCACUCUGAUCUCGCGACGCUCCGGGAAGUUUGUCAGUUCCUUUGUAUCCGAUCGGUCCAUCUCACAGAUCCUGCGAGACAUCACCUUCUUACAGCUCACAAGCAGAGGACACGGACUGCAUCUCCUGUCUAGACAAACAGACCGCUCAAAUCUGUCAUCUACGUGCGCUUUGGUAGCCUCGCGGCCAUGAGCGAGGCGUAUAUGUCGGAGAUUGCUUUAGGCCUAGCUGACUCGGANNNNNNNNNNNNNNNNNNNNNNNNNNNNNNNNNNNNNNNNNNNNNNNNNNNNNNNNNNNNNNNNNNNNNNNNNNNNNNNNNNNNNNNNNNNNNNNNNNNNUGCUUUUUUCAUUCAGAUACAGCACAAAUGUCUUUGGCUUUUUUCUCUUCAGUUUAUUACUAUAUUUUUUGGCUAAGGCAUUUAAUUUAGUUUUAUUUACCAAAUACGCACGAGCGGUGUUGAUUCAAUGAUUCAUUGAUGCCUCAUGAGUCCAUAAUAUGCAAUGUAAACUUCCUUAAUAAUUCAUAUUGUUAGGGAAGUUGCUGCGAAAAGUUGAACCUGAGUUAGUGGAUGCUUUAAUUGAGGCUACGAAAGAUGGUGAUCACAGUAGGCUGCAAGCUUUAUCUGUAUCCAAGGUGUGGUUUGGCGAAGAUGACGAUGAAGGAGAAGAAGUGUGUGUGUGUGUGUGUGUGUGUGUGUGUGUGUGUGUGUGUGGGCGCGCGCGCGCGCGCGCGCGUUGCUCUGUCAUCAUAGUCCAGUAGAUAAAUGUGGAGAAUCUAUUAGGAGGAACGCAUUCAUUUAUGAAUUUUUUUUCCAGUAAUGCAGCUUUGAAUUUACAGAUACUUUGAAUCUCUAAUAUCUUUAAGUUUGAUAAAGUGCUUAUCAAAUAUUUUACAGCUAUUAUAGCUUAUGACAACUCUUAAAAAAAACUGCCUCGCACAACUUUUAGAUGUUAUAACUUUAAAAUAUGUAUUACUCCAGUACCUAACUCUAAGGGUAAGACAUAAAAAUUUUAUACGAUGAUUUCGUAAAUCGUGACAUAUAUUUGAUAAUAGUAAGCACAAAAACCAAGCGGCCCUGAGGGGCGACGGUCCCCAUGCCGGUCAACCCAAGCAUACAAGAGGAUUAUCAGUUAUGGAAUCGUCUCACCUUACCCCCUGGAAAUCUGUAUUGUCAUUUCCGGGAGCCUUUUUUUCCCCACCACAAAGUCUGAUUCGGCUUCAAUUAUAAGGAAAACCCAAAAUGUCUCGAAUUGGCCACGCAACUUAUGAAAACCUGCGCAAAGACCCUGUGGAAAGGCCUGCAUAACUGCUUCGGAGGCUGAGGAACUGAUGCCACCCCACAUUGCGCUUUAGCAGAUAAGUUAAUGGCGGUUGGGAUGGGGAUUCAACUUAAAGGAGAUUUUGCAAGAAUCGCAUGUUUGGAUUAUCUGCAUAAUGCUUGAGUUGCCAUGAUCCCCAGACUAAAGACGACAAACAUCUCGUCGUGUAAACUCAAUUGUGCUAGAGUUGGUGGAAUAUGGAAACGAAGAAUCAGAUCAUCUCAACAUGAACCGGCUCUCGAUGACGCCCGCUCUCAUAUUCCAAGUCAGGAAGUUUGUUUUCCCAUGGAAAAAGUAUUCUCUGAUGUACUUUAUUCUAUUGUAGGAAAACCAAAUAAGGGCAAAAGGAAGUGGCUUUAGCAAAAGUGAGGGUUGCAUUAUUCUAGGUACUCAAGUGGUCCUUGUUCUGCUUUUUAUCAAGUCAAGUCUCCUCCAUUAUUGCUUGCCAAUAAUGAAUCGCUUUUCUUAUGCUCAUACUAUUUAUCCACUUAAUUAAUUUAGUUAAGUUUCUUAACAAAUUACCGACAUAUUUUACUUUCAUCUUCAAUCAUUGAUGAGUAGAAGAGUGCAUAACUUUUAAGAUUAAGCAUCCCAUCUCUCUCUCUCUCUCUCUCACUCUCUCUCUCUCAUAUUUCUUUUCAUUUAUCAGGGUAAACAUAAACAGCAUGCGAAAGUUAAUCUUAUGUGCACGAUCGAUUAUAUAAUAAGAUCAUGAAGAUCAAUUGAGAAUUAGCAUGUCUAGAAUCCACAUGUGAUUUAUUUUUGUUUUUGGCUUUGACUUGACGUUUUCAAAAUCUUCCCGUGCAUGACAUUUUGAAUAAAACUGUUCGGCGAGUUAUUUUAGAAACCGUUAUAUAGUCCGGGGAUGUAUUGCAUUUGUGUUUUAGAAAGUGUUAUAUAGUCAUUUCGUUCUCUCUUGUGAUGGGAGAGUAUGGCCUUUUUCCGGUAGUUAUAUCUUAGUCCACUGAUCAUAUAGACACAUAUUUUGAGUUAUCCACCAAAUAAUGGAGAUUACAAUUUUUUGGAUGAACAAUUAUUCAUGCUUUUUUGCAAUUUUAAGGUUUGAAUAUAAUUUAGAUCACCAAAAUAUUAGCCUGGGAAGUAUCAAUCAUAUGUGAAUUGUUGUUUUGCUUUCAGUCCCCUCUAAUAUGUCGUUUUUGAGUUAAAAAUAUCGCAUGCAAUCAAAAGUGAGUAUUUUUCCGCCCUGGCUUCAACUAUGCAAUAAUAAAUGUCUUGUUUGCAAGAUUCAAAUGAUGAGGGUAUCUGACGUAAACAAAGUACCUUUCAAGUAUGUAAUACUUAAAUAUGGUACGGUGAAAAAAGUAUGACUGAAUGCAUAUUUAAAGAGGCAAGAAGAGGCUAGUCAAUUGAAUUUUAAAUGGCAUAAAAAAUACAAAUUUUCAAGAGUUUGAAGCUUUUUUCAUAUAACAAGCCACAUGAUGAAAUCAAAUUUUGGCAGGUUUGGAUUAAACCAGAUAAUGCGAUGCCAAACCAUCUUUUUGCUUAUCAUCUCGUACCAAUUCCACUAGCCCAAGUAUCAGUUGAGUAAACUUACCAGAAGAAUUUCUUGUGAAAACAACUCUAUCCUCAGAAGAACUGCGAGAAGAGUGUGUCCCACAAAGGCUGCAUGAAUCACGAGUUGAGAUUAUACUAAACAAAGACCCAUCUUUUGCUUCUUUUCAGGUGCCUCUUUUCUCCUUUGAUAAAGUCUAAUCUUGCUUUAUUUUUCAUAGUCAAGUCCGGUAAAAAGAUAAUACUAAAGAAAGACCUGAAUGAAUGUGAAACGAACCCGCAUAAUCUUUUAAAAUUACGAUAAAGUAAUCUUCACGUUCAUGCUGUUCAAAUGCUAUCUUCCCUUAGCAACGGCUGGUCUUUUGAUUACUAUCACGACUAGGGGUCCAAAAAGAAUAGUCUAAUAUCAAGGGAGCGUUUGAUAUACGAUGGUUUCAAUACAAAGAAAGGAAAACUUCCAGAGAGGUAGAUUUUAUUUGUGAUGCUUCCAGAAAGCAUAUGAAAACACUGCACUGCUUUAUAUUCCAAAACAAGUCAGAUCAACAGUUACGUACAAUUAGUUCGAGCAUAAAGUCCUUGAGGAAAGGCCCACGAAAUUGCUUGGGAGGACGAGAAUUUGACGCCACCCCAUUUUGCACUUCGGCAUGUGAGUGAAUUUAUUGGUGGUGGGGAUAAGGGAUUCAUCAUCGACUUUAGACAGACUUUCAACACAAGUCUUCUCUGAAAGAUCUGUUAGUGGGUUCGCAUGGACUUCCAACUUCUUCCCCCGUCUACUCCAAUAAGACCACUUCAACUUGCCUUCGGGGUUGGGAUUUGAAAUAUCGUUGAAGUUUGAUAAAGCCCUUGUCAAAUAUACGCGUUCAGAGACGAAGUUGGAAGUUUUGUGUACAAGGCAUAUAAAUGAGAUAUCCACUAUUACCAACUUUGCUCCUUCGCAUUGGCACGACUUAAGGAGAUUUUGCAAUAAUUGCAGGUGUGAAUUAUAUGGAGAUUGGUUGCAAGCCAAAACAUCUGAUCUUGGCAGAAUUGGAAGGAAUCUCUGGCAAUUGAACUGCCAUCAUAAUUUAGUUAUUUUAUUUAAUGAAUACCGCGUGAACUCAAUUGUGCUGGUCUUGGUGGAAUGUGAAAAGGAAGAAUCAGAUCAUCAUCACAUUUCCAAUGUGAACUGACUCUUGACGACCCUCGCUCUCACAUUCCAAGUCAGAAAGUUUGUUUUAACAUGGCAAAAGUAUUGUUCAACGCACUUUAUUCCGUCGCACGACAAUCUAAUCAAGUGGAAAAGAAAGUGGCUUUAGAAAAAGUGUGAGGGUGCUAAAUAUAUUCACUCAGGUAGUUGUUGUUCCGCUUUUUAUUCCAUCAAAGUGCAAGUCAAGUCUCCAUGCAAACAUUGUUCUUCAUGGUUGUUGGACGUUGCACGUGGUAUAACUUCCAUUUGCCAUCAACAGAGAGGCAUUCUCAUUUAUUUAGGUUUCAUUUAUUUUACAAAAAAAUGAAUCAUUUCAAAAAUAUUACCCUAAAAAUGAUACAUUAGAUCGCUUGAUAUAAUUAGUCAGAAAAAGACAUUUCAAUUAUCAACAACAAUUUAUGUCCCAAUAUUUUCGUAGACAAUAUUAAUAAUUGAUGUUCAUUCAUUUUUAUGAGUGAAGUAAUCGAUUAAUUUUAGGAAAAUAUUUUUCAUUUCUGUGAAACAAAUGGAAUCCUCCUUGCUUUUCCUUGUGAUGAUAAUCGAACUUACAAAAUCCUUCAAGCACUCAAUUAAUUAUAAUUUGCAUUAAGCACAAUACUCAUCUCAUUCUAUACAAAUCUUCCCAUGCAUGUUAUUCUGAAUAAAAAUGUUUGGCAAGGUUACUUUAGAAAGUCUUAUGUAGUCUUGGGAUGUAUUGCAUUUGUGUUUCUGCGAGUGAGAGCUUCAUUUUGUUCACUCAUUAUGAUGGGAGAGUGUGGCUUUUCAUUUUUAUUUUUUAUAUAGUAUAUCAUAGUCCCUUGAUGAUAUAAACACAUGUUUCGAAAUUAUCCACCAAAUAAUAAGGAUCGCAGUUUUUUGGAUGAAAAAUUGGUCAUGCUUUUCAUUUGUAACUUUGAAUGUAGUUUAAAAUCAGUAAAAUAUUAGCUUGUGAAGAAUCAAUCACAUGCGCAUUGCUGUUACGCUUUUUGUCACUUUAAAAAAUUUGUUUCGCGUGAAAAAUGUCGCGUGCAGGCAUAAGCAAGAUUUAUCUUAGUUUCAUCAUUAACUAUACAUAAUAGAUAAUUGUUUUGUGUGUAAGAUUAAAGUGUCGAGUGUUUCUAACGUAAACAUGGUAUUUUUUACCGAUAUAAUCCUCCAAUCUCUUAAUACAAAAAAUGUCCAAACAUUAAAUUAAUUCUAAAAGCAUAAUUGGAUACGUGAAAAUAGGCGAAGUGGAUGCUCAUGAGUCGAAGAAAAAAUGGCAUAUAACAUACAAAUUUUCAGGAACUCGAAGACUAUUACAUCUAACAAGCCACACAAUGAAAUCAAAUGUCGGCGCGUUUGGAUUAAACUAGAUAUUCUAAUGCCAAACCAUGUUUUUGCUUAUUUUCUCGUACCAAUUCCACUCACCCAAGUAUCAGCUAACUCACCAGAAGAAUUUUAUUGUGAAAACAAUUCUAUCAUCAGAAGAAUUGCCAAUGAGUCGAGUGGGUUCAUAGUGGCUCGAAGAAAAUCGACCACGAGUCAAUUGCAUUAAAAAUAUCUGAAAAAUUACUCAGUAGCCUAGGUCACGCUAAAAACGCGUCAAAUAAAAAAUUAACCGCCAAUCCAAGUCCGAUUUCAGAAAUUGAAGUUUCUAUCAUGUCACAAUGAAUUAUAAGAGUGUCGACUCAGUCUCAUAAGAUUUUUCAGAGAUCCCAAGAUUUUUACGGAAAAUGGGUUCGAACGUCACGGAAUUUGGAUGGAAAUUCAGAUUGGUUAAAUUGAUGAGAAAUUGGACUUUUCAGACUGAGCCUGUGAGAAUCAAAGAUUUAUAGAAAAUUUCUUGAGAUUUUUCUACAUCAAAAUUGGAUCUCAAUUUGGGAAUUUAUUGGAAAAAUUGAAGUUCAAAUGGUGAAAUUCGUAUGAUUGGAUGAGACAGCAAUUUUGGACUUUAAAUUUGUUUAUUUGUGAGUUGAUAAGCUUGAAAUUGAUUGGGGGGACAAAGAGGAGUGUAUUGUGGACUUGUGGGGCCAAAACAUUAAAUGUAUUGGCUAAGAUUUCUGAUUUUUGUUUCCUCUUAGCUGGCUUCUCGCGCUCGACAAGCCUCCCAUCCGCUCGUUGUUCCUGCUUUUGUUUUAAUCUUUCAACCGUGCGAAGCAAUCCCCAUCCAAUCUCUCUCCGUCUCCGUUAGUUCUCUUCCUCAACCGAAGCCCACACACUCCACUCACGCCAGCCACGAGAUCUUCAAUUUAAGCUGCUCCUCGCCACUUGUCCAUCAACGAGCAUCUCUUGGUCAGCAUCUGCAAGAGCGAGGCCGUUGGUUGACCGCUUGAAGCCCACGCCCACGCGUCCGAGCUGCUCCCAUUCGAUCAAGCGUCCCAGCUGCAACUUUCCUCCGCGCGUUCCUCAGCUCCACUCCACACGUCCGCCAACGAAGCUUGAAGACCAGCAACGCUUGAAGAUCAACGGCAUAGCUUCUUCGACGCUGUUUUUCCCUCCAUCGUCCACGCCAGCACGCCCCCAUCUCAGUCGAAUUUCCACCGGGUGAAGCCUUCGUUGACCAGCGUCCGCGUGUCUUCGUCAUCAACUCCACGAAGCUGCGAGACCCACCGAGCUACCAACUGUUGCCAGCGUCUUCGGUCUCCACAGCCAACGGAUCCAGCUGCGUGAAGCCCAGCAAAGCCUGCAGUAGUCCACGAAUACUGCAGCUUCAGUCUUCUUUUGCUCGUGGGCCAACCACAGCGAGCCCAUUCCGAUUUUCAGUGGCCCAACUUGAGCUCUUUGGAAGCCUGUGAAGAAGCAGCCCUCAAGCCCAGUUCAGUUCAACAACAGCCCAGGCCAGCAAUUCGUUUCAGCCCUCUUGAAGCCCAAUCCAAGGAAGCCCAGCAAGUCUUAGUUUCAGCUUGGGGCCCAACCUGUUUUCAGUCCAGUUUCAGCAGGCCCAAGCCCAAGAGCAAGCCCAUUCCAGUUCAAGAACAAAUCUCAUUUGGGCUGAGAUUUGUUGGGCCAAGGUCGAGCCCGGUCCAAGCCCGUCGGGGUCGUCGAAAGCCCAAUUUCGACCGCCGUCGCAUCGCUGUUGUGGUGAUUUGGUUCUCGCUUUUAAUCAAGUGAUUUUUACUCACUAAUGCUUUAUUAGUUUGCUAAUUAUGCUUAGGGAUUGGUUAGAUUUAAUUAAAUGCAAUUAGGUGGUUAGAUUAGUUAGAUUAAUUAAAUUAGAGACUUAAUGAUGCAUGUUAGAUGGUUAGAAAUAGACAUUAGCAAGUAGGCAUGCCAUGUUAUUUAUGGAACAAGUCUCGGUAAUUUUCCGGGUUCGUAUCGGCUUCCAAUUAGGCUAUAACGGGCAUAAGUUGGAUUUAUUGCAUUUAUUUAAUAUUUUUCGUAAUUAUUUAAUUACUUAUUUAUUUUUUGGAAAUUAUGCUAGGAUAGCCGACGACCGAAAUUUUGUGCUUAUUCCAAUAGUGCUUUCUGUUUAUUUAUUCGAGCAUCAGAUUAUGAAAUUUUAGUGAAAUUGGUGAAUAUGAGAAUUUAUCCCAAAAUUAGGAAAAUGUCGGUACUUGAAGGGAAAGUAACUGUGUGUGGUUGUGAGUUGGAUUAAAGAUUGCCAGGUGGGGCUGUGAUGCCACCAAGUUGAGAAGAGUGCCAGGCGGGGCCGUGAUGCCACCAAGUUGAGAAAAUUGCCAAGUGGGGCCGUGAUGCCACCAAGUCUAGAACAUUUGCCAGGUGAGGCCGCGAUGCCACCAAGUCUAGAAAAUUUGCCGAGUGGGGCCGUGAUUCCACUAAAAAUAAAUUAUGCCUAUAGGGUCGUGAUUCAGAGUCAAGAAUGAAGAGUCGGGAUGACCAUGUAAUGGUGUUGAUGACAUGUAAUUGACUGAGUCGAUUGAUCGUUAAGUCGAUAUGAUUAGUUGGAUGCUAUAAUUGUCAGUAUUUAUUAUUUGAAUUGACUUGCAGGAAGGAAACUGAGGCCAAGGUAAGCCCUCUGACCCAUGAUGUGCUUAGGCAGCCCUCAUGACGUAUUUUCUUACUAAUCGGGUCUUAGGGGGUAGAAUUCACUGAGACAUGGUCUCAUUGGUUAUUGAAUAACCAUUUCAGGACCCUGAGGAGGAGCCAAGGAGGAGAAAGAUUUUUGAGGAAGAAGAAGAUGAUCCAGAGAGGGAUCUUGAGUACAACCCGGAUGUGGAUUGAGAUCACAUCCUUUUUGUGAACCAUGUCUUAGUGUAGAUAGGUGUGAGACUUGGUUGCUGUAAAUAGUAUUGUAAAUAUACUAUGAGUUGCACUGUUAAUAAAGGUGUGGUUGUGAAUUUCAAUACGAAAAAUAUGACCUGUUUUUCUAUCCCAUUAUUUUAUUAUCUAGGGAUUCAUAACUGCUUUCGCAUGCGGAAUAAAUAAAAAAGGUCAACGAUACUUAGUUUUGGGAUAUCGCAUUUUAAAAUUGACAAAGUAGAAGGAUGGGCACGUCCCCAAGGAUCGGGGCAUGACGCCACACCUCCCUACCCAGUGGUAGUCUAUUUAGAAGAAUAGACAGAGAGUCUACCUUCCCUCCCUCCCUCGCUCCCCCAAAGUCUCCCUAAUUCCAAGAUACAUGUUUUUUUUCUUUUGUGCCUAUAAGGGAAUUACCCCGAAAUUUAACAUCUCCAAGUUAAGACGAAACAAUUUUGAGACAUACUUAAGUCCAUUCUUCCUCUUUUCAUUGAUGUUAAAGUUACAUUCAGGGAUCAGCCGAAAAAUUAAAAAUGAAAUCAUCUUUCAAUUUAAAUUUCAACUCAAUAAGUAACGCUUUCGUUGUAAUAUAAUGCGGAAACUAAUAUCGGAAAAUCAAAAUUAUAAUCCCUAUAUUUGAAUAUUUUUCACACUUCGAUUACACCUAAGCCUAAGGUAUUUAUAAAUAAAAUAACUCAAUGUGACGUGAAUUCAUAGCUCAAAAUCGACCGUGGUCAACACUUCUCCGUGCGAUCGAGAAAAAGAGUGUCACCCCGUGUGACCCCUUUCUUACUUGGCUGUUCGUCUUUUCGUGGAGUUCACUCCACGGCUUGAAGGAAUUCUUCUGCGCGGCCAACUAAGGGUACUCCCACACCCCCAGGACUUAUGUGUUUGCCCUUUUUCUCGUUCCUUUAUAGAAGUCAACGAAUCCACUUUUGACCAGGACCCACCGAAUAUUCAAGCUCCUUUUUCUUGCGUGGCUUUUAGACGUCCGCCGCAUGCCUUCUCGAAGAUAUUAGAUAAGAGUUUUGCUAAUAUAGCUGUUUUUAAAUAACUGUUAAAGUACCGGAUGAGGAGCGGAUCUCUUAAUAAUUUCGAAUUAUUUAUUAUCUAUUUUUUUUUUUUAUGAUUCAGAGCAUACUGUUUUUAUUACAGUAAAUUAAAGAUAAUCACUUAAUCAUUUUUCAUAAGAUAAAACCAAUUAAUUGAGAGACAAACCGACAUUUAGAGCAAAUAUAGUCUGCUCCCACCUCAUAAAAUUCAAACUUGAAUCGGAUUAAUGGGCUCACCGAAUCUGAACAAAUCGAGAUCCUCCAAAUGGUUUGGAUUUCGUACAUGUGCUAAAACAUGAGACAUGAUAUUACACUUUUUGUUUGCUGUCAAAAAAGAUGUUAGUUGCAAGUGUAGCAAUCUACGUUGACAUGCGCCCAAAAGAGAUGUCAUCACUCCCUCUAUAUUAUGCCACCGAAGAGGGUAGUCAAACAAUAUUCAAGCAAAUCUUCAAUCCAUCAUCGAGUUUUACUUAGAAUAGCAUUAUGAGCUACCGCUGAGACAACUCAAGGUUAGAUAAUGAAAGAAAAAGAACAGAUGAAAAAUGUCACAUAUUUUUUAAAACUUGAUUAUCGUAUCUUUUUGUCAUGAUAAAAUCAAUGUCAAUUGCAAAAUUAAACUCCACAUUUUGGAGUUGGCCAUCUCGAUCUCGUCCUAAUAUAUUCCACCAACAGACAACGGUCAUAGAUCUCUGUCUGUGUGUAGAACGUUUAGUGUAGUUGUUCUAUGCUAAGGUGAUGUAAUUAGAAUGGAUGCAAUGCUGAUGGUACGAGAGAGGAUACAGUAAGGACAUAUUUCAUGUAGUUGAUUACGGUGUAUGUAGAUUGGCAUUCAUUUUAAACGCCCUAUUACUUCACGACCUUCCCAAGGGAAAAAAAAGUGUUGGUUUAAUUUCAGCACUGGUGUAUUUGCACCAAAUUCAAGUACGACUGUUCCAGCAAGAGCAUGAAUAUAAAUCAGGCGGAUUCAAACGCGAAAGAUAAACCGAGUUUUGUAUAUACCUGCAAAUGAGUGUAAAAAAAAACACUCAUGAUAAGAGAGGUUAACCUCCCAUUUUUUAAUCAGGUGAUUUGCAAUAUUUCGCUCUUCGUAUACCUCCCCAGAUUUGAUAAAAUUAGCAAGCAUUGGAAAGGCAAAGGCAUGUUUAAUUUUUCUCAUAGUAUAACCGUUCUCCUUUCAGCUAUGAGGGACUUCCUAAAUCUAGCACCCCAUCAUCUACAGGGUAUUCGGUUCAUGUACUGCCCAGAAUUAUGAAAUGAUUUAACCGGAACCCAAAAAAAGAAAACAUAAUGUCACAAUGUAAAUUACCAAGACAUGCAAGUAUCAAUUGGGUGAUCAUAUAUUGCUGCUAGGUAAUUGCCUUGCAAGGUUACCCAGGAAAAUGCUGUGCACAUUAUAGAGGAAUGAAUUAGCCCGACCAGCUAUAGGCUUGUGCAAAUGUUACCUUCAUGCCCAUGAGAAACCAUCAAUUUGGUUCACGUUGUCGGUAGCAGGAUGUUAAAUGAGAAAUUACUUUGUAUAUUCAGUACAUAAAACUGUAGACACUUGAUAUUGAGUACCUAAAUUCUUAGUGCUUAUUUUUUUAGUCUUACCAAACGGGCUUUUAGGCUUUGAAUAUGUGGGCCUAGUUAAGCGCCCAAGAUCACCCAUAAAAGAGAGCAUGUGAUGCAGGUGCGGGGUGGGUGAGUGUUGUUUUGAGUGAAAUAACGGAUGGAAUCGUAGUGUGUGGGAAUGAAUGUCGAUGGGCAAAUGCAACAAACUCAUAGCGUGCUGUGAGGUCUAAUGUAUCUAAUUCGAUGAAUCAGGAAUCCAUGGCUCAGAUCACUUGUAGAAAUCAGCAGCUCUCAGUAAAUAUGAAGCCAGGAUUUUAGUGUAUGCUAAAAAGAUUUGUAACCAGCAAAGAGUAUUUCCAAUGAUUUUUUUACAACAACUAAGUAUUGAAUCAAUGACGUACUGGUGAAACUUUCUUCUCUAGGUGAUUGGGAAGUGGACUCCUCACACAGCCCGCACAUGCUGAACUCGUUUUCCUCUACGAGGAUGCAAAUGAAACUUUGAGAGCAGCGGGAGGCAAUGCAGAUUGUUUUUUCAGCAACAAAGUUAAAAACCAGGUAUCCUCUCCUCUGAUUGUUUUUUCAGCAACAAAGUUAAAAACCAGGUAUCCACUCCUCUUCCCUGUGUUCAUGUUCGAAAUCUUCUUUCUCCUUCGUCAUUAUCUUUGCCAACCCAGGCCUCCGGUACCAAUAAAGCUCGCAGCCUGCUCUGGUCACCAUCUUCUGUGUCCUCAAUUGAAGCAUCCAUUAACUCAGGUUCCACUUCUCGCAGUAACUUCCCUAGCAAAUGUGAUUCAUUAAGGAAGUUACAUUGCACAACAAAUCAAUGAUACCUCUCGUGCAUAUUUUGUAGAAUACAACUAAAUAAAACUGCUUUAGCAAAUAGAAAAAAGGACAAAGAAACUUCUGUUUCAACUGGAAAUGAAAAAAAAUAUCUACAGCAAGCAAAACUUCAGAUUUUUCACACAGCUUGAACAUUCAUCUACGACUUUCCCAAGCAAAUCAUUAGCAUUUACUUAUCAUUCAUCAAUAUAUGCUUGAGGAACUAUACUGCAAGUACCAUCCAAGCAUUUUAAAAAGUACAAGCCGACACACUCAAACUCAAUCUAAGUGGGGAAAAAGCGGCAGUUGGGAAAGAGCUGCUUACUCCAAGGACUAUUUUGCCCAAAAAGAACUCAUCGUGCAAUAGCCAAGCGUAGCAAAGCAGAUACCAGGUGAAGCGGCAAGAAAGGCGAAAAGAUUCUUGCAAACACACACGUACACACUCGCAAAAAUAUGAAUAAAAAUGUGAUAGUACCAAUGUAAUUGAACUGCCUUCGCUUUCCUUCUCGAACAUCCGGUUUCAGUCUCUGCAACAAAUCCACAAACAUGUCCACGGCAUUAACAAAUAAGAACUCAGACCAAAAGCCUCACGAGAAACAGCCCCACGUUGCAGAGGCAUCACCUUCGCAAGAAUCCAAGCGUCCAAGGCCGCUUGCUCCAGAGAAGCCACUCUGCAAUUCCCCUUUUAAAAAGAAAGCGAUAAUGAAUCUACAGUGCUGCAUUAUUGGACAUCAUUAUAUCCACGAAGCCCGUGAAAGCUCAAAAUGGCUCCGCCUCCAAGACACAUCUUUUUUUCCCAGUAGUAUCUGAGGAAGCGCUUGGAUCUUGAGAUGGGAAAAGGAAGCGAGUUCCAUGCCCCAGGGGACGUCGCGGCCAAGCCUCGCGCUUCUUCUGGUUGAGGCUUUUCUGGGCGUCACAGUCGGAGUCGCUGCCAUCUUCUCGGGCUAUCGUACGGCGGCGGACAGUUGGGGAAUCUGAGCCCGUGCGGCCGGUGAUGCGGCCGGCGAUGGACGUUGUUCCAAAGGGCGAAAGAGAUAUCUGGAUAAUGGCUCUCGCUUCAUUUUCCUGUUUUUUGGCUCUCUUUUUUUAAGUUGAGUGCUUGACAAAUUUCAUUGUUCAUCUUUUCAAUUCAACUCAUAUACAAUUACAACAAGAUACAAAAGGAGAAGACAUUAAAACAAUGUCAUUUGAAGCAGGUUAGGUGACAUCUUUAUUCACCGAACAUACAUUACAUGGUUUAAAGAGACAACUCCUCAAUAAUUUCACUGUCCAUGAAACUUGAUAGCCUUCCACUCUAGCUUCUCCAUCCACUGGGCCAUAGUUCGCUCCAACAUUCUCACGCCUUGUGAGAGCCAUUUGAGUCUUCUCAUUUCAAAUGCAAUGUACGCUAUGGAAAUCCCAAUGACAAUUCCAGAAGUAUAAUCUAUCCGAAUUACUUUCUAUUUGAACCAACUCUCUUGUCCUUCGUGGUCCUAAGUAGAUGAGGACGAUGGUGGAGGAAAUUGAGCAUUGCCGGGGCAUGCUUUCGGCAAUGGAGUUCCACAUAAGCUUAGAUUCCCAUUGAACGAACCGCUUGAAAAUGUGAUCAAUUGCUUGUCUUGAGGAAUUCGGCCAAUGAGUUGGUUCUUCGAGAGGUUUAAGUACCCAAGGAAUGCCAAAUCUCUCAAUACUCUAGGAAUUCCCCCUCUAAGCUUGUUCGAAGAUAGAUCAAGCCAUUCAAGUUUAGUCAGGUUUCCUAAAGUUAGAGGGAUGGAACCUGUAAGGUGAUUGUGUGAAAGGUUUAGCCCUAUGAGAGAGCAAAGAUGGCCAAAAGCUUCAGGAAUGUCUCAUUGGAAAAAGUUGCGUGACAAGACAAUGGUUGUGAGUAUAGUCAAUAUUUUUAGUAGCUUAAUCUCUAGCUCUUUCAUGGUCAUGAUCACGGAGCUAUCAUAUGACCCCCCUUGCAAAGAUUGUGUCAUAUACAAUGAUUUGUCUUGCCUAGUUUCGCCAUUCACUAUGGCUUUAAGGUUCAUUAUCAAAUUGAUUGGCAAAGAACCACUAAAAUUGUUAUUGGAGAGAUCCAAAAUGUGUAACUUUAGAAAGAUGUGAACUCCCUUAGGAAUAUCCAAAAGAUCCUUAAAAUUGUUGGACCUCAAAAUGAGAACUUUUAGUUUUAGGAGCGUUCCCAACGAUCUCGAGAACGUAUCCUCUAUAUGAUUGUUGCUCAAAUCUAGAACUUCUAAACUUUUACAUUUGAUGAGGGACUGAGGUAAUGUGCCUCUAAACCAAUUUCAACUCAUGUCAAGAGUCAUCAAGUUAUUUCUAGAAGAAAAUGAUUGAGGAAUUAUGCCCUCAAGGUGAUUCAUUCGCAAGUCCAAAACUGAUAGGUCGAUGCUAAAAUUUGUUAUGCAUCGAGACAAGCUAUCUGUUAAGCCAUCGUUGGACAAAUCAAUGAACUCGAGGUUGGUGGCAUUGCAAAUCAAAGAGGGAAUAUUUCCCGUUAUAUUGUUACUUGCAAUGGAAUAAUAAAAUGUGACGGGUGAUGGAAGCGGGAUUUGGCCUCCAAACUUGUUUUUGGCCAAAUCUAUUAUAGCCAAUGUGGUGUUUGAGAAAAGCUCUACCAGCCACUAUCCUAUAAAAUUGUUAUCGGAAAUAAAUAAAGAUUCAAGAGCAAGAAAGGAUAGUCUAAAAACAGUAAGGUUAAUCUUACCAUGAAAUUUGUUGGAUCGCAAAUCAAGGUACACCAGAUGCGAUGCUUCCAGCCAUCAUGAGUAGGGGUGAUCGGGUCUAAGGUGGGUAGGGUUUAGACCUAGACCUUGUACCCGACUCUGUUAUAACCGGUUCAUCUUUUGGACCCUAUACCCGACCAUGUUUGUAUUGGACCUUGUACCCAACCCACCCUAUUUUUCCGAUCCGGUUCCAAGGUCAACCUUGUUUCCACUUGAACUUGUUUUGCAAUCUCCCGAUAUCCUAUACGACUUCAAAUUUUAUAUUAAUACGUGAGAAAAUAACGUAAUCAUUCUAAUUUGUAUCGAAACAUUAAGCACUUGUAAUAAAUAAAUACAUGAGUUUUUUGACUAAACGAAAAAUUAAGGAUCCACAAGGCUAAUUAUAAUAAAUAAAAUCAUAAAACAAAGAAUUAGCAACAAACAUGGGUCUAAUAUUAGCCUUAUUCCAACAACUACUACAUGAAGCUACUCAUUUAUGCAAGCAUAACUCCUCCUACAAAAGAGAAAUUAGGUGAGCCAAUCCAUAUGAUACACAAGAAUUUGGCGGUGAUGAACACCGUCCGUCCGUCGAACAGUGCGAGAGGGAACCCAUGAGGGAGGGAAGCAAGUGAGGAAGAGGAAUGACAAAGGAGGAGUGCCGUGCAUGUUUGAGAGAGCCAAGAAGAAAAAUGUCGUGUGAUUGCGGGAGUAAGAAUAGAAAUUGGGAGAAAAAGAAGGGUUUUAGACCUCUACUUGCAAAACUGGUUCGGGAAUUGGUUCCAAAACCGAUCUAGGAACCGGUUUCCGGGUAGGUAAUUACUUGGAACUUGUUCCCGAACCGGUUUAAACGGGUUCCGAAUUUUGGAAACCAAUUCCUGACCCUAUUUUCCGGGUGGCCCGGUCUGAGAACCGGGUAUACCUAGUCCUAAUCAUGAGGGGAAAUCACUAAAUUCAUUGUGACCAAGAAGUAGUGUUUCUAAGUUAAUGUGUUUGACUAGGGAGCAUAGUAAUGGCCCUUGUGAUUUAUUGCCUCCCAAAUCUAGCCUUUUUAGAUCAGUUAUAUUACCAAAACAUACCGGUAUAUUCCCAGAGAGAUUAUUGUUAGACAAAUUUAAAGACCAGAGUGAGCUCAAUUGGCAAAUUAAACAAGGGAUCUCACCAGUGAGACCAUUGUUUGAGGCAUUAAAGUCAAGUAUAGUAGGUGAAGGGAUCAAGAGUGGUCAUUGGAAUGAGUUGUUGUGAAGGUCAAUUAAUGACAAACUCUUCGAAUGCAUUUGUUGUAUACCUCCAUCCAGAAAGUUAUGAGAAAGAUCUAAUGAAUCCAAUGUAUCAUGACUUAUUUCCCUAAACCACUUUGGGAUCUCCCCACUAAUCCUAUUCCUAGAGAGAUCUAAGACCAUUAAUCUUUUUAACAGAUAUAAGAAAUAGGGGAACUCGGUCAAGUUGCAAGAAGUCAACCAUACCCAUUGAAGAGGAAAGGUUGAAUGAGAGAGAUUUUGAUAAGUCGUUUUUGGAAUUGCACUCAGAUUGUGCGGAAUGUGGAAGUGAGCAAGGUCAUUUUGAGAAAGGUCGAGCAUCCAAAGAUGGUGAAGGAGAAGAAGAAGGGGGGAGCUAUUAGAGUGGAGAGCGCCGUGAAGCCAACUACAAGCAAGAAUGAGUUUAAUGACAUUACUAGUAACAUAGUCGCAACCGACAUUGUCCCACGAGCAGCAAUCUACGUCAUUGUUCCAUGAGUUUGUCUUUGGAUAAGAUGUGUAACAGGAGUCCGAUGCCAUGCUAUCAAGCAUGGAGGAGUUCUUAAAAUGGAGCAAGGCAUUGCGCACAUCAGGAGGGCACAGGGACAUGCGAAAGGAAAGGGAGGAAUUCACAGGGGGGAAGGGAGAGGAAAGGGAGGAAUAUAGAAAGGGUGAAUGAGAGAAAAAGAAAAAAAAAACAGAAAAAAAAAAAAAAAAGAAAGAAAGGAGGUCGAGGAUCUGAUGCCACCCUAUUUUGCGGUUUAGAAAGCACGCAAGUGCUUCGACUUAUAAAGUGUGAAGUGAUGAACACCAAGUCUUCCGAUAUGACGAGUUCAACUUGUCUUGCGGUUUGUGAAUUAAUUUAAUACGCCUAGUUCAACCAACUAUAAAAGGCUUUACGCCCAACCCAUUUUUCUGUAAUCCUUUAUUAAUCUUAACCAACAUCAGAAAAAGCUAUUAGAUCCACCCCAUUAUUCAGUCUAGGAUCCGAGUGAGUUUAUUGGUGGCUGGGAUAGGGAUUCAACUUAUGUAGCCCUUCUAAUAAGCCAAGUUCUCUCCACGCGUCUGCUCUCAAAGGUCUGUUGGAAGGCUGGUACCAAAUAUAUAUUUUAUUCCUAGUGCUUUCACCGAAAGCUAUCCCAAAUGGGAUUGGAUUCCCAGGUAAAAGCGUUCCAGCUCUGUCCAAAGUAAACAAAGUUUAGGGAAGCAAAAAAUAAAGCAGCAGGAAGUGGCCUUCCAAAGACUACAUUGAAUAUCACGUUUUCUUUGUCAUAUGAGUAUUUUCACCCUCGCUAAAAUUAGACAAAGAAACUCCAAUAGAUAAACUUGCCAUGAAAUGGUCUUAAUUAGACUGAACCAUAUUUCAGGACACUUUUCUUUUUUCUUUUCAUUGACGCUAGAGUCAUGUUCACGGAUGAGCCGAAAAGAAAUGAAAUGAUAUCAUCAUUCAAUAUCGGUUCGAUGGGUAAUGUCUUUUGUCCGUAAUUAGAAAGAAAAUGCUUAUCGAUUUGAAUCACCCAAAAAAAAAUCUCUUUUGGCUAAAAUAAAUCUUAAUCAAACCUCUCAUUUUGGUUAAAAAUACGGUACAAAAAUGUAGAAAAUCAACACAAUCUCUUAUUAGUAUAUGAGUUCUGAUUACUUAUGAUUCUGACAAUUUUCAUACAAAUUCCCCAGUUUCUUUUUCUUUUUGGCUUUUGACAAGGUUCAUAUUCACAUUGAUACAUGUCACUAACCACGAUAAGUGACUUUCUUCGAUCUCAUUGCUAAAAAGAAGGACAAGCGGAUGAGGCCAAAAUUUUGAGGGUCAUGAUAAAAGGAAUUCCUGUACGUCUCUUCGUAAUGAUUUUGACUAUACAUUUCAAUGAAAAAUGUAUAGCCAUUAAGAAUUAUUUCACAUUAAUGCAUACGAAAGUAGUUCUUCAAUCUGCAAAGAGAUGCACCCAAAAGAGAUGACAUCACUCCCAGAGAAAUUACCAAAUAAGUUUAAAACAUAUUGCAUUCGUGCCAACUCAAUUCUAAACCUAUUAACAAUUUGCCAAUUAUGUCCUUUCAGCCAAAUUUGCUUGAAAAUCACUAACGUGACACCAGGCAUCCUAUUUGGUAGGCUAGUGCUAGCAUGAACAUUUUUUUUUUGAAUUUUUUUUUUAUUUUCAUCUUUUCGUUUACUUCUUUCUUUGCUUUUUUUCUUUUCUCAUUAUGAUCAGUGAGGGUCACAGUGAACCUCGCUAGCCAUGAAAGCCCCUCCUAGACUAGGUGAGAGCUGCCUCUCCCACAACUAGUGGGGCCCUUGCCCGCAACUUUGCCAAUGUCUUUGCAGCCUCGCUAGGCAUAGGAGGCUUUUGUUGCAAGCAAGGGCCUCACCCAAAUCUAGCAAAGGCAUUUGUAGCCGGCAAAAGUCGCCGGUGACCCUCGUUGGCCACAAUGGGAAAAAGAAAAAAGAAAAAAAGAAACAUGAGAAUAAAAUUUUAAAAAAAUUGCAAAGAUUGUUCACGUUAGCAACAUCAAUCGAUCAUGUCAUGUAAAACGACUAAUACCCACAUCAAUAAUUUCUAGCUAAAUAGACUCCAUUAGCAAAUUGUCAAAAGAUUUAAGACUAAAUUGAUCUAAUUCAAAUGCUUAAAAUCAAAUUUGCUUGAGCACAAUAGAUUUAAGAUUAUUAUUUUUUAUAAUUUUCCUCGUCACUCCCUUUGUACAAAUAUUCUGGUGUCGACCCUACCCUAAUAUAUUCACCCCUAACACAACCGUCCUAGAUCUUUGUGUGUUUGUGCACGGGCACGCCUCUAUUUACAUAUAACAUCUAGUGCACUUGUUCCGUAAAUUACGGGAUAAAAUCAGGAUAGACCAAGGGCAUUGUUGAUUACCUCGUGUGCCGAUUGGUAUUUAUGUGGUAGGCUCCAUUCGCUCGCGACCUUCCCAGGCGAAAAAGGGUUUACUUAAGUGCAUAUGUACUUGUAUAGGAUUCAACUACAUCAGUACUGGCUGGCACCAGCAUGAAUAUUAUCCAGGUAGAUUCGCAUGCAAAAGCACAAACCGAGCGUCAAAAUAAAUAUUUACAAGAACAGAGCUUAACCUCCCUUUCUUUCUUUUUUUCUAUCAGACAAUUUGCAUUAUUUUGCUCCUCUUAUAACUCUCCGGAAUUGAUGAAAUUAGCAGGCAAUGGAAAGGUAAAGGCAAGUAAAUAACGUUUAGCGGCAUAACUAUUCUCUUUUGAGCCAUUGCGCAGGACUGAACCCGGCACCGAAUUAAAAUUAGCACCCCAUCAUCCACCUGCUACUCGGUUCAUACAUAAUCCUGAACCGUAGAAUGAUUCAACCGGACCCUGGAAAAAGAAAAUGUAAAUGUUGCAAAAUAGAUUAGUACAAGAGGUGAGUAUCAACUGUGUAAUCAUGUAUUGCUACAACAUAAUUGCCUCGCAAGGUUUCGAAGGAAACAAGUAGAGGACUUCUGCGCCCUUAGGAGCGCUAUGCUAGCUUCUCUCUCGUUUUCAGCAUAAACAUGGAACCCAAAAUUUAUUUUGACAAUGUGAAAAUAGGAGAUGUCAACCAUGCAAACUCUUGGCAAUUGGCAAAUGCAAGUUUCAGCAACGGGCAAUGUUUGCAUGUGCGCUGAAGAACGACCUAAACAUGGUGAAGUUUGUCGUACCAGUUGGAGCGAUGAAUUAGCCCGACCAACUAUAGAGUUGUGCAAAUGUUAACUACAUGCCAUGCAUUACCGCGUGUGGGAAACCAUCAAAUGGUCUAUGGCGUCAAGAGCUGAAUGUUAAACGAGUAGUUGAUUCAGCAGCAACCCAUGGAUGUUUUUUUUUAUGGCCGACAUGGAAUUGUUCAAGAUGCUAUAAAUGGACUGCAAGAGAUUUGAAUGCUCCAAUAUAUAAAACUAAACGCUCAAACAGUAAGAGAUAUCUGUCAACUUACUUGCCGGUCAAAAUAAAUGGUGUGAAUGGAGAAAACUUCAUUGGCCAUUUGAAUGUCUUUACUGAUUAAACCAUCAAACCACCUGCUUGCUAUGCUUGAGUGCUCACGACACUCCUGGGAAUUGAAAAUUGAAAAGCAAGUCAACAUUGAGAAACUUGAACACAUGUUAGAGAAGGAAGAUGGACAUUGUGAAGAACUACAGUUUCAUGCUUGACCAAUGGAUCACAUCACUAAUGAACCACUUUCUCGAUAUAUGUAUGAUUUGGCAUAUUUUACGGGUGAUAAAGAUCUCAUACCAUCUCUUCCUAACAAAAAGCGUUUAUCACGUGUUAUAUCUUUGGAUAAUUAAAAAAAGUUGUUCAUCGUCUAAAUCUGCGGUAUCGACAGUAACCUAUACAGCCAAGAUUCAACCUUGCCGUGCACUUCUAAAAAGGUAGGAGUAGCCCUUGACAAAAUUGGAAAUGAGUUAUUAAUGGCUCUAUUAUAGAAAACAGGUUAAAUGUUCUUGCUGAAGUUUUUUGUAGGAAAAACUGCUCCUGCUCCGCACUACUUUCUAUGCAAACUUAAACAUAAGUCUCCCUUUUCCACUAAAAAGUAGCAAGUUUGGUUACUAAGUAACUAAUUUACCCAAUACAUGUAAGACUUAAGUUUCGAAUUUUGGGUUUCAUCCAAGACCCUUUUGGCCAGUAAAGGGCAGAGCAAAUGGAUUCUGUUGCAGAAAGAUUCAUGUGAAGUCUGCUGACCAAAGUUGCACAGGGCAAUUAGGGAAGACAAUCGUGCAAGGUGGAGGAGGAAAUGGAUUGAUACUGCUUUCACAUCCAGUGUCAUUUUAAAGAAAAACGGAGAACAAGAUGAAAUGCAGAAAAAGACAAAGAAAGUGUGGUUUCAAAGAAAGGGACACGUGAAUUUAAAGGCAAAGGUGAGCUCCCACAAAGAUUGUGUCUUCUGAUAAACACUUUUUUUUAGACAAUUUUAUGUAAGUUUUUGUGUUAUAUGAACUAGACCAGAUUAUUUGGCACAUUAAAUGUUUCAAAUUUAUCGUAUCCUCUAUGAUAUUGAAAAGGUAAAGUAAUUAUUCAUUUCAAGCAUGUCUAUGAAUGCGUAAUCCUAAGUGCUGAUAGUAUUUUACAGAAGAAAAAAUAUUACCUUUCUCCCUCCAUGUACGUUCCCCGCGUAGCAUAUCUGCUUUUCUGCAGACUCAAAUCAUUUAAAUAUUAUGUCAUUAACCCAUUAAUUAUAUGUGGCAAUCGUCACUUUUAUUCCUAGGAUAUAGGAAAAUUGUCGUGCACACACGUAUUAUGUUGUAUGGGCUAAUGUAUCUAAUUCCAUGUAUAAGGUUUCCAUGGCUUAGGACACCCGUAGAAAUCAGCACCUCUCGGUAAAUACGAAGCCAGGGAUUCCAGUCUAUGCUUAGAUUUUUUAAUAAAAACUAGGGCACUAAGGAUCAAAUCAAGUCAGUACAGGUAAAACUUUCUUCUCUAGGUGAUUGGGAAAUUGACUCCUCACACAUCCCAGACAUGUUGAACUUGUUUUCCUCUAAGAGGAUGCAAAUGAAACUUUAUGUGGCAGCGGUAGGCAAUGCAGAUUUUUUUCAGUGACAAAGUUAAAACCAGGUACCUCCUCCUCUUGUUCUUGCUCGAAAUCUUCUUCUCCUUCAGCAUCAUCUUCGCCAAACCACACCUCGGAUACAGAUAAAGCUCACAGCCUACUGUGGUCACCAUCUUUUGUAGCCUCAAUUAAAGCAUCCAUUAACUCAGGUUCAAAUUCUCGCAGCAACUUCCCUAACAAAUAUGAUUCAUUAAGGAAGUUUACAUUGCAUAUUAUGGAUUCAUGAGGCAUCAAUGAAUCAUUGAAUCAACACCUCUUGUGCAUAUUUUGUAGAAUAAAACUAAAUAAAAAUGCCUUAGCAAAAAUAAACAAAUAAAAUUGAAGAGAAAAAAGGCCAAAUACACUUGUGUUCCAUCUGGAAAUGAAAAAAAAGCGUUCAGCAAGCAAAAUUUCAGAUUUUUCGCACAGCUUGAGCAUUCAUGUAUGGCUCUCCCAACCACAUCAUUAGCAGUUACUUCAUCAACGUAUGCUCAAGGAACUAUACUGCAAUUAGUACAAGCUGACAUACUCAAACACAAUCGAAAGGGGGGAAAAGGGGCAGUUAAAAAAGAGCUUCUUAUCUUAAGAACUAUUUUUUUGGGCAAGAACUCAUCGUGCAAUGGCCAAGCAUAGCAAAGAAGAUGCCAGGUGAAGCGGCAAGAGAGGGGAAAAGAUUCUCACAUAGACACUCACAAAAACAUGAAUGAAACGUGAUAGUACCAAUGAAAUUGAAAUGCCUUCGCUUUCGUUCUCGGACAUCCGGUCCUGGUCUCUGCGGUAAAUCAACAAAAAUCUCAACGGCAUGAACAAGUGACAGCUCAGACCAAAAGCCUCAAGAAAAACAGUCACGCAUUGAAGAAGCAUCACCUUCGCAGGCAUCUGAGCGUCCAACACCGCUGACUCCAGAGAAGCCACUCUGCAAUUCCCCUUCUAAAAGAAAGGAUAAUGAAUCUACAGUGCUACGUUAUUGAACAUCAUUAUAUCCACAAAGGCCGUGAAAGCUCAAAAUCGCGCCGCCUCCAAGACACAUCUUUUUUUCCCAGCGGUAUCUGAGAUGCCCUUGAUUUGGGAAUGGGAAAGGAAGCGAACUCCAUGCCCCAGGGGAAAUUGCGGCCGAGCCUCGUGCUUCCUCUGGUUGAGGCUCUUCUGGGCGUCGGAGUCGGAGUCGUAGUCGCUGCCGUCAUCUUCUCGGGGGAUCGUACGGUGGCAGGCGGUUGGGGAAUCAGAGCCCUCGCGGCCGGUGAUGGACGUCGCGGUGUGCCGAAGGGACCACAUCGUCUGGAACAGACAACGGUGAGGCGACGUUGUUCCAAAGGGCGAAAGAGAUAUCUGCAGUGGAUAAUGGCUCUUGCUUCAUUUUCCUUUUUUUUUUUUUUUUUUCUAAGCCAUGUGCUUGACAAAUUUCAUUAUUCAUCUUUUCAAUUCACCAAGAUACCAAAGGAGAAGACAUUAAAAACAGGCCUUCAUAAGGGAAAUGACAUUUGAUGCCAAUUAGAUGGCAUCUUUAUUUACUAAGGCUACAUUACAUGGUUUAAAGAGACAACUUCUCAAUAAUUUCACUGUCCAUGAAACUUGAUGGCUCUCCACUUUGGCUUCUCCAUCCAUUGGACUGUACUUCUCUCCAGCAUUCUCACGCCUCGCGCGAGCCAUUUGGGCCAUCCUGUUUGAAUUGCAAUGUAUGUUAUAGAAAUCCCAAUGACAAUUCCAGAUGCAUAACAUAUCCACACUACUUUCUGUUUGAACCAACUCUCAUGCCCUUCGCGGUCUAGAGUCGAUGAGGACGAUGGUGGAGGAGGUUGAGCAUUGCCAAGGCAUGCUUUUAACAAUGGAGUUCCACAUAAGCUUGGAUUUCCACUAAACGAGUCAUUUGAAAAUGUGCUCAAUUGUUUGUCUUGAGGAAUUCGACCAGUGAGUUGGUUCUUCGAGAGGUUUAAAUACCCAAGAGAUGUCAAAUCUCCCAAUGCUCUAGGAAUUCCCCCACUAAGCAUGUUCAAAGAUAGAUCAAGCCAUCCAAGAUUAGUCAAAUUUCCUAAAGUCAAAGGGAUGGAACUCGUAAGGUGGUUGUGAGAAAGGUUGAGCCCUAUGAGAUAGUGAAGAUGGCCAAAAACUUCAGGAAUGUCUCCUUGGAAAAAGUUGUAUGAUAAGUCAAUAGUUGUGAAGAUGGUCAAGAUCUUCACUAGCUUUGUCUCUUUCCCUUUCAUCAUCACGGUCACGGUAUUUUCAUAUGACGGCACAAAGGAAUAGGAAUACUAGGAAUACUGUGUCAUGUACAAUGGUCCAUAUCGCCCAUCUUCUGUAUUCUUCGUGCCUUCAAGGUUCAUUAUCAAGUUGGCUGGUAAAUGACCGCAAAAGUUGUUGUUCGCGAGAUCCAAAAUGUGCAAUUUUGUAAAGAUGAGAUCUCCCUUCCGAAUGUUCAAGGGACCCUUCAAAUUGUUGGACCUCAAAAUAAGAACUUUCAAUUCCGGAAGUUUUCCCAACCAUGCCGGGAAUGUAUCCUCUAUCCGAUUGAUACUGAGAUCUAAAAUUUCCAGAUUUGUACAAUUGACAAGGGACCGGGGCAACGCCCCUUCAAACCAAUUUCGGCUCAAGUCAAAAGUAGUCAAUCCAUGUAUCAAAGAAAUUGUUUGUGGAAUUGUGCCCUCCAAGUGAUUCAUUCCCAAGUUCAAAACAGAGAGAAUAGUGCUAAAAUUUGUUAAGCACCAAGGCAAGCUACCAAUUAAGUUGUUGUUAGACAAGUCGAUCAUCUCAAGAUUGGUAGCGUUGCAUAUCAGAGAAGGGAUCCUUCCUAUUAUAACAUUAUUUGCAAUGGAGUAAUACAUUGUGACGGGAGACGGAAGUGGAAUUGGCCCUCCGAAUUUGUUGUUGGACAAAUCUAUUACUUGUAAUGAGGUGUUGGAGAAAACCUUCAUGGGGCACCAUCCAAUAAAACUGUUGUUGGAAAUAAAUAAAUCUUUAAGAGCAGGGAAUGAGAGUUCAAAAGCAGUGAGGUUGAUCUUACCAUGAAAUUUGUUGGAAUGCAAAUUAAGGCGAUACAGUCGCGGUGCUUUUAGCCAAUGUGGGAAUGUAUCAUUAAACCCGUUUUGAUUGAGAACUAGUGUUGAUAAGUUCGCCCAUUUGACUAGGGAGUGUGGUAAUGACCCUUGUAAUUUAUCAUUGCUCAAGUAUAGAUUCUCAAGAUUGGUUAUAUUGCCAAAACAAUGGGGUAUAUUUCCUAAAGAGACUAUUGUUAGACAAAUCUAAACUCAAGAGUGAACUCAACUGACAAAUCGAAGAGGGGAUCUCACCAGUGAAACCAUUGCUCUUGGCAUAAAAGUAAUGAGUAGAAGGUGAAGGGAUCGAGGGUGGUCCUUGUAAUUUAUUGUGACUCAAGCCUAGAUAGUCAAGAUUGGUUAUAUUACCAAAACAUGGGGGCACAGUCCCCGAGAGAUUAUUCCAAGAUAAUGCUAGUUUUAGGAGGGAAAUCAACUGACAAAUCGAAGAGGGGAUCUCACCGGUGAAACCAUUGUUCUUGGCAUAAAAGUAACGAGUAGAAGGUGAAGGGAUCGAGAGUGGUCCUUGUAAUUUAUUGCUACUCAAGGCUAGAUAGUCAAGAUUGGUUAUAUUACCAAAACAUGGGGGCACAGUUCCCGAGAGAUUAUUGUGAUGUAAUGUUAGUCGUAGGAGUGAACUCAAUUGACAAAUCGAAGAGGGGAUCUCACCAGUGAAACCAUUUCUCUCGGCAAAAAAGUAACGAGUAGAAGGUGAAGGGAUCGGGAUUGGUCCUUGUAAUUUAUUAUGACUCAAGGCUAGAUAGUCAAGAUUGGUUAUAUUACCAAAACAUGGGGGAAUAGUCCCCAAGAGAUUAUUCGAAGAUAAUUCUAGUUCUAGGAGUGAAAUCAACUGACAAAUUGAAGAGGGGAUCUCACCGGUGAAACCAUUGCUCCCAGCAAAAAAGUAAUGAGUAGAAGGUGAAGGGAUCGGAAGGGGUCCUUGGAGUGAGUUUUCUUGAAAGUUAAUAUACAACAACUGCUUCCAACGUAGUUGGUGUAUAUCUCCCUCCAUAAGGUUAUUAGAAAGAUCUAAAUGUUUCAAUGUAUGUUGGCUUAUUCCCCAAAACCAUCUAGGAAUCUCUCCACUAAUCUUAUUGUGAGAGAGGUUUAAGUAUGUCAAACUUUCUAAUGAAUUCAAGAAAUAGGGCAACUUGGUCAAAUUGCACGUUGACAUGUCCAACACUUGAAGCUUUGGGAGAUGGAGGGAAUUAUUGGAAUAGAGAGUGCCAUGAAUCGGAUGGUAAGCAAGAUAGAGACCGAUGACGUUACCGGUGACAUUGUCGCAAGUGACCUCAUCCCAUGAGCAGCAAUCUACACUCUUGUUCCAUGAUAUGCCCCUUUUAAAUGAGCAGGGGUCUCGUGAAUAAAUGGUACAGGGCGAAUCAAAAUUGUCCGACGCAAUUUUAUCAAGGAGGAAGGAAUUCUUAAAAUUGAGCAAUGCAUCACGCUGGUCAGGAGGGCAAAGAGGGGAGGUGAAGGGAAGAUGGAAAUGAAAGAAAAAGAGGAAACAGAGGAGGCCCAAGAACCGAUGCCACCCCAUUUUGCAAUUUAGCAUGCGAGCAGUGAGUUUAUUGGAAGUGGAGAGCGCUUCCACUUAUAUAGCCUUUGUCAAGUGUGAAGUCACUAAAGUAGGUCUUCUCCAAGGUUCCAUUGGUGGGCUCACAACAUGUGUCACCUGUUUUGAAAGCUCCAUUACUCAGCAUACCAGUAAUUUUCAUGUAAGGUUCAAUUAGAAUGAUAUCUCAUUUUCUCAUGGUUAAGGAAGAUCAAAUUUUCUGUCUAAGUUAGUUUAGUCAUAGGUACACAAGUGUGUAAAAUAAAUAUCUAGGUUAAAAGAAUUUUUCUUUCUAGAUACAUACACUUUAGAUUGUCCGUUAUUUUGUAUCAAUCGUGGCAACGAUAAAUAGAAAGAAACAUUUAUUUGAAUUAGGCCUUGGGACCCUGACCCUUGGGGUCUACACUGUAGGAAAAAGGCUGAUAAAAAAACAAAUAAAUUUGUCUGAGGCAUGCAAACGUAAGCACUGUCCUUAAGGAUAAUUCCGCCCCUCGGAGUGCGAAACUCGGUGCGAUAGGCUUCUGACGGCUAUCCUCCAAAGAUACAAUAGACCUUCUUCUAUAUUCUGCACUGAAUAUUAGAAGAAACAGAAACAACGUCUGUGUAUAACCCAGCAAGAAAAAGGAAAGGAAAGAUUUCACAAAGAAAGAAUAUUCUCUGUUUCAUUCGGUGUGUCUUUUUUAAGAUUGUCUUGUGAGAUUUUAUAUUCAGACAAAAUAGAGCCGUUAAAAGAGCCGUUAUAAAAUAAUGAAGGAUUUAUUUGAGAAAUAAAUUAAACGUUACAAAACGAUUGGAAAGCCGUUGUAUGACCGUUAAGAAACCAUUAUGUGACCGUUUAAAAUAAUAAUGGUCUUCAAUGCAGUCAUAACUAUUAUCGAAGUUAUUAUUGUUAAUAUUUCAAAAUAUUAUUGAAAUAUCCAACAAUCCCCCACAUAUUUCAAAAGAUUUUGAAAAUAAAAUUAAUAUGAUGCUGGGUUAUUAGAGUGUAAUGCAUCGGAACUGGUGCUUAUUAGGCUAUGAACUAGCCCUAGAAAAAAUAAAAUAUAAUUCAUGAAAUUAUUGGUGAAGUUUGAAACUUCUAUGAACCAAAAAUUUCUUUUGUGAAUUAUAAUUUUCAUCAAUCACAUUGCACUCCCACAAACUCUGUUGUUCAACGCGGUUUUGUGCUAAUAGGCCAUGCGAGUGCUUGGUUUAUUCAUAAGUGCUUUAGAGAUUUUCACCAAAAAUUCUCAUAGGAGCGGCCCCACUCCACACUUAUAUAGGUGAUUCCAUCAAGUGUAUUCUGCAGCUUAAUACACCACCAACAAUGGCUAUGAAAUUUCAUUAAGAGCUUAGCUCAACCUUUUUUUUCCUUGCAGUUUUGCACCACUCUCAUCUUAGGAUGGACAAUAAUUUUUAAUAGUGCAUCACUAGAACAACAAGUAACUUGUUAUUAGCCAUAUGAACCUAAUUCAUGGGAUCACCAAUCACAUAGGUUGGGUUACCAUCACUGUUGCUUUUCCUCAAUUGGCUUAAGUCCCAUUCCCCUCGAUGUGUCAUAAAUUAAUUUUCUUCCCACAGGUUUAGUCAGAGGAUCGACCAAAUUCACUUCUGACUUUACAAAAUCAAUGGAUAUAAUUCCAUCUUUAAGCAGCUACUUUACUACAUCAUGUCUCAAUCGGAUGUGUCUAUUUUUACCAUUGAAAGUUUUAUUCUUUGCAAUGGUUAUUGCCGCUUGGCAAUCACAGUGCAUAGACACAGAAGGUGUCGGUUUCAUUCCCAAAGGAAUGUCCGCUAAGAGGUUCCUUAACCACUCAGUCUCAUUGCCAGCCAAUUCUAGAGCCACAAACUCUGACUCCAUGGUGGAUUUAGCAAUUAUUGUUUGUUUGGCUGACUUCCAAGUUACAGCACCUCCACCAAGGGUAAACACAUAUCCAUUAGUGGAUUUUGUCUCAUCUGAGUCUGAAAUCCAAUUAGCAUCACUGUAUCCUUCUAAUACAGCGGGAAAUCCACUAUAUAAAAUACCAUAGUUCAUGGUUCCUCUCAAAUAUUUCAUUAAUCUACUCAAAGCAAUCCAGUAAUCAUCAUUGGGAUUUUGUGUAUAUCUGCUCAGUCUACAUACAGCAUAAGCUAUAUCAGGUCGAGUAUAAUUCAUUAAAUGCAUCAAACUCCUAAUAAUUUGAGCAUACUUAGACUGAGCCACACCAUCUCCUUUAUUUUUCACUAAUUGGAUAUUAGAAUCAUAAGGAGUAUUCACAGGUUUAACAUUAAAGUGAUCAAAUUUUUUAAGUAGCCUCUCCACAUAAUGCGCUUGAGUAAGCAUUAGGCCACUAUCACUCUUUACGAUUCUAACACCCAAAAUAAUAUUAGCUUCCCCCAUGUCCUUCAUAUCAAAUUUAGAAGUCAAAAAACAUUUUGUUUCAUUCACUACAUCAAUACACGUACCAAAAAUAAGCAUGUCAUCAACAUAUAAGUUAAUAAUUAUAAAUUCACCAUCAACAGUUUUUGUAUAUACAUAUUUAUCUACUCCAAUAGAGAAAAAUCCAUUAUUAACUAGAACAUCAUUAAAUUUCUCAUACCAUUGCUUUGGCACUUGCUUUAAGCCGUAUAAAGAUUUAACAAGUUUACAAACUUUAUUUUCUUGACCAGGAAAGAUACAGCCCUCAAGUUGCACCAUGUAAAUUUCCUCUUCCAUAUCACCAUUUAAAAAAGCUGUUUUAACAUCCAUUUGGUGAAUAAUAAGUUUGUAAAUAGAAGCCAAAGCAAUUAAAACACGAAUUGAUGAAAUUCUUGUAACUGGAGCAAAAGUGUCAAAAUAAUCAACAUUUUGUUUUUGAGUAAAACCUUUUGCAACUAAUCUUGCUUUAUAUUUAUCAAUAGAACCAUCAUGAUUAUAUUUUCUUUUAAAAAUCCAUUUACAACCGAUCGGUUUUGCACCGGGUGGUAAAUCAACUAAUUUCCAAGUUUGAUUUUGUAAGAUAGAAUCAAUCUCGAUUUUUAUAGCUUUUUUCCAAAAAUUGCUUUCUGAGGAAGACAUCGCUUCAGAAUAAGUCAAAGGAUCAUUAUCAAUAAGAUAAGUAUAAAAAUCAUUCCCAAAAGAAGUUUCUUUCCUUAUUCUUUUGCUCCUUCUCAAUUCAUCAUUUGAAUUUUCGAGAACAUUUUUAUGAAUAGGCAAAGGAGAAAUAUUAUCAACACUUAAUGGAAAAAUAUGCUCAAAAAAUUCUGCAUUUUUUGUCUCAACUAUAGUAUUAUUAUCAAGCACGUCACUUUUUAAUACAAGAAAUCUAUAUGCAGCACUAUGUUCAGCAUAACCAAUAAACAUGCAGUCAGAUGAUUUAGAGCCUAUUUUCCUUUUCUUAGAAUUAGGAAGCAUAACCUUAGCAAGACACCCCCACACUUUCAAAUAUUUUAAAUUUGGACGAUAACCUUUCCAAAAUUCAUAGGGUGUUUUACCAGUUUUCUUAUGAGGUAUUCUAUUUUGGAUAUGGCAUGCAGAUAAAAUAGCUUCACCCCAUAAAUUAUUUGGAGCAUUAGAACUAACAAGCAUAGAAUUCAUCAUCUCUUUCAAAGUCCUAUUUUUUCUUUCAGCUAUGCCAUUAGAUUCAGGGGAAUAAGGAGGCAUAGUUUCAUGAAUUAUUCCUUCCUUUUCACAAAAUUUAUUAAGCAAUACAUAUUCUCCACCUCUAUCCGAUCUAAUUCUUUUUAUCUUUUUAUUCAAUUGGUUUUCUACUUCAGCUUUAUACAAAAGGAACAUAUCAAAAGCUUCAUCUUUAUGCCUAAGCAAAUAAACUUUAGUAAAUCUAGAAUAAUCAUCAAUGAAGGUCACGUAAUAUUUUUUACCUCCUCUAGUCAUAGUUUGUUUUAAAUCUCCUAGAUCAGUAUGAAUUAAACUCAACAAAUCAGAUUCUCUAUUUACAGAAAUACAAGGCUUUUUUGUUAAUUUUGUUUCGGCACAUAUUAUACAUUUAUUAAAACGUGGGUUUUUAAUUCUAGAAAUUAAACCUUAUUUUUGCAUUUUCUUAAUAUAAGAAAUACUAACAUGACCUAAUCUACCAUGCCAUAAAUCAACAGAUUCAGUCAAGUAAGCGAAAGCAGUAGCAUUUUCAUUGAUAACAUUAGAAACGUUAAGAACAAAAAGUCCUUGAUUACAAUAACCAUUUCCCACAAAGACGUUAUUUUUUGUCAUUACAAUCUUAUCAAAUUCAAAUGACACCUUCACCCCAACCUUUCCCAAAAGCGCUACUGAGACCAGGUUUGCCCUUAUAUUAGGGACAUGUAAUACAUCAUUCAGGGCCAAAGUCUUGCCAGAUGUGAGCUUGAGAAGAACGUUUCCUUUCCCAAGAAAUUGAGUUGUUCUUGAAUCACCAAGAUAAAUAACUUCUUCUCAUUCCCCUACUGGCGUGUAGGAGGAAAAGGCAUUUUUGUUUGCACAAAUAUACCUGGUAGCACCUGAGUCUACCACCCACUCUUUCACAUUGGCCACAAUGUUGGCCUGGGAAAUAACCGCAACAAUUAUAUCAUUAGAGUCAUCUGCUUUAACCAAAUUAACUUUUGGUUUAGCAGGAUUGUCAUUUCCCAUCAUUCUCUUUUUGCAGCGUGCUGCAUGAUGACCUGGUUUUCCACAAACAAAGCAAGAGCCUUUCUUUAUGAAGGUGGGGUGAGCAACUUUGGGUUUGUAAUCAGGUUUUUUGUUAUAAUACCUGUUUUGACGAUGUUGAAAUUUGCCUUGCACCAAAUUUGCCCUGGUCACAAUUUCCUUAGCUUUGGCAGCUUUGAUCUCCUUGCGAGUUGUAUCCUCAAUGAUGAUAUGCACGAUCAGAUCGGCUAGUGACAAUUGCUUGUCCUUGUGCUUGAGUUGUUGCUUGUAGUUAUUCCAAGACUCAGGCAACUUUUCAAUUAGCAGGCCCGCAAGAAAUUCUUCUUGUAAGUUGAUGUUUUCUGCCUUCAAGUCCUCCACUAGCUUGUGAUAUUCAUUGAUUUGUGUCUUGAUCUCCUUAUCAUCGGACAGUUCCCAUCGAUAAUAAUUUCCGAUUACAAAUUUUUGUCUGCCCACAUCUUCGGCAGUGUACUUUGCAGUCAUGAAGUCCCAUAUUUGUUUUGCUUCCUUGUACGGACAGUAGACAUCAAACAAUUCAUUAGAAAGAGUACUAAUAAUUGUGUGCCUACAUACCUUGUUAGCAUGUAUCCAUUGAUCUCGAAGCUUGUUAUCAGUUGGUUUGGCCUCCGUAAGUGCGAAAGCCACGUCGUGCACAUCUAGGAUAGAGAAAACCCUUUCUUGCCACCUUCUGAAAUUGUUGCCGUUGAAAACUUCGAUCUUUUAUAUGUCGGGGAAUGGUUUGGCAUAAGACAUAUGUGGUAGUGAUGGUAGUGCAACUGGACUGGUGGAGAUUGAGGCAUCAACAGCAGUAUCGACUUGAUGCUCCAUGGGUAUUAUCCUUAAGAUUGUAGGAAAAAGGCUGAUAAAAACAAAUAAAUUUGUCUGAGGCGUGCAAACGUAAGCACUGUCCUUAAGGAUAAUUCCGCCCCUCGGAGUGCGAAACUCGGUGCGAUAGGCUUCUGACGGCUAUCCUCCCAAGAUACAACAGACCUUCUUCUAUAUUCCACACUGAAUAUUAGAAGGAACAAAAACAACGUCUAUGUAUAACCCAGCAAGAAAGAGGAAAGGAAAGAUUUCACAAAGAAAGAAUAUUCUCUGUUUCAUUCGGUGUGUCUUUUUUAAGAUUGUCUUGUGAGAUUUUAUAUUCAGACAAAAUAGAGCCGUUAAAAGAGUCAUUGUAAAAUAAUGAAGGAUUUAUUUGAGAAAUAAAUUAAACGUUACAAAACAAAGGAAAGGAAAGAUUUCACAAAGAAAGAAUAUUCUCUGUUUCAUUCGGUGUGUCUUUUUUAAGAUUGUCUUGUGAGAUUUUAUAUUCAGACAAAAUAGAGCCGUUAAAAGAGUCAUUGUAAAAUAAUGAAGGAUUUAUUUGAGAAAUAAAUUAAACGUUACAAAACGAUUGGAAAGCCGUUGUAUGACCGUUAAGAAACCGUUAUGUGACCGUUUAAAAUAAUAAUGGUCUUCAAUGCGGUCAUAACUAUUAUCGAAGUUAUUAUUGUUAAUAUUUCAAAAUAUUAUUGAAAUAUCCAACAUACACUACAUCCUAAAGCACAACAAUGACUUAACAACAAACAUAAUAAGGCAUAGAAAGAAAGAAGAGUACUUAUUUAUUAAUUUUUUAUGAGGCGAAGUGAUUGUUUUAUUAGUUAUAGUUUAGUAAUUUUACCAAAGUGACAUUAACUUUUCCGGUAAUCUAAUAAGUAGCGGUCAUAGACCAUAGUCGGGUAACUGGGUUAUAAAUUCUCCAUAUUUGAGCUUUACAUUGUAGAAACGUCCCUCCUAUUUACGACGUUCCUUAAUCAGUCCCACUUCGGGGCCUCAAAAACGGGUACCGCACUUGUUUGUGGAUUUUAACUUGGAAGGGUUUUCUUCCCAGCAUCAAUCGGCGCUGCAUUUUCUCGAUCUCAAUAUUCCAUGAAAUGAAUAAAAAUUGCUUUAAAUUAUUGAAGCGUCUAUAGGCGACCUAACAAUCCUCUAUAACUAAAUUGCUGUAAUUAUCACUACUAGAAAAACUGCCUAAGGCGACAAAAAAUUUUACGACAAAAAUAAUUUGGUCGCCUUGGGGGCACCAAAGGAGAUGGAAUUCGAUUUUUUGCCGUACGUAUGCCAAAGGCGACAAAAACUGGUUUGUAUCGACUUAGGUUGAGUUAGGCGAUGGUUGACUGCAACGAAAAAGAACCUUUGUCGCCUUAUUUUCGAGUUGCUAACUCAACCUUUCAGAUUUUUAAAUAUAAUUUUCAAAUCAGAAUUACAAGAUUUAACAAGUCACAAAAAGAAACACAAUUUAAACUGAGUUGUUCUACUUAAGAAGAAAAGCUUAUUAAUUGACAACCCAUAACAACGGGAAAGCCUCAGUAAUACCGUCAGACAAAAGACGAAAUAAAUCUAAAAAAUUAUUCGAUGCUUCUUUCCAAAACAAUUCCUAUGUAUAUUCGGAUGGCGUUAAAUAAGUCCUAAUUGAUUGAUGUUACCGAGAGACUUUGAAAUAUAGUGGCGUAGUCCACUUCACAUCGGUGGGCUGAUAUUGGUAGAAUUCAAUGUUUUUCGGUCGAGGACAGUGGCUCUAGGACAGCGGUGCACUUAAAUUCUAAUGUAAAUAAGUCAAAGUCUCCUUGAGAUGACAUAACUGGAGUCACAAAUUUGAUUCUCUUGGUGAAUUUACUUGGGUGUGGAAAAUUCUUACUUGCUUGGCUCUGUAUAUACAUGAUAUGAAAGUCUUCUCCGCCUUUCUUGAAAAGUUUAUUAGUCAGAUGGCAUUUUUCAUUUCAAAAGAUAUGUAUGACUCUUGUCAUCAUUAUCUGGUAAAUAAAUUUAGAAAAUUCAUUAUAAAAAGGGUAGUCAUUUAUGAAUAUUUUCCUUUAAGAUAACUUUGAAUUUUUAGAUAUUUUGAAUCUCCAACAUCCUUUCUUGUUUCAUAUUGUGCUUGUUAAACAAUUAAGGGCUACAAUAAUAACUUUCAACUUUUAGAGAAUUGCCUCACAACUUUAAGAUGCCGUGACCUUAAAGUAUACAUUACCAUAUACACAAAUCACAACACUUUACAUCAUUACUACAACUAUAUCAAAUAUAUUUUGCUUUUUAUUAGUUUGAUUCAAAGUUAAAGUGAUCAUUGUGUACUAUUGAAUAUAGACAACAUAAAUUCACUUGAUUAAAAAAAAGAAAAUUCACAGAGAUUAGGAUUGACAGUCAUGGAAUCGCCCCAAGCUAUAAUGUCGGAAUCUUUACCGUCAUUUCUGGGAACUUUCUUCCUCCUACCAUAGAGUCUAGACUUAGCUUCAAUUUCGGGACGGAAUCAAAAGACCUGCAUAAAGUCCUUGUGGAAAGGUCUGCAUAAUUGCUCGGUUGGAUGAGGAUUUGACGCCACCCCACCUUCCACGGCAGAAGGAUGCAUGAUUGAAGGGGAUUUUGCAAGAAUUGCAGGCUUGGGAUAUCUCUGCAUCUGGCAAGCCGCCCAUCAGCCGCAGAGACUAGAAGACGACAAACGUCUAGUUAAAUAAAAAUAGGGAAGCCCCAAAUAUCUGAUUUUGGCAUAAUUGAAGGCAUGUUUGGCAAUUUAAUCGGCAUCCUACUUUUCUUUUUUAAUUAAUGUUUGCCGUGCGAAAUCAAUUUUGUUGGACUCGGUGGAACGUGAAAACCAAGAAUCAAAUCAUCAUCAAUUUUCUCAUGCGAAUUGACUCUUGAUGACCCACGCUUCCAUAUUCUAAGUCAGAAACUCUGUCUUUACAUGGCAAAAGUAUCGUAAAACACACUUCAUUCUAUGGGACAACGUCCUAAUUACGGGGAAUAGAAAGUGGCUUCACAAAAAAUUAGAAUGCGCUCAGGUCGUCCACGUACUGCUUUUUAUUUCAUCCAUCCAACUUGCAAAGUCAAGUCUCCUCCGUUUUUCUUAAGCCAAAAGUCGGGGCAAGCCUCCAUGCAUUGUUCUUCACGGUUGUCGUAGGGCUUCGCCAGUAGCACAAAGAUCGACGAGGGUUGCCCCUGACCCUCGUCAACCACAAUGAGAAAAAGAGAAGAGAAAAAUCACAAUAAAAAUUUAUAAAAAAGAAAAUUACAAAAAUUGUUCAUGUUAGCAGCGACAGCCGAUUGUGCCACGUAGAACGGCUAGCAUACACAUUAACAAUUUCCAGCCAAAAGGACUUGAUUGGCAAAUUGUUAAAAGGUUUAUUUGCCAAAUUGAAAGGUCUCAAACUAAAUUUACACAAAUGCAAUAGGAUUAUUAUUGUUUUGAUAAUUUUCCCCAUCACUCCUUUUGUACAAAUAUAUUAUGGGGUAAUCGACAACCGGCGAGCAAACCCUGGGGGAGUGACUGCAGGACCUACCACCAGAGUACUCCAAAAUAAGAAUCCCUAACGAUGCCUCUGGGAUUCGAACUUCUCCCCUUCAUGAGGGGGAAAGAGUCCAAGCCAGCUGCGUCGCUGCGGGCAAUAAUUAGAUCUUUGUGUGUUUGUGUUUGUAUACACGACUAUUUACAUAUAAUGUCUAGUGUACUUGUUCCGUCUUUACAGGAUGCAAUCGGGAUAGACCUAGGGCAUAUCUAAGAUAGUCGAGUACCUCGUGUGCCAAUUGGUAUAAUUUUGUAGGCCGCAUUCGCUCGCGACCUUCCCAGGUGAAUAAGGGUUAACUUCAGUGCAUAUGUACUUGUAUAGGAUUCAACUGCAUCUGUACUGGCUGGCACCAGCAUGCAAACUACCCAGGUAGAUCCGAAUGCAAAAGCAUCAACCGAAUUUUACAUAUUCAGAUGAUCGUUAAAAUAACCGUUUAUAAGAACAGUGCUUAACCUCCCUUUUUAUUUCUUUUUUCUGUCAGACUAUUUGCAUUAUUUCGCUCCUUCUAUAACUCUCCGGAACUGAUAAAAUUAGAAGGCAAUGGAAAGGUAAAGGAAAAUAAAUAAAGUUUAGCGGCAUAACUACUCUCUUUUGAGCCAUUGCGCAGGACUGAACCCGGCACCUAAUUAAAAUAAGCACCCCAUCAUCCCCAGCAUCUCGUACAGUUGUCAAAGUCAUCAUGUAACCCAUUAAAUUGGGAGUUUCUCCUAAGAAGCCUGUGUACAUUGUAAGAGAGAUCGAGGGACAAAAAGCUUGGAGAGGCGAGAGAUUUCACUAGGAACAAUACCCGAGAGAUUUCACUAGGAACAAUACCCAAAAGGUGUGAAUGAGAGAGAUUCGUAUGAGUCAUUUUUGCAAAAAAAAACUCAAGUUAGUCCAAAUGUGUGGCCAGAAAAGUUAAUAAGGGAAAAAUUUGAGGCUUUGAAGAUGGCAAAAGAGAAGAAGGGAGCUAUUAGAGUGGAGAGAGCCACGAAGCCAAUUCCAAGUAAGAUCAAGACCGAUAAAGUUACUGGUUACACCAUCGCAUACGACAUGGUCCCUCGAGCAGUGAUCUACGUGCUUGUUCCAUGAGUUUUGUCUUUGGAUAAGAUGUGACCCAACAGUCUCCGCCCUUGUUCCACGAGCAGCAAGCCGUGUCGUGCUUCAACCUACUUCUCCUGUGAUUGCGGCAUGGAUUAGUCAAUUUGAAGAGUGAGUGAAUUGGAAAAACUGCAGUAACCCAUUACUCUGCACAGGAUGUAAUUGUUUUUACUGAGAUUGGGAGGACAGCAAAAUGUAAACAUAGAACAACGAGAAAACAAAGAAUUUGCUAUAAUCCCUUGCCUAUUUUCAGGACACCAAAGCUCGUUGGCUCUAGGAGAACGUUUCGCUUAUGUUAUAGAAUCCAUAGUCUUCUUAUUAUUGGAGUAAUAGAUUAGACUAGAUUGGGAAUUUUUGAGGUACCAAUUUCAUGGCCAUGUAAGACGGUUAGCAUAUAUGUUGGCAAUUUGCGAUGAAUUGAAUUUGCAUAAAUGUAAAAUGUUUAAGACUCAAUUUGUACAAUUACAAUAAAUUUAAGAUUUUUUUUUUUUUUUUUUUGCUAAAGUGAGACAAGGUUUGGUAGGAUUCCAUGUUUUCGGGUUGACCACAAUGGCUUUAGGACAACUUAGCACUUCAUUAUGAAGACUAAGAAGUCAAAGUCUUCUGGAUAUGACAAUCACAAACUUAAUUUUCUCGAUUGUCUUGGUGGUUUUACUUGGGUGUGAAAAAUGCAUCUAGGGUCAUAGAAGUUUCUUCUUGGCUAAAUGCAUAAAAGACUAUGAAGGAGUCUUUAGGGCAUCCGUUAUAAAUGGGCAUUGACAAAUUGGCGUAUAAGUUGGAUUUUUUUGGUUUUUUUCUUGCAUAUCAUGUCAAGUGUGGAAUAGAAUUGUUCUACAUCCACACGAUGUGCAAAUUUUGUCCACUUUUCUUAAAAGGCAUACUAGUCAAGUCUAUAGUAAAAUUUUCAUUUCAAAGAUAUGGACGACUUUUUGGGUCAAUCAUUAUGAAAAAGGCAGUCAUUUAUGAAAUUUUUCUAAUAAGAUAACUUUUAAUUUGCAAAUACAUUUAAUUUCUAAUAUCUUUAAAUUUGAGAAAGUGCUUUUACAGUUACAAUAGCUUAUAAUAACUUUUAGAAAGUUUCCUCACGCUGAUUUUAAAAGUUGUAAUUCUAAAAUACAUAUUACCAAAUACGCUAAUUGCAAUACUUUACACAACAUAUACAGCAUAGCACAAUUGCAACGAUACUAAACAUGCUUCAGUUUUUAAUAGUUCAAUCCAAAGCUGUGACCAUCAGAUACCGCUAAAUAUACCCAACAUCGAUUCAAUUGAUCGCUAAGUUACUAGUAUGCUUAAUUGUCAAGUAAAUUCCACUUAUGCAUCCACUAGUAUUUGGCAAAUGAAUGUUAAACGUUAAAUUUGCAACGUGAAAGAAUUCAGUGGAGGAUGUACAGACAUAACUUAGGGAGGCGAAAUACAGCAAACUCCAAAUCUAACUCCGAGGGUGAAAUAUCGAUUUGAUCAAAGUCGGGCUAGAGCCAAACGGUCCAAAGGGGCGGCGGUCUCCGUCCCCGUCAACCCAAGCACACAAUCAAGAUCAACAAUCACCAGUCUUCUUUGAAAGGUCUGUCAGUGGGGCUUGCAUACACUUCCGUUUUAACUUCUUCUCCGAUAAAGAUGGCUUCAACUUGCCUUGCGGAUUGGGAGUUGAGUCAAGAUCCGUCUUUUUCUUAAGAGUCCUUCGAUAUUGGUUUACCACCAGUACCAGACAAAGGAAGCAACUUUCUUCGCCUUGAAUUGAGCAUCCCCUUAGUUUUAAGCCAGUCAUGUAUUGGUAAUCAUAAUUUAACAUGUACCUAUUUUUUUCAUACUAUUAGUAGCUGUAAUUUUUACAAGUAUUUAACUUGGGUCGUUGGCCAUUAAAUGUAGAAAAUACCAAUAAGAACACUUGUCGAGCUGGACAUCCAAAACACAGCCGGACAAUUUCUUUAAAAAAAAUUGUUAAAAAAUGUAAAAAAACAAAAACAACAAAAUUAAAUUGCUUACUUUACCAAAAGAAAAACAAAAAAAAAUUAAAGAGACAACAAGGUGACUAUGGUCUUUCAUUUUAUUUUAUUUAAAAACAAUUUCUUAAUUAUUUUUUCUGUUUCUUUUCUUUUCUUUCUUUUCUUUUUUCUUUUUCUUCGCAUGGUCACUAGCUACGACGAUUGACCAUUGGUGAGCUCGAGCCAUGCUGUAGUACUAUAUAUGCUUUUGUUGUGCUUUGUACUUUUUCCACAUUUACCAUAAAUAAUGUAGCUUGUGCUCAUCAAAUUGGUUUGGAGGAGUUCAUGAAAUUUUCACAAGCAAGAUAUGAUGAAGCUAUUUUUAUUCACCAGUGAUCAACAUUGUGAUGUGAAUCUGUCCAAUUCGAUGUAAUUGGUCAUCCACGUGAUUUCCAGCGCAAGCAAAGGACAGAGUUUCUUUCAAACAUUUAUACAAAGUCUCCAACGCAAUUUCUUUUCCACGUUCCCAUUGAUCUCACAUGGCUUUUUCCACAAUCGAUGCAUUGAAUGAUUGUGUCGUGAAAGUUCGUGGAAAUAAAAUAGCUCAAUUAGAUAUAAACUCGCAGCGCAAGAUUCACCGUGGUCAACAUUGCUCCGUGCAAUCGAGAAAAAGUGUCUCCCAGGGCGAGCCCCUUUCUUACUUCGCUGUUCGUCAUCUUUUUUCUUUUUUGGAGUUCACGACACGGCUUGAAGGAAUUCUUCUGCGCGGCCAACAAAAGGUACUCCCACCCUGACAGAAUGCGUAAAGGAAGCAAGAUGCAAGAGACGAAGGAUUGAGAGAAGUUUUUUCUAUUCCUUCAAUUGUAUUGAUUCGAUAUACAAUGUUUUGUAAUUAUAAUACAGAGUGUACAUGAAGAAAGGAAAUAAAAAAUUCUAUAAAUCAAAUCUACAAUUCUGUCCAAUAAUAAUUGAUCUAAUUAGAUCAAUUAAGAUCAAAAUCUGGCGGAUGAUCAAUUUAGAUCAAAUCCGGCUGAUCUUCAGGCAUAUCUUCCAACACUCCCCCUCAAGUUGGUGGCUUGUAGAUAUCUAAGACGCCUAGCUUGCUUAGUAGAUAUGCAUGCUGUCAACAUUAUUUUGGUAAAAAUGUCCGCCGGUUGUUCAACAGUUCCAAUCCCUCUUGUCUCGAUUAUCCCUUCCUAGAUUUUCUCUCGAGUGAAGUGACAAUCUACUUCUAUAUGCUUGGUUCUUUCAUGCAUUAUGGGAUUGGCUGCAAGUUUCAGUGCCGACUCGUUGUCACAGUACAGUUUUGUCGACCCUUUAACUUGUAUUCCAAGAUCUCCAAGUAAACCUCGUAUCCACACAAUCUCACAUGUGGUUUUUGCCAUGGCUCAAUAUUCUACUUCAGCUGAAGAUAAAGAAACCAUUGCCUGCUUCUUGGUUUUCCAUGAAAGAAGUGAUUCUCCUAGUUUAAUGCAAAAACCAGAGACAGAUCUUCGACUCAUAGGGCAAGUCGCAUAAUCUGCAUCAUAAUAUGCUGUCAUUUCCAUGUUGCAUUUUCUAGACAAAAGUAUUCCCAGUCCUGGACACUUCUUCAAAUACUUUACAACCUUCAAGGCAGCAUUCAUGUGAGAUUCCUUCGGUUUGUGCAUAAAUUGGCUGAGAUUUUGUACUGCAUACGAUAUAUCAGGCCUAGUCAUAGUCAGGUAUAUGAGUUUUCCAAUGAGUUUCUGAUAACUUGUUGGAUCUUUAAGAAUAGGAUCAUCCCGAGAUGUUUCCUUGUCAUGAUCCGCUGCAAUUAAUCUAGUAUUUUGCUCGAUUGAAAUAACUGCUGGUUUGCAUCCUGAUAAACCUGUUUCUGAUAUAAUUUCUAAUACAAACUUCCUCUGACUGAGAGAAAUUCCUUGGUGAGAUCUGGCAAUCUCAAUUCCAAUAAAGUAUUUUGGUGCUCCCAGAUCUUUUAUAUGGAAUGUGGUAUGCAAAUAUUUCUUAAGAUUCUCUAUCGCAGCUUCAUCAUUUCCCAUAAUAAGAAUGUCAUCUACAUAUAUCAUUAAGUAAAUAGAUGACGUACCUUUAGUCCAUGUGAACAAGGCAUAAUCAUAUUUGGAUUGUUUGAAGUCCGCAGUGAUGAGAGCCUUAGCAAAUUUUGCAUACCAUUGCCUAGAAGCUUGCUUUAGUCCAUAAAGGGAUUUGCGGAGACAACAUACCUUAUUCUCCCCCUGUCUCCGUAAGCCCUGAGGAAUAUCCAUAUAAAUUUCUUCAUCCAAGUCGCCAUGGAGAAAAGCAUUGUGGACAUCCAUUUGGUGUAAGGACCACUCAUGAAUGGCUGCAACUGAUACGAAAGAUCUAACAGUGACAUCUUUAGCAAUUGGGGAGAAGGUUUCAUGAUAAUCAAAACCUUCUCGCUGAGUAUAACCCUUGGCCACUAACCGAGCUUUGUAACGCUCAAUGGAUCCAUCAGCUCUAUACUUGAUCUUAUAAACCCAUUUGCAGCCUAUAGACUUUCUAUUAGGAGGAAGGUGGACCAGUUCCCAAGUUUGAUUAUCAUUCAAUGCCUGUAAUUCUGCUGCCAUAGCCUGUUGCCAUCGGGGAUCUCUAGAAGCAUCAUUAUAACUAGAUGGUUCCCUUUCAUCAGAAAUUCGACUAAUGCUACAUCGGUGUUCAGACGAGAGUCUAUCAAACGAGACAUAUGAGGAGAUUGGGUAGUGAAUACCUGGCGAAUUGAGAGAGGCACAGAUAUAAUCCUUGGUCCAGGUCGGUGGUCGGGUGGCUCGUCCCGUACGACGUGGAGGAUGCUCUGGAGGUGAAGGAGAUGGUUCUCCUAUGGCCGUGUCUGUCGAAACCUCAGAAGGAUGGUCCGCAUUAGACAGAGUUCUAGGCAUACCUUCCAUCUCUUCCUCAUGAUCUGUUGGAUGAGGUGAAUGAGAUGAUGGGUUUAGAGGAAUUGCUUGAGUCGGGGGGAUAACUGGAGCUGGAGAUCCUGUGAGAAAAUAUUCAGGGAAAACAUCUUCCUGAUGGGAAGAUCUACGAGAAUUAUCUAAAACUAUUAAAUUUUCCUUAUUUUCCUGGAAUGGGAAAAUAUCUUCAUGGAAAAUAACAUCUCUGCUCACAAAAAAAUCCCCUGUGGAUGGGUCAAGAACACGAUAGCCUUUCUGUAGAUUGGGGUAACCCAUAAAUAUGCAUCGUCUGGCAUGAGGACUCAUUUUGUCUCGAGGUCCCACAGUUGCAGUAAAGCAUAAACAACCGAAAAACUCUUAAAUGAUCAAGUGCUGGUUUUUUUCCAUAUAAUAAGUCAAAAGGUGAUUUACCAACCAGUAUUCGAGUUGGCAUCCGGUUGAUAAGAUAUGCUGCAAUGAGGAUACAAUCGCCCCAAUAAAUAUCUGGAAUGGAUCCCUAAAACUUCAGUGCUCUGGCAACCUCUAAUAGAUGACGAUGCUUACGUUCUACAACUCCAUUUUGUUGUGGAGUGUAAACGCAGGAACUUUCAUGGAGAAUCCGGUGAGAUAUAAAAAGUGAGCUGCAUUCAUGGUUAAAAAAUUCCUUCCCAUUAUCAGUGUGAAUCCGUCUGAUUGUCUUUCCAAACUGAUUUUUGGCCAGAAUGAUAAAGGAUUUCAGAUUAGCAUACACUUGAGCUUUGGACUGCAUUAGAAAUAUCCAGGUAGCACGAGAAUGAUCAUCCACAAUAGUAAGAAAAAAACGCGAACCAUCACGAUGUGCUGUGUGAUAAGGUCCCCAAACAUCGACAUGAAGUAGUGAAAAGAUAGUAGUGGAGUGACUCUUACUAGUGGGAAAUGGAGUGCGAGAUUGUUUUGCCAUUGGACAUAUAUGACAUUUAGAAUAGGGAAAAAAAACACUAUGACCCAUUCUUGAAUGUAAAAGGAAGCUCUUAUCAUCGGUAGUAGCAUUACACAAUGAUAUUUUAUUCAAGACAAUUGAUGAAAAAUCAAAUUAAUUUGGAAGGUCAUUCCAAAAAAAUAACCCUUCUGAGAGAUUACCCAAGCCCAUCAGUUUGCCAGUCGAAAGGGCCUGGAAAAAACAAGCAUCAGAAUCAAAGAAGACUCGACAGGAAUUUUCCUUGCAGACUUUGGACACUGAGAUAAGAUUGAAUUGAAAUUCAGGAACAUAGAGGACAUUUUGAAGAGUAAUUUGAGGACUUGAUCGAACAGUGCCUGUCAAGGUGACAUUAGUGAUGUUGCCAUUUGGCAAUUGCAUAGAAAUAGGAAUAUUCAGCUCCUUAUGUAUAUUAGAAAAAUAACUUUUAUCACAAAUAAUGUGAUCACUUGCUCCUGAGUCCACUAUCCAGGCUUUCCUUGAAAUAGAAUUUAUCAGGCAAUGAGAUAUACCUGAAAAGUUGCCUCCUUUACUUGUGAUGUCUGCCUUUUGUAGAGCCUGCAUUAAUUGCUCAUAUUGUCCAUAGGAAAUUGGCCGAUCAUUACUGAGUCUAGUAACUUGGUAAGCUGCAUAAUAUUCUUUCUUUCUUUCUUUUUCUUUUGGCUUUCCAUGCAAUUUCCAGCAAUUAUCUAUAGUAUGAUGCGGGCGUUUGCAAUAUUCGCGAUAUAGUUUACCUCUCCCUUUCGAAUUUUGGCCAAAAUUCCUUGAAGAUGCGGAAAAAAUCUGACCGUCUGACGCUGAAAAGAUCCGGCCGUUCGAUGCUGAAAAAAACUGGCCGUUCGAUUCUCUUUUCGCAGGAUUAUAUGCGCCGUUGGAUUCUGUGAAGAGAUCAGCCUCCUGGACACCGUCGGAUCUGCGAGAUAAAUCUGGACCGUUGGUGCCUCCCUUUUUAAUCAUCUUCUCACCCCUCCCGUGAAACCCUAGGGUUUCUUGAUUCUCUCUUUCUCGCGUUAGGGUUUUGAAACCCGAUCGCUCGCCGCGAAGUGCAAGUGCGACACUGUCGCUUCCUCCCUUGUGCUCCGGCGCCGCGAGUCGCUGGUUUUCUUCCUGGACAGCGAGUUGAAAGAUCCUUCCGAGAGGAGGGACAGGAUCCAUCGCCAGGAUCUGCGAUCGGAACGUCAGGUAAUUUUCGUUUAAGAUCAAAAGGAAACGAGUGAUUUUCUCCCUCUCCUUUAUAGAUCUAUAUUGUUCGAGGGUCUCUGCCGGUCCCUUGAGUUUUUCUUCUGUGGCUUCGAGCUCGUUCCAAAGCGACGAUAGCUUGUUGUAACAAGCUGUGACCGUCAGAUUUCCCUGCUUGAAUUCACUGAGUUCCUGCAUGAGUAAACAAAUUUUUGCUUGAUCUAAUUUUCUGUACAUUUCUUUGAUAUUCUCCCACAUUUUCUUCGAAUCUUCUGUUGGUGGGAGGCCAGCAGCGACAUCUGGAGAGAUGCAAUUGCCAAUCCAUGAUCGGAUUAGGUGGUUGCAUUUCCUCCCGUGUCGGGCCAGUCGCUCAUCCGAAGGAAUAGGUAUGGUUCCGUCGAGGAAUCUGUCCUUGUCCUUUGUCACGAGGGCUCGCCGGAAAUCCUGUGAUCAUCUGGAAUAAGUUUCUGGUCCAGUCAGUUGCAAGGUGAUUAAUCGCAGUUCUGGACCGUCAGCUGUUGAUACGUAGAGAGGAUCUCCAGAUUCUGGUUGGCCGGUGACUACCGCGAUCGGAAAAGGAAGAAAAUUGGGCGAGAAACUCGGGUAGGGAUUCGUCCUUGAGCCCGACCCGCCAGAUCCGAUUCCAUGACCCGCAUGCGAGAAAUUUGGGUAGGGAUUCGUCCCUAGUCCCGACCCGCCUAGGGUUGAUCGGUUCCCGGUUCAGUCUGGUUCCACCUUGGAACCGAGAACCGAACCGGGAGCACCGGUUCCCAAAAUAUUGAACUGUGGACCGGACCGGACCAUCGGUUCCGGUCCAGUCCGGUCCGGUCCAAAAAAAUCAACUAUACUUUUUUGCACUAAAGAACUAAAGAGUGACCGCGCUCUUGACCGAUCAAUUCAAUUCGAUUCUCGGGCAAUUCAACAAAACUAAUCACACGUGUUCCACGUGCAAAGUGUUCAAACUUCACUUGUGUGAUUCACAGGAUCUCUUGAAGUCUUAGUCCCAUAUCGAAACUAUCAAGGAGAUUUUUUCUAUAAAUAAAAGAGUAAUAAAAAGGAUUUUAAUGGUCUCUUGGCCACAUAAGAGGUUGCUACCUCAAAUUGCAAUUUUGGUUGCAAUAAGUUAUCAUGUUUAUAUGUUUUAUUAAUUCUAUGUAUAUAAAUUAUAUAUAAAAAAGUUUGGUUCGGUCCAAUCGGUCCGGUUCGGUCCGGUUCCCACCUUGAAACGGGGAACCGGACCGACCGGCCACUAGUUCCAAGAUAAGGAACCGGGGACCGGACCGCCGACCAUGGGAACCGCCCAAAACUGACCGGUUCGGUCCGAUCCAACUGGUUCCCGGUUCGGGCGGUUCCCGUUGCACACCGGGUCACCCGCCAGAUCCGAUUCCAUGACCCGUAUGUGAGAAAUUCGGGUAGGGAUUCGAUCCCAGACCUGCUUCGUCCGACCCACCAACUUGUUCUGUUCCGGCGGUUUGGUUUGCCCCAUUCGUGGCUGGUGGACCUCCGUCGGACUGAACGCUACUUUGGUAGCCUGUAAUCCCCGGCGAUGAUGCAUUUGGUCCAACGUACCAUGGAUACGGUACCCAUUGGUAAGGAUGGCCCGCAGUGGGCAACCCCAUAUUUGACUGAGUCGGGAAGAAUGGCCAUUGCACGCCUUGAGUCUGAGGUUGCUGUUGAGUUGUGGGAAUCGGCACGAGAUGGCUUUGUGCCUCUGAGAUUUGUGGCGUAGUUUCUUCUGUGGAUGAAACAUCAAGGGCUGAGGAUGAAUUUGCUAGGUGAGCCAUGUUAAUUGUUUGUGCUUGCUUCUUUUUCCUUUUAGCGAAAAAUGAUUCCUUCAUAAAUCUCUUUUGCAGAUCAGAGAGUUCGAAGAACAACUGGUGCGGAAGCGGGUUCAGAAGCUUGAAGGCUCUAAUACCAUGACAGAAUGCGUAAAGGAAGCAAGAUACAAGAGACGAAGGAUUGAGAGAAGUUUUUUCUAUUCCUUCAAUUGUAUUGAUUCGAUAUACAAUGUUCUGUAAUUAUAAUACAGAGUGUACAUGAAGAAAGGAAAUAAAAAAUUCUAUAAAUCAAAUCUACAAUUCUGUCCAAUAAUAAUUGAUCUGAUUAGAUCAAUUAAGAUCAAAACCUGGCAGAUGAUCAAUUUAGAUCAAAUCCGGCUGAUCUUCAGGCAUAUCUUCCAACACACCCCAACAGGAUUCAUGCGUUCUCCUGAAAAAAACUCCCAACAGGAACCCCUUUCUUACUUCGCUGUUCGUCAUUUUUUCUUUUUUUGGAGUUCACGACAUGGCUUUUUCUCGUUCUUUUGCAGAAGUCAACAAAUCCACUUUUGACCGGAACCCACCGAAUAUUCAAGCUCUUUUUUCUUGCGUCGCUUUCAGACGUCCACCGCACGCCUUCUCGAAGAUAUUAGAUAAGAGUUUUGCUAAUAUAACUGUUUUUGCAUAACUGCUAGAGUAACGGAUGAGGAAUGGACCUGUUAAUAAUUUCAAAUUAUUUCUUAUCUUUUUUUUUUUAUGAUCUAGAGCAGAAUGUUUUUAUCACGGUGAAUUAAGGACAGUCAUUUAGGGCGCGUUUGGUUGUGUUUCUAUUUAAAAAUUAUUCCAGGGAACAGAAAUAGAAAAAAGCGUUUCUAUUCCGAGGAACAAUUUUUGAACAAAACAACGCGUUUGGUAAAUUUGUUCUGGGAAUAAAAAAAUAAACAGAAACAUGUUUGGUAAAUUUGGAUAAUUUUUUUUAUUUCUUUUAUUUUUUCUAUUUUUUCUUAUUUUUCCUUUUUUUCUUUUUUUCUUUUUCAUUUUUUUUCUUCUUUUGGCCGGUCGCCGGCCAAGGCCUUGGCCGGCGACCGGCCGGCGAGGCCGAGCUCGCCCAGCGGUGGCCCAGGCGCGGCCUCGCCGGGCCACCGCCAGGCGACGCCGACUCGCCCAGAUCCGGCGAGGCCGAGGCUCGCCGGCCGCUCGGCGAGCCUUGGCCUCGCCGAACCUAGGCGAGAUCGAGCUCGCCCAGGCCCGCGCGAGGUCGGCCUCGCCUUGAUCCGGCGAGGCCGAGCUCGCCCAGCGGCGGGCGAGGCGCGGCCUCGCCGAGCCACCGCCAGGCGAGGCCGAGGCUCGCCGGCCGCUGGGCGAGGUUGGCCUCGCCGGAUCUGGGCGAGAUCGAGGUCGCCCAGGUCGGCGCGAGGUCGGCCUCGCCCAGCUACGGCGAGCCUCGCCGUGGCUGGGCGAGGCCGCCGGCCAAAAGAAAAAAGAACAAGAAAAUAAGAGAAAAAAGAAAAAAAAUAAGUGUUUCUCAAAAGUGUUUCAGAAACAAGAAACACAAAAUUUGUGUUUCUUGUUUCAGUUUCUUUUUUGUUCCUGGGAACAAAAGAACAAAAAGGGAAUGUUCCUUUUUUGUUCCCAGGAACAAAAAAACAGAAAAAGUGUUUAAAAACAAAAAAAAGAAACACAAAUAAACGGGGCCUUAAUCAUUUCUCAUAUGAUAAAAUCAAUCAACUGAGAAACAAACCCGUAGUCAUAGCAAAUAUACUAUGUUCCCUCCUAACAGAAUCCAAACUUGAGUCGGAUUAAUGGGCGCAUCGGAUUUGAACAAAUCGAGAGGUUUGGAUUUCAUACACUUGCUAAAACUCGAGACAUAAUAUUACAAUUUUUGUUUGCAAUCAAAAAAGUGUUUUGUUUUUGCCCUCUGUAUUAUCCCACCAAAGUGGGUGAUCGACCAAUAUUCAAGCAAAUCUUCAAUCCAUCAUCAAAUUUAACUUAGAAUAACAUUAAGAGCUGCCACGGAGACAACCAAGUUGGAUAAUGAAAAAAAAAAAUAAAACAGAUGACAAAGGUCUCAUAUUUUUUUAAAACCUGAUUAUAGUAUCUUUUUAUCAUGAUAAGAUCAGUGCCAACUCCAAAAUCCAACUCCACAUUUUGGAGUUGGCCAUCUCGAUCUCAUCCCAAUAUAUUCACCACCAACAAACAAUGGUCAUAUAUCUUUGUCCGUGUGUAGAAUGUCUAGUGUAGUUGUUCCGUGCUAAGGCGAUGUAAUCAGAAUGGAUGCAAUGCUGACGGCAUGAGAGAGGAUACAGUAAGGACAUAUUUUAUGUAGUUGAUUACAAUGUAUAUAGAUUGGUAUUCAUUUUAUACGCCCUAUUACUUCACGACCUUUUCAAGGGAAAAAAAAUGUGUUGGUUUAAUUUCAGCACUGGUGUAUUUACACCAUAUUCAAGUACAAAUGUUCCGCCAAGAGCAUGAAUUUCAACACAGGUGUAUUUAAACCGAGUUUUGCACAUACCUACAAAUGAGUGUCAAAAUAAGCACUCACGAUAAGAGAGCUUAACCUCCCCUUUUUUUUUAUCAGAUGAUUUGCAAUAUUUUGUUCUUCUUACAACUCCCCAGAUUUGAUAAAAUUAGCUGGCAUUGAAAAGGCAAAGACAUUUUUAGUUUCACUCAUUUUAUAACCGUUCUACUUUUAGCUAUAAGGGACUUCCUAAAUCUAGCACCCCAUCAUCCACCGGGUAUUCGGUUCAUAUACUACUCAGAAUUACGAAAUGAUUUAACCAGAACCAAAGGAAGAAAACACAAUGUUACAAUGUAGAUUACCAUGGGAGGUGAGUAUCAAUUGGGUGAUCAUAUAUUGCUACUAGGUAAUUGCCUCGCAAGAUUACCCAGGAAAUGGAUAAUGGACUUAUGAGCCCUUUGCAACACCACACUAGCUUCUCUCUCGUUUUCGUUAGCAGCAGCUGGCUGUUCUUGAGUUGAAUGUACACUCCUCACAAGCUUUUGCAGCUCCUAUUGGAAGUACAACGUAGGAAAAUAUUCACCAUAAACAUGUUAACCCAGUACUAAUUUUGACAGUGCAAAAUAGUAGAUGUCAACUGCGCUAAGUACUAGCAAUUGGCAAAUGCAAAUCUCAGCGAUGGGUAAUGUGUUGCAUUGUGCACUGAAGAACAAUCUAAACAUAAUGAAGUUUGUGCAUGGCAAGGGCAGGCACAUACAUAAUGUUGUGCACGUUACAGAGGAAUAAAUUAGCCCGACCGGGGAUAGGCUUGUGCAAAUGUUACCUACAUGCCCAUGAAAAACCAUCAAUCUAGUUUACGUUGUCAAGAGCAGAAUGUCAAAUGAGAAAUUACUUUCUAUUUUCAGUACAUAAAACUGUCGACACUUGAUAUUGAGUACUUAAAUUCUUAGUGCUUAUUUUUUUUGGCUUAUCAAACGGGCUUUUAGGCUUCGAAUAUGUGGGCCUAGUUGAGCGCCCAAGAUCACACCAUAACUGAGAGAAUGUGAUGCAGGUGCAGAAUGGGUGAUUUGAGUGAAAUAAUGGAUGGAAUCAGAGUGUGUGGGAAUGAAUGUCGAUGGGCGGAUGCAACACGCACAUAUCAUGCCGUGAGGUCUAAACGUAUCUAAUUCGAUGAAUAAGGAUUCCAUGGUUCAGGACACUUGGUAGAAAUCAGCAGCUCUCGGUGAAAAUGAAGCCAGGAUUUUAGUGUAUGCUUAAGAGAUUUGUAACCAGCAAAGAGUGUUUCCAUUGGUUUCUUUACAACUAAGUAUCAAAUCAAUGACGUUCUGGUGAAACUUUCUUCUCUAGGUGAUUGGGAAGCGGACUUCUCGCACAGCCCGGACAUGCUGAACUCGUUUUCCUCUAAGAGGAUGCAAAUGAAACUUUGAAGAGCAGCGGAAGGCAAUGCAGAUUUUUUUUUUCAAGUGACCAAGUUAAAAACCAGGUACCCCCGCCUCUUCACCGUGUCCAUGUUCGAAAUCUUCUUUCUCUUUCGUCAUUAUCUUUGCCAACCCAGGCCUCCGAUACCAAUAAAGCUCGCAGCCUACUCUGGUCACCAUCUUCCGUGGCCUCAAUUGAAGCAUCCAUUAACUCAGGCUCCACUUCUCGCAGCAACUUCCCUAACAAAUGUGAUUCAUUAAGGAAGUUUACAUUGCACAACGAAUCAAUGACACCUCUCGUGCAUAUUUUGUAGAAUACAACUAAAUAAAACUGCUUUAGCAAAAAGGAAAAAAAAAAAAAAAGACAGAGACACUUAUGUUCCAUCUGGAAAUGAAAAAAAAAAAAAUUGUUCAGCAAGCAAAACUUCAGAUUUUUCAUACGGCUUGAGCAUUCAUCUAGGACUUUCCCGAGCACAUCAUUAGCAGUUACUGAUCAUUCAUCAAUAUAUGCUCGAGGAACUAUACUGCAAGUACCAUCCAAGCAUUUUAAAGCACAAGCCGACACACUCAAUUUCAAUCUAAGUGGGAAAAAACGGCAGUUGGGAAAGACCUGCUUACUCCAAGAACUAUUUUACCCACAAAGAACUCAUCGUGCAAUAGCCGAGCAUAGCAAAGAAGAUACCAGGUGAAGCCGCGAGAAAGGCGAAAGAUUCUCACAAACACACGUGUACACACUCGUAAAAACAUGAAUAAAAAUGUGAUAGUACCAAUGAACUUGAACUGCCUUCGCUUUCCUUCUCGAACAUACGGUUUCAGUCUCUGCAACAAAUCCACAAACAUGUCAACGGCAUUAACAAGUAAGAACUCAGACCAAACGCCUCACGAGAAACUGCCACAGAAGCAUCACCUGCGCAAGAAUCCAAGCGUCCAAGGCCGCUUGCUCCAGAGAAGCCACUCUGCAAUUCCCCUUUUAAAAAGAAAGCGAUAAUGAAUCUACAGUGCUGCAUUAUUGGACAUCAUUAUAUCCACGAAGCCCGUGAAAGCUCAAAAUGGCGCCGCCUCCAAGGCACGUCUUUUUUUCCCGUAGUAUCUGAGGAAGCGCUUGGAUCUGGAGAUGGGAAAAGGAAGCGACUUCCAUGCCCCAGGGGACGUCGCGGCCGAGCCUCGCGCUUCUUCUGGUUGAGGCUUUUCUGGGCGUCAGAGCCGUCAUCUUCUCGGGGGAUCGUACGGAGGCGGGCAGUUGGGGAAUCUGAGCCCGCGCGGCCGGUGAUGGACGUUGUUCCAAAGGGCGAAAGAGAUAUCUGGAUAAUGGCUCUCGCUUCAUUUUCCUGUUUUUUGGCUCUCUUUUUUUAAGCUGAGUGCUUGACAAAUUUCAUUGUUCAUCUUUUCAAUUCAACUCGUAUACAAUUACACCAAGAUACAAAAGAGAAGACGUUAAAACAAGCCUUCAUAAGGGAAAUGUCAUUUGAAGCUGGUUAGGUGACAUCUUUAUUCAGUGAACAUAUAUUAUCUCAACAAUUUCACCGUCCAUAAAACUUGAUGGCCUUUCACUUUGGCUUCUCCAUCCACUGGGCUACACUUUUCUCCAGCAUUCUCACGCCUUGUGAGAGCCAUUUGGGUCUUCUCAUAUCAAAUGCAGUGUACGCUACAUAAAUCCCAAUGACAAUUCCAUAAGCAUAACCUAUCCACAUUACUUUCUAUUUAAACCAACUCUCAUAUCUUUCACGGUCCUGAGUUGAUGAGGACGAUGGUGGAGGAAGUUAAGCAUUACCGAGGCAUGCUUUCAGCAAUAGAGUUCCACAUAAGCUUGGAUACCCAUUGAACGAUCCGCUUGAAAAGGCAUUCACAAUUUUUUUCUGAAUUUUUUAUAUUUUAUUUUCAUUUUUACCUUUACUUCUUUCUUUGCUUUUUCUUUUCUUUUCUCAUUAUGAUCAACGAGGGUCAUGGUGAACCUCGCUAGCCAUGAAAGACUCUCCUAGACUAGGCGAGAGCCGCCUCUCUCACAAUUAGUGGGGCCAAGGAGGCCCUCACCCGAGGCCUCCCCAAUGUCUUUGUGGCCUCGCUAGGCAUAGGAGGCUUUUGUUGCAAGCGAGGACCCUUCCCAAAUCUAGCAAAGGCAUUCACAGCCGGUGAGAGUCGCCGGUGGCCCUCGUUGGCCACAGUGGAAAAAAAAAAAGAAAGAAAAGAAACAUAAGAAUAAAAUUUUUAAAGAAUUACAAAAAUUGUUCACGUAAGCAACAGCAAUCAGUCAUGUCAUGUAGAACGACUAGCACCCACGUUAAUAAUUUCUAGCCAAAUAGACUCCUGGCAAAUUGUCAAAAGAUUUAAAACUAAAUUGAUCUAAUUCAAAUGAUUAAAAUCAAAUUUGCACGAGUACAAUAAAUUUAAGAUUUUUUUUUUAUAAUUUUUCUCGUCACUCCCUUUGUACAAAUAUUCUGGUGUCGACCCUACCCUAAUAUAUUCACCCCUAACACAACCGUCCUAGAUCUUUGUGCGUUUCUGUCUGUGUAUGCGUCUAUUUACAUAUAAUAUCUAGUGCACUUGUUCCGUGUUUACGGGAUGCAAUCGGAAUAGACCAAGGGCAUUGUUGAUUACCUCGUGUGCCGAUUGGUAUUAAUGUGGUAGGCUGCAUUCGCUCGCGACCUUCCCAGGCGAAAAAGGGUUUACUUAAGUGCAUAUGUACUUGUAUAGGAUUCAACUACAUCUGUACUGGCUGGCACCGGCAUGAAUAUUAUCCAGGUAGAUUCGAAUGCAAAAGCACAAACCGAGCGUCAAAAUAAAUAUUUACAAGAACAGAGCUUAACCUCCCUUUCUUUCUUUUUUUCUAUCAGACAAUUUGCAUUAUUUUGCUCCUCUUAUAACUCUCCGGAAUUGAUGAAAUUAGCAGGCAAUGGAAAGGUAAAGGCAAGUAAAUAACGUUUAGCGGCAUAACUAUUCUCUUUUGAGCCAUUGUGCAGGACUGAACCCGGCACUGAAUUAAAAUUAGCACCUCAUCAUCCACCUGGUACUCGGUUCAUACAUAAUCCUGAACCGUAGAACGAUUCAAACGGACCCUGGAAAAAGAAAAUGUAAAUGUUGCAAAAUAGAUUAGUACAAGAGGUGAGUAUCAGCUGUGUAAUCAUGUAUUGCUACAACAUAAUUGCCUCGCAAGGUUUCGGAGGAAAUAAGUAGAGGACUUCUGCGCCCUUAGGAGCGCUAUGCUAGCUUCUCUCUCGUUUUUCGCUGGCUGUUUUGAGUCGACUGUACUCUCCAUACAAGCUUUUGCAACUCCUAUAGGAAGUACGAGGUAGAAAAAUAUUUUGCAUAAACAUGGAAUCCAAAAUUUAUUUUGACAAUGUGAAAAUAGGAGAUGUCAACCAUGCAAACUCUUGGCAAUUGACAAAUGCGAGUUUCAGCAACGGACAAUGUUUGCAUGUGCACUGAAGAACGAUUUAAACAUGGUGAAGUUUGUCAUACCAGUUGGAGCGAUGAAACAGCCCGACCAACUAUAGAGUUGUGCAAAUGUAACCUACAUGCCAUGCGUUACCGUGUGUGGAAAACCAUCAAAUGGUCUAUGGCGUCAAGAGCUGAAUGUUAAACAAGUAGUUGAUUCAGCAGCAACCCAUGGAUAUUUUUUAUACAGCCGACAUGGAGUUGUUCAAGAUGCUAUAAAUGGACUGCAGAGAUUUGAAUGCUCCAAUAUAUAAAACUAAAUGCUCAAACGGUAAGAGAUAUGUCAACUUACUUGCCAGUCAAAAUCAAUGGUGUGAAUGGAGAAAACUUCAUUGGCCAUUUGAAUGUCUUUACUGAUUAAACCGUCAAACCACCUGCUUGCUAUGCUUGAAUACUCACAACACUCCUGGGAAUUGAAAAUUGAAAAGCAAGUCAACAUUGAGAAACCUGAACAGAUGCUAGAGAAGGAAGAUGGACAUUGUGUAGAACUAAAGUUUCAUGCAUGACCAAUGGAUCACAUCACUAAUGAACCACUUUUUCAAUAAACGUAUGAUUUGGCAUAUUUUAUGGGUGAUAAAGAUCUCAUACCAUCUCUGCCUAACAAAAAGUUGUUUAUCACGUAUUUUAUUUUUGGAUAAUUAAAAAAAGUUGUUCAUCAUCUAAAUCUGCGGUAUCGACAGUAACCUAUACAGCCAAGAUUCAACCUUGCUGUGCACUUCUAAAAAGGUAGGAGUAGCCCUUGACAAAAUUGGAAAUGAGAUAUUAAUGGCUCUAUUAUAGGAUACAGGUUAGAUGUUCUUGCUGAAGUUUUUUGCAGGAAAAACUGCUCCACACUAUUACUAAGUAACUAAUUUACACGAUACAUGUAAGACUUUGAUUUCGAAUUUUGGGUUUCAUCCAAGACCCUUUUGGCCAGUAUAGGGUAGAGAAAAUGGAUUCUGUUGCAGAAAGAUUCAUGUGAAGUCUGCUGACCAAAGUUGCACGGGGAAAUUAGGGAAGACAAACAUUGUGCAAGGUGGAGGAGGAAAUGGAUUGAUACUGCUUUCACAUCCAGUGUCAUUUUAAAGAAAAACGUAGAACAAGAUGAAAAUGCAGAAAAAGACAAAGAAAGUGAUGCCGUUUCAAAGAAAGGGACACAUGAAUUUAAAGGCAAAGGUGAGCUCCCACAAAGAUUGUGUCUUCUGAUAAACACUUUCUUUUAGACAAUUUUAUGUAAUUUUUUGUAUUAUAUGAACUAGACCAGAUUAUUUGGCACAUUAAAUGUUUCAAAUUUAUUGUAUCCUCUACGAUAUUGAAGAAAAAAUUUUUCCUUUCUCCCUCCAUGUACAUUCCCCGCGUAGCAUAUCUGCUUUUCCGCAGACUCAAAUCAUUUAAAUGUUAUGUCAUUAACCUAUUUAUUAUAUGUGGCAAUCAUCACUUUUAUUGCUGGGAUAUAGAAAAAUUGCCGUGCACGCACGUAUUAUGUUGUAUGGGCUAAUGUAUCUAAUCCCUGUAUAAGGUUUCCACGGCUUAGGACGCCCGUAGAAAUCAGCACCUCACAGUAAAUACGAAGACAGGGAUUCUAGUCUAUGCUUAGAUUUUUUAAUAAAAACUAGGGCACUAAGUAUCAAAUCAAGUCAGUACAGGUAAAACUUUCUUCUCUAGGUGAUUGGGAAGUCGACUCCUCACACAUCCCAUACAUGUUGAACUUGUUUUCCUCUAAAAGGAUGUAAAUGAGACUUUAUGUGGCAGCGGUAGGCAAUGCAGAUUUUUUUUCAACGACAAAGUUAAAACCAGGUACCUCCUCCUCUUGUUCUUGCUCGAAAUCUUCUUCUCCUUCAUCAUCAUCUUCGCCAAACCACACCUCGGAUACAGAUAAAGCUCGCAGCCUACAGUGGUCACCAUCUUUUGUAGCCUCAAUUAAAGCAUCCAUUAACUCGGGUUCAACUUCUCGCAGCAACUUCCCUAACAAAUAUGAUUCAUUAAGGAAGUUUACAUUGCAUAUUAUGGAUUCAUGAGGCAUCAAUGAAUCAUUGAAUCAACAACACCUCUUGUGCAUAUUUUGUAGAAUAAAACUAAAUAAAAAUGCCUUAGCGAAAAUAAAUAAAUAAAACUAUAAGAGAAAAAAAAAAAAAAAAAAAAACCAAAGACACUUGUGUUCCAUCUGGAAAUGAAAAAAAAGCAUUCAGCAAGCAAAAUUUCAAAAUUUUCGCACAGCUUGAGCAUUCAUGUACGCCUCUCCCGAGCAUAUCAUAAGCAGUUACUUAUCAUUCAUCAAGGUAUGCUCAAGGAACUGUACUGCAAUUACCAUCCAAGCAUUUCAAUAGUACAAGCUGACAUACUCAAACACAAUCUAAAGGGAGGGAAAAGGGGGCAGUUAAAAAAGAGCUUCUUAUCUUAAGAACUAUUCUUUUGGGCAACAACUUAUCGUGCAAUAGCCAAGCAUAGCAGAGAAGAUACCAGGUGGACCAGAUGUUCGCUUUCCUUCUCGAACAUCCGGUCCCAGUCAACAGCAUUAACAAGUAACAACUCAGACCAAAAGCCUUACGAGAACCAGCCACGCAUUGCAGAAGCAUCGCCGUCGCUAGCAUCUGAGCAUCCAAGGCCGCUUGACUCCAGAGAAGCCACUCUGCAAUUCCCCUUUUAAAAGAAAGGAUAAUGAAUCUACAGUGCUGCAUUAUUGACAUCAUUAUAUCCACAAAGCCCGUGAAAGCUCAAAAUCACGUCGCCUCCAAGACACAUCUUUUUUUCCCAGUAGUAUCUGAGGAUGCCCUUGAUUUGGGAAUGGGAAAAGGAAGCGAACUCCAUGGCCCAGGGGACGUCGUGGCCGAGCCUCGCGCUUCCUCUGGUUGAGGCUGUUCUCGGUGUCGGAGUCAGGUUCAACUUCUCGCAGCGACUUCCAUAGCAAAUGUGAUUCAUUAAGGAAGUUACACUGCACAACGAAUCAUUGACACCUCUCGCACAUAUUACGUAGAAUACAACUAAAUUAAACUGCUUUAGCAAAAAAAAGAAAGACACUUAUGUUCCAUCUGGAAAUGAAAAAAAGUGUUCAGCAAGGAAAAAUUUCAGAUAUUUCGCACAGCUUGAGCAUUCAUGUACUCCUCUCCCGAGCACAACAUCAGCAGUUACUCAUCUUUAUUGAUAUAUGCUCGACGAACUAUGGUGCCAGUACCAUCAAAGCAAUUUAAAAGUACAAGCUGACACACUCAAACUCAAUCUAAGUGGGGAAAAAGCUGCAGUUAGGAAAGAGCUGCUUAUUCGAAGAACCAUUUUGCCCGGAAAGAACUCAUCGUGCAAUAGCCAAGCAUAGCAAAGCAGAUAGCAGGUGAACCGGCAAGAAAGGCGAAAAGAUUCUCACAAACAAACACCUACACACACUCACAAAAACAUGAAUAAAACGUGAUAGUACCAAUGAAAUUGAACUGCCUUCGCUUUCCUUCUCGAACAUCCAGUCCCAGUCUCUGCGACAAAUCAACAAACACGUCAACGGCAUCAACAAGUAACAACUCAGACCAAAAGCCUCACGAGAAAAUGCCACGCAUUGCAGAAGCAUCACCUUCGCAAGCAUCCGAGCGUCCAACGCCGCUUGGUCCAGAGAAGCGAUAAUGAAUCUUAUUGGACAUCAUUAUAUCCACGAAGCCCAUGAAAGCUGAAAAUCGCGCCGCCUCCAAGACACAUCUCUUUUUCCCAGAAGUAUCUGAGGAAGCGAGGUCCAUGCCCCCAGGGGACGUCGCCGCCGAACCUCGCGCUUCCUCUAGUUGAGGCUCUUCUGGGCGUCGGAGUCGGAGUCGGAGUCGCUGCCGUCAUCUUCUGGGGGGAUCGUACGGUGGCAGGCGGUCGGGGAAUCUGAGCCAGCGCGGCCGGUGAUGGACGUCGCGGUGUGCCGAAGGGACCACACCGUUUGGAACAGACAACGGUGAGGAGCCGACGUUGUUCCAAAGGGCGAAAGAGAUAUCUGUAGUGGAUAAUGGCUCUUGCUUCAUUUUCCUUUUUUUUUUUGGCUCUUUUUUUUCUAAGCUAUGUGCUUGACAAAUUUCAUUAUUCAUCUUUUCAAUGCAACUCAUUCACCAUUACACCAAGAUACAAAAGGAGAAGACAUUAGAAACAAGCCUUGAUAAGGGAAAUGACAUUUGAUGCCGAUUAGAUGGCAUCUUUAUUUACUAAGACCACAUUACAUGGUUUAUAGAGACAACUCCUCAACAAUUUUACUAUCCAUGAAACUUGAUGGCGCUCUACUUUGGCUUCUCCAUCCACUGGACUGCACUUCUCUCUAGCAUUCUCACGCCUCGUGCGAGCCAUUUGGGCCAUCCUGUUUGAAUAGCAAUGUAUGCUAUGGAAAUCCCAAUGACAAUUCCGGAUGCAUAACCUAUCCACACUACUCUCUGUUUGAACCAACUCUCAUGCCCUCCGCGGUCCAAAGUCGAUGAGGACGAUGGCGGAGGAGAUUGAGCAUCGCUAGGGCAUGCUUUUGACAAUGGAGUUCCACAUAAGCCUGGAUUCCCACUAAACGAGUUGUUUAAAAAUGUGCUUAAUUGUUUAUCUUGAGGAAUUUGACCAGUGAGUUGGUUCUUCGAGAAGUUUAAGUACCCAAGAUAUCUCAAAUCUCCCAAUGCUCUAGGAAUUCUUCUAAUAAGCAUGUUCGAAGAUAGAUCAAGCCAUUCAAGAUUAGUUAAGUUUCCUAAAGUCAAAGGGAUGGAACUUGCAAGGUGGUUGUGAGAAAGGUUGAGCCCUAUGAGACAGCGAAGAUGGCCAAAAACUUCAAGAAUGUCUCCUUGGAAUAAGUUUUGUGAUAAGUCAAUGGUUGUGAAGAUGGUCAAGAUCUUCACUAGCUUUGUUUCUCUCCCCUUCAUCAUCACGGUCACGGUAUUUUCAUAUGACGACCCAAAGGAAAGGUAAUAUCGUGUCAUGUACGAUGGUCCGUAUCGCCCAUCUUCUGUAUUCUUCAUGCCUUCAAGGUUCAUUAUCAAGUUGGCUGGUAAAGGACUGCAAAAGUUGUUGUUCGAGAGAUCCAAAAUGCGCAAUUUCGUAAAGAUGAGAUCUCCCUUCCGAAUGUUCAAAGGACCCUUCAAAUUGUUGGACCUCAAAAUGAGAAUUUUCAGUUCUCAAAAUUUUCCCAACCAUGCCAGGAAUGUAUCCUCUAUCUGAUUGAUACUAAGAUCUAAAAUUUCCAGAUUUGUACAAUUGACAAGGGAUCGGGGCAACGUCCCUUCAAACCGAUUUCGGCUCAAGUCAAGAGUCGUUAAUCUAUGUAUCAAAGAAAUAGUUUGUGGAAUUGUGCCCUCCAAGUGAUUCAUUCCCAAGUUCAAAACCGAGAGAACAGUGCUAAAAUUUGUUAAGCACCAAGGCAAGCUACCAAUUAAGCUAUUGUUAGACAAGUUGAUCAUCUCGAGAUUGGUGGCGUUGCAUAUCAAAGAAGGGAUCAUUCCUGUUAUAACAUUAUUUGCAAUGGAGUAAUACAUUGUGACAGGAGACAGAAGUGGAAUUGGCACUCCAAAUUUGUUGUUGGACAAAUCUAUUAUGUGUAAUGAGGUGUUGGAGAAAACCUUCAUAGGGCACCAUCCAAUCAAAUUGUUGUUGGAAAUCAAUAAAUAUCUAAGAGCAGGGAAGGAGAGUUCAAAGGCAAUGAGGUUGAUCCUACCAUGAAAAUUGUUGGAUCGCAAACCAAGGUAAUGCAGGUGUGGUGCUUUCAGCCAAUGUGGGAAUAUAUCAUUAAACCCGUUGUAACCAAGUAAUAGUGUUGAUAAGUUUGCCCAUUUGACUAGGGAACGCGGUAAUGGCCCUUGUAAUUUAUUGCUAAUCAAGUUCAGAAGCUCGAGAUUGGUUAUAUUACCAAAACAUGGGGGCACAAUCCCCAAGAGAUUAUUGUAAGAUAAUGCUAGUUCUAGGAGUGAACUCAACUGACAAAUCGAAGAGGGGAUCUCACCGGUGAAACCAUUGUUCAUGGCAUAAAAGUAACGAGUAGAAGGUGAAGGGAUCGGGAGUGAUCCUUGUAAUAUAUUUCUACUCAAGCCUAGAUAGUCAAGAUUGCUUAUAUUACCAACACAUGGGGGCACAGUCCCCGAGAGAUUAUUGUCAGAUAAUGCUAGUCUUAGGAGUGAACUCAACUGACAAAUCGAAGAGGGUAUCUCACCGGUGAAACCAUUGUUCAUGGCAUAAAAGUAACGAGUAGAAGGUGAAGGGAUCGGGAGUGGUCCUUGUAAUAUAUUUCUACUCAAGCCUAGAUAGUCAAGAUUGCUUAUAUUACCAACACAUGGGGGCACAGUCCCCGAGAGAUUAUUGUCAGAUAAUGCUAGUCUUAGGAGUGAACUCAACUGACAAAUCGAAUAGGGGAUCUCACCAUUGAAACCAUUGCUCAUGGCGUAAAAGUAACGAGUAGAAGGUGAAGGGAUCGGAAGGGGUCCUUGGAGUGAGUUUUCUUGAAGGUUAAUAUACAACAACCGCUUCCAAUGUAGUUGGUGUAUACCUCCCUCCAGAAGGUUAUUAGAAAGAUCUAAAUGUUUCAAUGUAUGUUGGCUUAUUCCCCAAAACCAUCUCAGAAUCUCUCCACUAAUCUUAUUGUGAGAGAGGUUUAAGUAUGUUAAACUUUCUAAUGAAUUCAAGAAGUAGGGCAACUUGGUCAAAUUGCACGUUGACAUGUCCAACACUUGAAGCUUUGGGAGAUGGAGGGAAUUAUUGGAAUAGAGAGUGCCAUGAAUCAGAUGUUAGGCAAGAUAGAGACCGGUGACGUUACUGGUGACAUUGUCCCAAGUGACCUCAUCCCAUGAGCAGCAAUCUACACUCUUGUUCCAUGAUACGCCCAUUUCGAAUGAGCAGGGGUCUCAUGAGUAAUUGGUACAAGGCGAAUCAAGGAGGAAGGAAUUCUUAAAAUUGAGCAAGGCAUCACGCUGGUCAGGAGGGCAAAGGGGGGAGGUGAAGGGAAGAUGGGAAUGUAAGAAAAAGAGGAAAUAGAGGAGGCCAAAGAACCAAUGCCACCCCAUUUUGCAAUUUAGCACGUGAGCAGUGAGUUUACCGGAGGUGGAGAGCGCUUCCACUUAUAUAGCCUUUGUCAAGUGUGAAGUCACUGAAACAGGUCUUCACUAAGGUUCCAUUGGUGGGCUCACAACAUGUGUCACCUGUUUUGAAAGCUCUGUUACCUGGCAUACGAGUAAAUUUCAUGUAAGAUCUAGUUAGAAUGAUAUUUCAUUUCUCAUGGUUAAGGAAGAUCAGAUUUUCUAGCUAAGUCAGUUUAGUCAUAGGUACACAAGUGUGUAAAAUAAAUAUCCAAGUUAAAAGAAAUUUUCUUUCUAGACACAUACACUUUGAUUGUUCGUUAUUUUAGAUCAAUUGUGACAACGAUGGAUAGAAAGAAACAUUUAUUUGAAUUAGGCCUUGGGACCCUGACCCUUGGGGUCUACACUACAUCCUGAAGAUAAACGCAACAAUGACUUAACAACGAACAUAAUAAAGCGUAGAAAGAAGAGUACUAAUUUAUUAAUUUUUUAUGAGGCAAAGUGAUUGUUUUAUUAGUUAUAGUUUAGUAAUUUUACCAAAGUGACAUUAACUUUUCCGGUAAUCUAAUAAUUAGCGGUCAUAGACCAUAGUCGGGUAAAUGGGUUAUAAAUUCUCCAUAUUUGAGCUUUACAUUGUAGAAAUGUCCCUCCUAUUUACGACGUUCCUUAAUCAGUCCCACUUCGGGGCCUCAAAAACGGGUACCGCACUUGUUUGUGGAUGUUAACUUGGAAGGGUUUUCUUCCCAGCAUCAAUCGGCGCUGCAUUUUCUCGAUCUCAAUAUUCCAUGAAAUGAAUAAAAAUUGCUUUAAUUUAUUGAAACGUCUAUAGGCGACCUAACAAUCCACUAUAACUAAAUUGCUGAAGUUAUCACUACUAGAAAAACUGCCUAAGGUGACGAAAUUCGAUUCUGUCGCGGUGGGUAUGCCAAAGGCGACCAAAACCUUAGGUUGAGUUAAGGCGACAGUUGACUACGACAAAAAAGAAUCAUUGUCGCCUUACUUCCAAGUUGCUAACUCAACCUUUCAAAUUUUUUAAAUAUAAUUUUCCAUUUAGAAUUACAAGAUUUAAGAGUCACAAAAGAAAAUAGAAUUUAAACUGAGUUGUUCUACUUAUGAAGAAACCAAGAAAAGCUAACUAAUUGGCAACCCAUAACAACGGGAAAGCCUCCAAUAAUUCUGUCACACAUAAGAGUAAAUAAAGCCGAGAAAGUUAUUUGACACUUCACUGCAANNNNNNNNNNNNNNNNNNNNNNNNNNNNNNNNNNNNNNNNNNNNNNNNNNNNNNNNNNNNNNNNNNNNNNNNNNNNNNNNNNNNNNNNNNNNNNNNNNNNNNNNNNNNNNNNNNNNNNNNNNNNNNNNNNNNNNNNNNNNNNNNNNNNNNNNNNNNNNNNNNNNNNNNNNNNNNNNNNNNNNNNNNNNNNNNNNNNNNNNNNNNNNNNNNNNNNNNNNNNNNNNNNNNNNNNNNNNNNNNNNNNNNNNNNNNNNNNNNNNNNNNNNNNNNNNNNNNNNNNNNNNNNNNNNNNNNNNNNNNNNNNNNNNNNNNNNNNNNNNNNNNNNNNNNNNNNNNNNNNNNNNNNNNNNNNNNNNNNNNNNNNNNNNNNNNNNNNNNNNNNNNNNNNNNNNNNNNNNNNNNNNNNNNNNNNNNNNNNNNNNNNNNNNNNNNNNNNNNNNNNNNNNNNNNNNNNNNNNNNNNNNNNNNNNNNNNNNNNNNNNNNNNNNNNNNNNNNNNNNNNNNNNNNNNNNNNNNNNNNNNNNNNNNNNNNNNNNNNNNNNNNNNNNNNNNNNNNNNNNNNNNNNNNNNNNNNNNNNNNNNNNNNNNNNNNNNNNNNNNNNNNNNNAAAAUCUAUUAGUUUGAUAAAGUGCUUAUCAAAAAGGGAGAGUGGACUAGGGUUGGGAAUGUGCUUGGGAAGUUGUUUGCACGCCAAAAAGGGAGGGUGGACUCGGAUUGAUCGAUCUAAAAUUAUGGAACAAAGUUUUGUCAGGCAGUAGGCUUUGGAUCUUCAUAUAACCGCCUUGGAGAUCAUUUAACGAGAAGAGAUUCGACUUAACAAGAAGAGAUUCUUAGCCAUUAUUUAGGGGCUUAUUAUACUUCGAUCCAUCCACUAGAAAAAGCAAUGAGAUCCACCCCAUUUUUUGCUUCAGCAUGCGAGUAAAAGUUCUUCCAGUUAUACAGCCUUUGUAAAGUGUAAAUUGAUCCACGCAAGUCUUCUCUAGAAGGUCUGCUGGUGAGCUUCCCAAAUGGGCUAGCCGUUCUAAAAGCUCUAUCGGUGGGAUUGUUGACUAUGUGUUUACUAUAAUGAUGUUUCAAUAGCUGGGCUAGGAUGGAAUAUUAUUGGUGGUGACAUACCCGUCUUCUAAGGGUCCGAAACAGCUGUCAAACUAGGGAGAAGUUAUUUCAUGGGUUGAAUCCAAAUUUAUGUCCUUUAGAUACUCUCAAUGGCGACUCAUCGUGGGACAAACAUAACAUAUUCAUGAUGAAUUGAGGUUGUCGUUAGUCAGCCGAUUUGAAGAAUUCUGAUUCCAAGGUUGACCAGGUUUCAUGUCCUUUUGUUUUGGGCAAGAAACUUGUUCCUUAUUCAUGGGUUGAACCCAAAUUUCUGUCCUUCAGAUACUCUCAAUGGCAACUCNNNNNNNNNNNNNNNNNNNNNNNNNNNNNNNNNNNNNNNNNNNNNNNNNNNNNNNNNNNNNNNNNNNNNNNNNNNNNNNNNNNNNNNNNNNNNNNNNNNNUGCCGCCCUCGCGGCCACUGGCGAGGUGGCCGGCGAGGUCGACCUCGCCGGCCAUCGUCUCUGGCCGGUUGUCGAGCUCCGGCGACCGGUUGGAGGAAGAAGAUGAGAAGGAAAAAAAGAAAAAAAAAGAAAAAAAAAUUAAAAAUAUUUAAAAAUAUUAAAAUAUUAUUAAAAAUUGUACACGUCAGGGCCGAUCAAGCCACGUCAGCCAGCCGGCGUCCAAUCAGCAAAAUCCGGCCAAAAUUGGCCGGAAAGGACUAAAUUGGCACAACAUAAAAAGGUUUAGGACUAAAUCGGCACCAAAAAAAGGUUUAGGACUAAAUCGGCACAAAGCCAAAAGGUUUAAGACUUUUUUGGCACUUUUCCCAGCAUAUUACUCAACUCUAUCACCAUCUGAUAGAUGAAUUUAGAUAAUCUAUCGGGAAGUGUGCAAUCAUUUAUGAAUUUUUUCUUGAAUUUACAGAUACUUUGAAUCUCUAAAAUCUAUUAGUUUGAUAUAAAGUGCUUAUCAAAAAGGGAGAGUGGACUAGGGUUGGGAAUGUGCUUGGGAAGUUGUUUGCACGCCAAAAAGGGAGGGUGGACUCGGAUUGAUCGAUCUAAAAUUAUGGAACAAAGUUUUGUCAGGCAGUAGGCUUUGGAUCUUCAUAUAACCGCCUUGGAGAUCAUUUAACGAGAAGAGAUUCGACUUAACAAGAAGAGAUUCUUAGCCAUUAUUUAGGGGCUUAUUAUACUUCGAUCCAUCCACUAGAAAAAGCAAUGAGAUCCACCCCAUUUUUUGCUUCAGCAUGCGAGUAAAAGUUCUUCCAGUUAUACAGCCUUUGUAAAGUGUAAAUUGAUCCACGCAAGUCUUCUCUAGAAGGUCUGCUGGUGAGCUUCCCAAAUGGGCUAGCCGUUCUAAAAGCUCUAUCGGUGGGAUUGUUGACUAUGUGUUACUAUAAUGAUNNNNNNNNNNNNNNNNNNNNNNNNNNNNNNNNNNNNNNNNNNNNNNNNNNNNNNNNNNNNNNNNNNNNNNNNNNNNNNNNNNNNNNNNNNNNNNNNNNNNNNNNNNNNNNNNNNNNNNNNNNNNNNNNNNNNNNNNNNNNNNNNNNNNNNNNNNNNNNNNNNNNNNNNNNNNNNNNNNNNNNNNNNNNNNNNNNNNNNNNNNNNNNNNNNNNNNNNNNNNNNNNNNNNNNNNNNNNNNNNNNNNNNNNNNNNNNNNNNNNNNNNNNNNNNNNNNNNGGCCACAGUCGACUGGCAGUAGAGAAAUUUGAUCGACCCCAUCACGCACGUUAAAGAAGUCCAUCUUCAGUUUGACAAAUAAGGAACAAGUUUCUUGCCCAAAACAGAAGGAAAUGAAUCCUAUUCAACCUAGGAAUCAGAAUUCUUCAAUCGGCUGCCUAACGACAACCUCAAUUCAUUGUGAAUAUGUUAUGUUAGUCCCACGAUGAGUCGCCAUUGAGAGUAUCUGAAGGAUGGAAAUUUGGGUUCAACCCAUGAAAAUGGGCUGGACGGACAUCGUGACGGACAGUGAAAUCGAGUAUUUUAAUCAAGCCUUUCAUAAGUCUUUCUUUUAAAAGAUGAAAGACUCGUGGAAUACUAAGAUGCAAUAUAAUUGGUGGUGACAUAGCGACUCAGUCUAUGCAACCCUUCUGACAAGCCAAGUGAUCAACACCAAAGUCUUCUCUCAAAAGGUCUGUCGGGUGCGCUCAUGCCAAACAACAUAUUAUUAUAUUCCCCAGUGCUUUCACCGAAAGGCCACAUCAAAUGGAAUUGGAUUUCCAUGUAAAAAGCGUUCUAGCUUUGUCAAAAUUAAACAAAGUUUAGAAAAGGAGGCUGGGACAGAAUUUAUUAUCAUAUUCCCUGUCUUUGGAAUAAUUUUUUACCUCCUAAAAUAAGAAAGACAAACUUCAAUAGAAAACCUUGCCAUGAAUUACCCUUAAUCAAACCGGACCAUGUUUCUCGGUAUUUUUUUCUUCCUCUUUGCAUUGAUCCUAAAGUUACGUUCAGAGAUGACCCGGAAAGAAUAAAAAUGAAAUCAUCCAUCAGUUCGACUAGUAACGCCUUUUGAUGAAAUAUAACGCGGAAACUAAUAUUAGAUCUUGCAUUUUAAGUCAAUGCGAAAUUACUGAAGAAAUAAACAAGGGACAAUAAAGGAUAUAAAAAAUUUUAUGCUCGAUCCAAGUAUUGGUACUCACAUUUACGGGGAAAGCAAUAACAAAUAAUUCACUAUGAUCAGAUAAUCAAAAUUAUAAUUACCCACGUACUUGAGUAUUUUUUACAUUAUGCUUAAGCACAUAGUUUUUAUUAAUAAAAUAACUCAAUUGGACAGAAAUUCACAGCACAAAAUUCACCAUGGUCAACACUCCUCCGUGCGAUCGAAAAAAAGAGUCACCGUGCGACCCCUGUCUUACUUCGCGGUUCGUCUUUUUUUCUGGAGUUCACUACACGGCUUGAAGGAAUUCUGCGCGGCCAAAGACAGGUACUCCACCCUACAGGAUUUAUGCGUGCCCCUUUUUCUUGUUCCUUUUCUCGUGCGGCCUUUAGACGUCCACCGUACGGCUUGUCAAGGAAUUAAUUACAGCCAAUCAACAAAGAAAUAAACCUGCGAUCAAAGCAAAUAUACUCAAUCCUCAAUUAUCUAUAUCUAACAAAACCACCCGUCCAACAAAAUCCAAACUUGAAUCGGAUUAAUGGGCCCACCGAAUUUGAACAAAUUAAGAUCCUCCAAACAGCUCGGAUUUCAUACAUGGGCUAAACUGCGAGAUACAAUGUAAUACCUAUUGUUUGCAAUCAAAAAAGAUAUUUUAUUGUUGCCAGUGCAACAAUAUGCGGUGGCAUGCGUCCAAAGGAAAUGGCAUCACUCCCUUUGUAUUAUCCCAACAAAGUGGGUGGUCAAACAAUAUUCAAGCAAAUCUUCAAGCCAUCAUCAAAUUUACUUAGAAUGAUAUGAUGAGCUGAUGCAGAGGUGGAUAAUAGAAGAAAAAGAACAGAUGACGAUGGUCACAUAAUUUUUAACAUCUUAUUAUCUUAUCUUUAUAUCAUGAUAAAAUUAGUCCUAACUCCAUAUUUUGGAGUAGGCCAUCUUGACCUUGUCAUAAUAUAUUCACCACCAACACACUACAGUUCUAGAUCUUUGUCUGUGUAGAACGUCUAGCAUACUUGUUUCGUGCUUAGGUGAUGUAAUUAUAAUAGACGCGACAUUGAGAAUAUGAGAGAGGAUACAGUAAGGGCAUAUUUCAAUGUAGUUGAUUACUGUGUAUGCAUAUUGAUAUUUAUGUUGUACGCCAUAUUAGCUCACAACCUUCCCAGGGGAAAAAAUCUGGUGGUUUAAUUUCAGUGCAGGUGUAUUUGCACCAGAUUCAAGCACAUAUGUUCCGGCAAGAGCAUGAAUAUUACUCAGGUGGGUUCAAAUGCAAAGAAUAAACCGAGUUUUGCAUAUACCUACAAAUGAGCAUCAAAAUAAACACUCAUAAGAAGAGAGCUUAAUCUCCCAAUCUUUUUGCAUCGGAUAAUUUGCAGUAUAUCGCUCUUCUUAUAACUCCCCAGAUCUGAUAAAAUUAGCAGGCAUUGGAGAGGCAAAGGCAUUGUUAAUUUCGCUCUUCUUAUAACCAUUCGCCUUUUAGCUGUUGCCUAGGAUUGAAAACGGGACUUCCUGAAUUUAGCACCCCCAUCAUCCAUAGGUAUUCCUUUCUUAUACUACCCGGAAUCACGAAACGAUUUAACCAGAACCCAGGAAAGAAAAUGUAAUGUUACAAAGUAGAUUACCACAAGAGGUGUGUGUCAAUUGUGUGAUCAUAUAUCGCUAUUAGGUAAUUGACUCGCAAGGUUAUGCAGGAAAUGGGUAAGAGACAAACCAUGCUAACCUCUCUCAUUUUCAUUAGCAAUGACUGGGUGUUCUUGAAUAGACUGUACACUCCUCAUAAGCUCUCGCAGCUCCCAUUGGAAGUACAAUGUCACCAUUACCAUGUGAACCUGAAGAUAAUUUUGACAAUGCGACAUACGAGAUGUCAACCGCGCUAACUACCGGCAAUUGGCAAAUGACGAUGCACACUGAAGAACGAUCUAAACAUGGUGAAGUUUGUGCAUGGCAAGGGCAGGCACAUGCAAAAUGUUGUGCAAGUAAUAGAGAAAUGAAUUAGCCCAACUAACUGUAGGCUUGUGCAAAUGUUACCUACAUGCCGAUGAAAAACCAUCAAUUUGGUUUACCUUGUCAAGAGCAGAAUAUCAAAUGAGAAAUUACUUUCUAUCUUUAGCACAUAAAACCGUCCACACUUGAUAUUACAUACUUAAAUUCUCGGUACUUAUUUUUCUAGACAAAUCAAACGAGCUUUUAGGCUUCGAAUAUGCUGGCCUAGUUAAGCACCCAAGAUCACCCAUAAAAGAGAGCAUGUGAUAAGGGUGCGGGGUGGGCCAGUGUUGUUUUGAGUGAUAAUACAUGGAAUCAGAGUAUGUGGGAACGGAUGUCAAUGGGUAAAUGCAACACGCCCAUAUCGUGCUGUGAGGUCUACUUUAUCUAAUUCGAUGAACAAGGAUUCCACGAUUUAGAACACUUGUAGAAAUCAGCAGCUCUCGGUAAGUAUGAAGCUAGGAUUUUAAGUGUAUGCUUGAAAGAUUUGUACCCAGCAAAGUCUGUUUCCAAUCAUAGGGAAGUGGACUCCUCACGCAGCCCGUACAAGCUGAACUCCUUUUCCUCUGAGAGGAUGCACAUGAAACUUUGAGUAGCAGCGGUAGGCAAUGUAGAUUUUUUUUUUCAGCAACAAAUAAAAACCAGGCACCCCCUUCUCUUCCCCGUGAUCAUGUUCAAAAUCUUCUCCUCCUUUGUCAUUAUCUUCGCCAACCCAGGCCUCUGAUACAGAUAAAGUUUGCAGCCUGCUCUCGUCACCAUCUUUUGUGACCUCAAUUGAAGCAUCCAUUAACUCAGGUUCAACUUCUCGCAGCGACUUCCCUAACAAAUGUGAUUCAUUAAGGAAGUUACACUGCACAACGAAUCAUUGACACCUCUCGCACAUAUCACGUGGAAUACAACUAAAUUAAACUGCUUUAGCAAAAAGAGGAGAAAAAAAAAAAAAAAAAAAGCCACUUAUGUUCCAUCUGGAAAUGAAAAAAAGUGUUCAGCAAGCAAAAAUUUCAGAUAUUUCGCACAGCUUGAGCGUUCAUGUACUCCUUUCCCGAGCACAACACCAGCAGUUACUCAUCUUUAUUGAUAUAUGCUCGACGAACUAUGGUGCCAGUACCAUCAAAGCAAUUUAAAAGUACGAGCUGACACACUCAAACUCAAUCUAAGUGGGGAAAAAGCUGCAGUUAGGAAAGAGCCUCUUAUUCGAAGAACCAUUUUGCCCGGAAAGAACUCAUCGUGCAAUAGCCAAGCAUAGCAAAGCAGAUAGCAGGUGAACCGGCAAGAAAGGCGAAAAGAUUCUCACAAACACACACCUACACACACUCACAAAAACAUGAAUAAAAAUGCGAUGGUACCAAUGAAAUUGAACUGCCUUCGCUUUCCUUCUCGAACAUCCAGUCCCAGUCUCUGCGACAAAUCAACAAACACGUCAACGGCAUCAACAAGUAACAACUCACACCAAAAGCCUCACGAAACAGCCACGCAUUGCAAAAGCAUCACCUUCGCAAGCAUCCGAGCGUCCAACGCCGGUUGCUCCAGAGAAGCGAUAAUGAAUCUUAUUGGACAUCAUUAUAUCCACGAAGCCCAUGAAAGCUCAAAAUCGCGCUGCCUCCAAGACACAUCUUUUUUUCCCAGCAGUAUCUGAGGAUGCGCUUGAUUUGGGGAUGGGAGAAGGAAGCGAGCUCCAUGCCCCCAGAAGACGUCGCCGCCGAGCCUCGCGCUACUUCAUGUUGAGGCUCUUCUGGGCGUCGGAGUCGGAGUCGCUGCCGUCAUCUUCUCGGGGGAUCGUACGGUGGCGCGGCGGUUGGGGAAUCUGAGCCAGCGCGGCCGGUGAUGGACGUCGCGGUGUGCCGAAGGGACCACACCGUCUGGAACAGACAACGGUGAGGACGCGACGUUGUUCCAAAGGGCGAAAGAGAUAUCUGUAGUGGAUAUUGGCUCUUGCUUCAUUUUCCCUUUUUUGGGCUCUUUUUUUUCUAAGCUAUGUGCUUGACAAGUUUCAUAAUUCAUCUUUUCAAUUCAAUUUAUACACCAUUACACCAAGAUACAAAAGGAGAAGACAUUAAAACAAGCCUUGAUAAGGGAAAUGACAUUUGAUGCCAACUAGAUGACAUCUUUAUUUACUAAGACAACAUUACAUGAUUUAAAGAGACAACUCUUCAACAAUUUCACUGUCCAUGAAACUUGAUGGCCCUCCACUUUGGCUUCUCCAUCCAUUGGAUUGCACUUCUCUCCAGCAUUCUCACGCCUCGCGCGAGCCAUUUGGGCCAUCCUAUUUGAAUUGCAAUGUAUGCUAUAGAAAUCCCAAUGAUAAUUCCGGAUGCAUAACCCAUCCACACUACUUUCUGUUUGAACCAACUCUCAUGCCCUUCGCGGUCCAGAGUCGAUGAGGAUGAUGGUGGAGGAGGUUGAGCAUCGCCAAGGCAUGCUUUUGACAGUGGAGUUCCACAUAAGCCCAGAUUCCCACUAAAUGAGUCAUUUAAAAAUGUGCUCAAUUGUUUGUCUUGAGGAAUUCGACCAGUGAGUCGGUUCUUCGAAAGGUUUAAGUACCCAAGAUAUGUCAAAUCUCCCAAUGCUCUAGGAAUUCUCCCACUAAGCAUGUUCGAAGAUAGAUCAAGCCAUUCAAGAUUAGUCAAGUUUCCUAAAGUCAAAGGGAUGGAACUCGUAAGGUGGUUGUGAGAAAGGUUGAGCCCUAUCAAAUAGCGAAGAUGGCCAAAAACUUCCGGAAUGUCUCCUUGGAAAAGGUUGUAUGAUAAGUCAAUGGUUGUGAAGAUGGUCAAGAUCUUCUCUAGCUUUAUCUCUGUCCCUUUCAUCAUCACGGUCACGGAAUUUUCAUAUGACGGCCCAGAUACCUGCCCAGAUACCUGCCCAAAUACCUGCACAAUAAAAAGGAAAUUCUGUGUCAUGUACGAUGGUCCGUAUCGCCCAUCUUCUAUAUUCUUCAUGCCUUCAAGGUUCAUUAUCAAGUUAGCUGGUAAGGGACCGCAAAAGUUGUUGUUCGAGAGAUCCAAAAUGCGCAAUUCUGUAAAGAUGAGAUCUCCCUUCGGAAUGUUCAAAGGACCCUUCAAAUUGUUGGACCUCAAAAUGAGAACUUUCAACUCUGGAAGUUUUCCCAACCAUGUCGGGAAUGUAUCCUCCAUCUGAUUGACACUGAGAUCUAAAAUUUCUAGAUCUGUACAAUUGAGAAGGGAUCGAGGCAACGUCCCUUCAAAUCGAUUUCGGCUCAAGUCAAGAGUCGUCAAUCUAUGUAUCAAAGCAAUUGUUUGUGGAACUGUGCCCUCCAAGUGAUUCAUUCCCAAGUUCAAAACCAAGAGAUCAGUGCUAAAAUUUGUUAAGCACCAAGGCAAGCUACCAUGUAAGCUGUUGUUAGACAAGUUGAUGAUCUCGAGAUUGGUGGCAUUGCAUAUCAAAGAAGGGAUCCUUCCUAUUAUAACAUUAUUUGCAAUGGAGUAAUACAUUGUAACAGGAGACGGAAGUGGAAUUGGCCCUUCAAAUUUGUUGUUGGACAAAUCUAUUACUGAUAAUGAGGUGUUGGAGAAAACAUUCGUGGGCCACCAUCCAAUAAAAUUGUUGUUGGAAAUCAAUAAAUAUCUAAGAGAAGGGAAUGAGAGUUCACAGGCAGUGAGGUUGAUCCUACCAUGAAAAUUGUUGGAUCGCAAAUCAAGGUAAUACAGCUGCGAAUAGGUUAUGUUACCAAACCAUGAGGACACAGUCCCCGAUAGACUAUUGUUAGACAAAUCUAAUAACAAGAGUUUAGUUAAAUUACAAAAACAUUGGGGUAUAGUCCCAGAGAGAUUAUUGUUAGAUAAAUGUAAUUCCAAGAGUGAACUCGCCUGACAGAUUGAAGAGGAGUUCUCACCGGUAAAACCAUUGUUGUUGGCAUAAAAGUAACGAGUAGAAGGUGAAAUGAUUGGGAGUGGUCCUUGGAGUGAGUUUUGUUGAAGGCCAACAUACAACAACCGCUUCCAAUGCAGUUGUUGUAUAACUCCCUCCAAAAGGUUAGUAGAAAGAUCUAAAUGUUCCAAUGUAUGAUGGCUUAUUCCCCAAAACCACCUCGGGAUCUCCCCACUAAUCUUAUUGGAAGAGAGGUCUAAGUAUGUUAAUGUUUUUAAUGAAUUCAAGAAAUAGGGGAAUUUGAUCAAUUCACAAUUAGACAUCUCCAACACUUGAAGUUUCGGUAGAAGGAGGGAACCAUUGGAAUAGAGAGUUUCGUGAAACCGACUAUAAGUAAGAUCAAGACUGAUGACGUCACCGGUGACAUUGUCACAAAAGACUCUUUUCCAUGAGCAGCAAUCUACGCUCUUGUUCCAUGAGCUUUCGUUCCCAAUGGCAAUUGGAGGGGACCAGACACCAGUGAUGAACAACAACGGCAUUUGUAGAACGAAGGAAUGUUUAAAAUGGAGCAACGCAUCACACUGGUCAAGAGGGUAAAGGGGGGAGACAAAGGGAAGGGAGGAAUGUAAGAAAAAGAGGAAAUGGAGGAGGCCAAGGAUCCAAUGCCACCCCAUUUUGCAAUUCAGCAUGCGAGUGAGUUUAUUGGUGGUGGAGAGUGCUUCAACUUAUAUACCCCUUCUCAAGUGUGAAGCUAACAAGAGGUCCGUUAGUGGGCUCAUAGCAUCUGUAACCCGUUCUAAAAGCUUUGUUGAUUAGCACACGAGUAAUUUCUUGUAAGACUCGAAUAAAAUGAUUUCUCAUUUUCUCAUGAUUAAGAAAGAUCAGAUUUCCUGUCGAAGUUAGUUUAGUCAUAGGUACACAAAAAUAUCCAGGUUAAAAUAAUUUUUCUUUCCUAGGCAUAUACACUUUGCACCGUUCGUCUAUAUUAUAUCAAUCAUGACGAGAUUGGACUAAAAGAAACUUUAGAGAGAGGGUUAGUUAACGUAAGCUUUGUGACCCUGGCCCUCGGGGUCUGCACUACAUCCUGAAGAUAAACACAACAGCAACUUAACAUCGAACACAAGACGUGGAAAGAAGAGUAAUUAAAUAAUAACUUUUUAUGACGUCAAGUGAUUGUUUUAUAUAGCUAAGUGACAUUAACUUUUCCAGUGAUCUAAUAAGUAGCGGUCACAGACCAUUAGUCGGGGAAUUGGGUUAUAGAUUCUCCAUAUUUGAGCUUUACAUCGGAGAAACGUCCCUCCUAUUUGCGACCUUCUCUAAUCGGUCGCACUUCAGGGCAUCAAAAACGAGUGCUGCGCCUGUCUGGGGAUGUAACUUGGAAGGGUUUUCUUCCCAACAUCAAUUGGCGCUGCAUUUUCUCGAUCUCAAUAUUCCAUGAAAUGAAUAAAAAUUGCUUUAUAAUCACUUUAGCAUGGGAGUGAAAGUUCUUGCAAUUAUACGGACCUUAUAAAGUGUGAAGUCAUCCACGCGAGUCUUAUCUAGAAGGUCUGUUGGUAAGCUUCCAAACUGGGUUAGCCGUUCUAAAAUCGGUGGGAUUGUUGACUCCAUACAAUUACCAUCAUGAUGUUUUAUAGCUGGAAUUAUAUGAAAUAUUAUUGCUGGUGACACAGGGAUUCAACUCAUAUAACCCUUCUAACAAGCCAAGUGAUCAACACGAAAGCUUCUCUCCAAAGAUCUGUUGGUAGGCUCAUGCCAAACAAUUUCGCAGCGCGUUCAUCGACCUUAUAUUUACGUUCAGGGAUGAGCAAAAAAGAAUAGAAUUGAAAUCAUCCUUCUGUUCUAGUUCAAUAAGUAAUGCAUUUUGUUGUAAUAUAAUGCUGUAUCUUGAAAUUUAAGUCAAUACGAAAUCACUAAAAAAAUAAAUGAGGAACAAUAAAGAGUCAAAGAUUUCUGUGGUUCAGCUUAAGUGUCCGUACAUAUAUCCACGGGGAGAGCCAAUAGCAAAUAAUUCAUUAGAAUUGGAGAACCAAAAUUACAACCACUUAAAUACUCAAAUAUUUCCCUCCUAUUUACGACGUUCCUUAAUCAGUCCCACUUCGGGGCCUCAAAAAUGGGUACCACACUUGUUUGUGGAUGUUAACUUGGAUGGGUUCUCUUCCUAGCAUCAAUCCGCGCUGCAUUUUCUAGAUCUCAUUAUUCCAUGAAAUGAAUAAAAAUUGCUUUAAAUUAUUGAAACGUCUAUAGGCGACCUAACAAUCCUCUAUAACUAUAUUGCUGUAAUUAUCACUAGAAAAACUGCCUAAGGCGAUAAAAAGUUUUACGACAAAAAUAAUUUGGUCACCUUAGGGGCACCAGAGGAGACGAAAUUCGAUUUUGUUGCCGUAGGUAUGCCGAAGGAGACAAAAACUGGUUUCUAUCGAAUUAGGUUGAGUUAGGCGACGUUCGAUUGCGACAAAAAAAACCUUUGUCGCCUUAUUUCCAAGUUGCUAACUCAACCUUUCAGAUUUUUUAAAUAUAAUUUUCAAAUCAGAAUUACAAGAUUUAACGGGUCGCAAAAAGAAACAAAAUUUAAACUGAGUUGUUCUACUUAAGAAGAAAGGCUUAUUAAUUGACAACCCAUAACAACGGGAAAGCCUCCAGUAAUACCGUCAGACAUAGACAAUUCCUAUGUACAUUCGGAUCACGUUAAAUAUGUCCUAAUUGAUUGAUGUUACCGAGAGACUUUGAAAUAUAGUGGCGUAGUCCACUCCGCAUCGAUGGGCUGAUAUUGGUAGAAUUCAAUGUUUUUCGGUCAAGGACAGUGGCUCUAGGACAGCGGUGCACUUAAAUUCUAAUGUAAAGAAGUCAAAGUCUCCUUGAGAUGACAUUAGUGGGGUCACAAAUUCGAUUCUAUUGGUGGAUUUACUUGGAGUCUAGUCUUAGCUUCAAUUUCGGGACGGAAUCAAAAGACCUGCAUAAAGUCCUUGUGGAAAUGUCUGCAUAAUUGCUCGGUUGGAUGAGGAUUUGACGCCACCCCACCUUCCACGGCAGAAGGAUGCAUGAUUGAAGGGGAUUUUGCAAGAAUUGCAGGCUUGGGAUAUCUCUGCAUCUGGCAAGCCGCCCAUCAGCCGCAGAGACUAGAAGACGACAAACGUCUAGUUAAAUAAAAAUAGGGAUGCCCCAAUUAUCUGAUUUUGGCAUAAUUGAAGGCAUGUUUGGCAAUUUAAUCGGCAUCCUACUUUUCUUUUUUAAUUAAUGCUUGCCGUGCGAAAUCAAUUUUGUUGGACUCAGUGGAACGUGAAAACCAAGAAUCAAAUCAUCAUCAAUUUUCUCAUGCGAAUUGACUCUUGAUGACCCACGCUUCCAUAUUCUAAGCCAGAAACUCUGUCUUUACAUGGCAAAAGUAUCGUAAAACACACUUCAUUCUAUGGGACAACGUCCUAAUUACGGGGAAUAGAAAGUGGCUUCACAAAAAAUGAGAAUGCGCUCAAGUCGUCCACGUACUGCUUUUUAUUUCAUCCAUCCAACUUGCAAAGUCAAGUCUCCUCCGUUUUUCUUUCGGGGCAAGCCUCCAUGCAUUGUUCUUCACGGUUGUCGUAUGUCUUUUGUUGUGUAACUUCCAAUGUCAUCUGCAAAGAAACAUUGUCAUUUAUUUGUGUGUCUUUCUCCAACAAUUUUCGGACCGACGGCAUCCUUUAAUCACUCAAUUAAUUAUAAUUCAUGAUAGUACCCACAUCCUAAUAGUUGUUUUUCGGUCGAGCACAACGGCUGUGGGACGGUGAUGCACUUAAAUAAUAAAUGCUAAGAAGUCACGGUAUACUUAGGUCCACAUUUUCUCUUUUCAUCGAUGUUGGAUGAGUUGAAAAGAAUACAAAACAAAUCAUCCUUUAGUCUCAAUUCAAUAAGUAAUGCAUUUUGUUGUAAUAUAACGUGGAAACUAAUAUUAGAUCUUGCAAUUUGAGUCCAUAUGAAAUCACUGAAGAAAUAUAAAAGAAUACUAAAGGACAUCAAAGAUUUACAUAAUUUGAUUCGAGUAUCAAUACCUAUAUACAUGAAAAGAGCUCACAAUAGAUAAUCCAUCAUAAACGGAAAAUCACAUGCUCAAAUAUUUCUCCCAAAUUAGAUUAUACCCAAGCCUACAGUAUUUAUAAAUAAAAUAAUUCGAUUUGAUGUAAACUCACAAUAGAAAAUUCACCGUGGUCAAAACUCCUACAUACGAUCGAGAAAAAGAGUGUCACCCAUUGCGACCCCUUUCUUACUUCGCUGUUCGUCUUGUCGUGGAGUUCAUUACUCGGCUGGAAGGAGUCUUCCGUGCGGCCAAGCAAAGGUACUCCACCCGACAGGAUUCAAGUGUUCCCCUUUUUCUUGUUCUUUUAUAGAAGUCAACAAAUCCACUUUUGACCGGGACCCGUCGAAUUUCAAGCUCCUUUUCUCGCGUGGCUUUUAGACGUCCAACGUACGCCUGGAGUGUCAAAUAGGUAAAUCAAAUCGAAAAUGAUCCAAUUCAUAUUAAUCUAUCUUCAUGAAAUAUAAUUUCGACAAUCCAUACUUAAUUUAAUUCUAACUCGACUCAUACCCAAUAUAACUCAUAUUAUUAAAACAUAUUCAUACUUGACCCUUACCAUGAAAAUAAAUACCAACUCAUUUGAUCCACCUAAAGCUCUUCAUGUUAAUAACUUAAUAUGUUGUUUGGAUAAAUUCUUUUUUAUCAAAUUAAGACAGUAAAAUAACAAAAUAUGAAGAUGUAAGUAAAUAAAACAAAAAAUAUAAAUAAAAAACAAUAAAAUUAAAGAGACGCAAGGUGACUAUGGUCUUUUAUUUUAUUUUAUUUUAAAAAGAUGUCCUAACUUUUCUUUUCUUUUCUUUCUUCUUUCCUUUUUCUUCGCCCGUUUGCUGGUUAUGGUGACUAAUCACAGGUGAGCUCCAGCUUCGCUAUAGUACUAUAUGUGUUUUUGUUGUGCUUUGUCUUUUUCCCCCCUUUACCAGAAGUAAUGUAGCUUGUGCUCAUCAGAUUGAUUUGAAGAAGUUCAUGAAAUUUUCACAAGCAAUUUAUGAUGAAAGUUAUUUUUAACAUUGUGAUGUGAAUCUGUCCAAUUCGAUCUAAUUGGUCAUCCACGUGAUUUCCAGUGCAAGCAAGGACAGAGUUUCUUUUUAACAUUUAUACGAAGUCUCCAACGCAAUUUCUUUUCCACGUUCCCACUGAUCUCACAUGGCUUUUCCCACAGUCGAUGCAUUGAAUGAUUGUAUUGCGAAAGUUCGUGGAAAUAAAAUAGCUCAAUCAGAAGUAGACUCACAGCGCAAGAUCCGCCGUUGUCAACGCUGCUCCGCGCGAUCGAGAAAGAGAGUGUCACCCAGGGCGACCCUCCUUCUUACUUCGCUGUUCGUCAUUUUUUAUCUGGAGUUCAGGACACGGCUUGAAGGAAUUCUUCUGCGCGGCCAUCAAAAGGUACUCCCACCCCCACGGGAUUUAUGUUUUCCCCCUUUUCUCGUUCUUUUAUAGAAGUCAACAAAUCCACUUUUGCCCGGAGCCCACCGAAAAUUGAAGGUCCUUUUUCUUGCGUGGCUUUUACUCCGAUGGUGAGCCGUNNNNNNNNNNNNNNNNNNNNNNNNNNNNNNNNNNNNNNNNNNNNNNNNNNNNNNNNNNNNNNNNNNNNNNNNNNNNNNNNNNNNNNNNNNNNNNNNNNNNNNNNNNNNNNNNNNNNNNNNNNNNNNNNNNNNNNNNNNNNNNNNNNNNNNNNNNNNNNNNNNNNNNNNNNNNNNNNNNNNNNNNNNNNNNNNNNNNNNNNNNNNNNNNNNNNNNNNNNNNNNNNNNNNNNNNNNNNNNNNNNNNNNNNNNNNNNNNNNNNNNNNNNNNNNNNNNNNNNNNNNNNNNNNNNNNNNNNNNNNNNNNNNNNNNNNNNNNNNNNNNNNNNNNNNNNNNNNNNNNNNNNNNNNNNNNNNNNNNNNNNNNNNNNNNNNNNNNNNNNNNNNNNNNNNNNNNNNNNNNNNNNNNNNNNNNNNNNNNNNNNNNNNNNNNNNNNNNNNNNNNNNNNNNNNNNNNNNNNNNNNNNNNNNNNNNNNNNNNNNNNNNNNNNNNNNNNNNNNNNNNNNNNNNNNNNNNNNNNNNNNNNNNNNNNNNNNNNNNNNNNNNNNNNNNNNNNNNNNNNNNNNNNNNNNNNNNNNNNNNNNNNNNNNNNNNNNNNNNNNNNNNNNNNNNNNNNNNNNNNNNNNNNNNNNNNNNNNNNNNNNNNNNNNNNNNNNNNNNNNNNNNNNNNNNNNNNNNNNNNNNNNNNNNNNNNNNNNNNNNNNNNNNNNNNNNNNNNNNNNNNNNNNNNNNNNNNNNNNNNNNNNNNNNNNNNNNNNNNNNNNNNNNNNNNNNNNNNNNNNNNNNNNNNNNNNNNNNNNNNNNNNNNNNNNNNNNNNNNNNNNNNNNNNNNNNNNNNNNNNNNNNNNNNNNNNNNNNNNNNNNNNNNNNNNNNNNNNNNNNNNNNNNNNNNNNNNNNNNNNNNNNNNNNNNNNNNNNNNNNNNNNNNNNNNNNUUUAGACGUCCACCGCGCGCCUUCUCGAAGAUAUUAGAUAAGAGUUUUGCUAAUAAAAGUGUUUUUGCAUAACUGUGAGAGUAACGGAUAAGGAAUGGAUCUCUAAAUAAUUUUCAAUUAUUUGUUAUUUAUUUUUCUUAUGAUCUAGAUCAGACUGUUUUCAUCACAGUGAAUUAAGAAAAAUCACUUAAUCAUUUCUCAUAAAAUAAAGCCAAUCAAUUGAGAGAAAAACCCGCAAUCAAAGCAAAUAUACUCUAUUCCCACCAUACAAAAUCCAAACUUCAAUCGGAUCAAUGGGCACACUAGAUUUGAACAAAUCGAGAUCAUCCAAAUGGUUUGGAUUUCGUACACGUACUAAAACUCGACAUAUAAUAUUACACUUUUUGUUUGCUAUCAAAAAAGAUAUUUUGUUGUUGCCAAUGCAGCAAUCUGUGUUGAUAUGCGCUCUAAAGAGAUGGCAUCACUCCCUCUGUCUUGUUCCACCAAAGUGGGUGAUCAAACAAUAUUCAAGGAAAAUCUUCAAGCCAUCAUCAAAUUUAACUUAAAAAAACAUUAUGAGCUGCCGUAGAGACAACUCAAAGUUGAAUAAUAAAAGAAAAUUAAUAUAUGACAAAGGUCAUAUCAUUUUAUCGUAAUAAAAUUAGUGCCAACUCCAAAAUCCAACUCCACUUUUUGGAGUUGGCCAUCUCGAUCUCGUCCUAAUACAUUCACCACCAACAGACAAUAGUCAUAAAUUUUUGUCUGUAUAGAACGUCUAGUGUAGUUGUUCCGUACUAAGGUGAUAUAGUCAGAAUGGAUGCAAGGAUACGGUAAGGACAUAUUUCGUGUAGUUGAUUACGGUGUACGCGGAUGGGUACACAUUUUAUACGCCCUAUCACUUCAGGAACUGCCCAAGGGAAAAAAAUGUGUUAGUUUAAUUUCAGCACAGGUGUAUUUGCACCAAAUUCAAGUACAACUGUUCCAGCAAGAGCAAGAAUAUAAAUCAGGUGGAUUCGAAUGUGAAGGAUAAACUGAGUUUUGCACAUACCUACAAAUGAGUGUUAAAAUAAACACUCAUGAUAAGAGAGCUUAACCUCCCAUUUUUCUUUAUAAGAUGAUUUGCAGUAUUUCGUUCUUCUUAUAACUCCCCAGAUUUGAUAAAAUUAGCACGCAAUGGAGAGACAAAGACAUUUUUAGUUUUGCUCAUCUUAUAACCAUUCUCCUUUUAGCUAUAAGGAACUUCCUAAAUCUAGCACCCCAUCAUCCACCGGGUAUUCAGUUCAUAUACUACCCAGAAUUACAAAAUGAUUUAACUGGAACCCAAGGAAGAAAACAUAAUGUUACAAUGUAGAUUACCACGAGAGGUUAGUAUCAAUUGGGUGAUCAUAUAUUGCGACUAGGUAAUUGCCUCGCAAGAUUACCCUAGGAAACGGGUAAGGGACUUCUGAGCCCUUUGCAACACCAUGCUAGCUUCUCUCUCAUUUUCGUUAGCAGCAGCUGGCUGUUCUUGAAUCGAAUGUACACUCCUCACAAGCUUUUGCAGCUCCUAUUGGAAGUACAACGUAGGAAAAUAUUCACCAUAAACAUGUUAACCCAGUACUAAUUUUGACAAUGCAACAUAGUAGAUGUCAACCGCGCUAAGUACUGGCAAUUGGCAAAUGCAAAUCUCAGCAAUGGGCAAUGUGUUGCAUUGUGCACUGAAGAACGAUCUAAACAUAAUGAAGUCUGUGCAUGGCAAGGGCAGGCACAUACAUUAUGUUGUGCACGUUACAGAGGAAUGAUUUAGCCCAACCAGGGAUAGGCUUGUGCAAAUGUUACCUACAUGCCCAUGAAAAACCAUCAAUCUAGUUUACGUUGUCAAGAGCAGAAUGUCAAAUGAGAAAUUACUUUCUAUUUUUAGUACAUAAAACCGUCGACACUUGAUAUUGAAUACUUAAAUUCUUAGUGCUCAUUUUUUUUAGUCUUAUCAAACGGCCUUUUAGGCUUCGAAUAUGUGGGCCUAGUUGAGCGCCCAAGAUCACCCAUAACUGAGAGAAUGCGAUGCAGGUGCAGAGUGGGUGAUUCUUGUUUUGAGUGAAAUAAUGGAUAGAAUCAGAGUGUGUGGGAAUGAAUGUCGAUGGGCAAAUGCAACACGCACAUAUCAUGCCGUGAGGUCUAAACGUAUCUAAUUCGAUGAAUAAGGAUUCCAUGGUUCAGGACACUUGGAAGAAAUCAGCAGCUCUCAGUGAAAAUGAAGCCAGGAUUUUACCGUAUGCUUAAGAGAUUUGUAACCAGCAAAGAGUGUUUCCAAUGGUUUCUUGACAACUAAGUAUCAAAUCAAUGACGUACAGGUGAAACUUUCUUCUCUAGGUGAUUGGGAAGCGGACUUCUCGCACCGCCCGUACAUGCUGAACUCGUUUUCCUCAAAGAGGAUGCAAAUGAAACUUUGAGUAGCAGCGGAAGGCAAUGCAGAUUCUUUUUUUCUUUGUCAAGCGACGAAGUUAAAAACCAGGUAUCCCCUCCUCUUCCCCGUGUCCAUGUUCGAAAUCUUCUCUCUCUUUCGUCAUUAUGUUUGCCAACCCAGGCCUCCGAUACCAUUAAAGCUCGCAGCCUGCUCUGGUCACCAUCUUCCAUGGCCUCAAUUGAAGCAUCCAUUAACUCAGGCUCCACUUCUCGCAGCAACUUCCCUUUAAGGAAGUCACAUUGCACAACAAAUCAAUGACACCUCUCGUGCGUAUUUUGUAGAGUAUAACUAAAUAAAACUGCUUUAGCAAAAAGAAAAGGAAAAAAAAAAAAAAGACGGCUUGAGCAUUCAUCUACGACUUUCCCGAGCACAUCAUUAGCAGUUACUGAUCAUUCAUCAAUCUAUGCUCGAGGAAGUAUACUGCAAGUACCAUCCAAGCAUUUUAAAGUACAAGCCGACACACUCAAUUUCAAUCUAAGUGGGAAAAAAGCGGCAGUUGGGAAAGGGCUGCUUACUCCAAGAACUAUUUUACCCACAAAGAACUCAUCGUGCAAUAGCCGAGCAUAGCAAAGAAGAUACCAGGUGAAGCGGCGAGAAAGGCGAAAAGGUACUCACAAACACACACACACACACACACUUAAAAACAUGAAUAAAAAUGUGAUGGUACCAAUGAAAUUGAACUGCCUUCGCUUUCCUUCUCGGACAUCCGGUCCCAGUCUCUGCGGCAAAUUAACGAACAUCACAACGGCAUGAACAAGUGACAACUCAGACCAAAGGCCUCGAGAGAAACAGCCACGCAUUCCAGGAGCAUCGCCUUCCCAAGCAUCUGAGCGUCCAACGCCGCUUGACUCCAGAGAAGCCACUCCGCAAUUCCUCUUUUAAAAGAAUGGAUAAUGAAUCUACAGUGCUACGUUAUUGAACAUCGUUAUCUCCACGAAGCCCGUGAAAGCUCAAAAUCGCGCCGCCUCCAAGACGCAUUUUUUUUCCCCAGCGCUCGGAUCUGGGGAUGGGAAAAGGAAGCGAGUUCCAUGCCCCAAAGGCUCUUCUGGGCGUCGGAGUCGGAGUCGGAGUCGCUGCCGCCAUCUUCUCGGGGGGAUCGUACGACGGCGGGCGGUUGGGAAAUCUGAGCCCGCGCGGCUGAUUAUGGACGUCGCGGAGUGCCGAAUGGACCACACCGUCUGGAACAGACAACGGUGAGGACGCGACGUCGUUCCAAAGGGCCAAAGAGAUAUCUGUAGUGGAUAACGACUCUCGCUUCAUUUUCCUUUUUCUUUGGCCUCUUUUUUUUUUUUUUUUUUUUGGAGCUGUGUGCUUGACAAAUUUCAUUAUUCAUCUUUCCAAUUCAACUCAUAUACAAUUAUACCUUAGUUUAAGAACGGAGUAGGUUUUUAAAAUACUCAACGAAAAGAAAUAAACGGGAGAUCUAUCCUAUAGAAAGACCCCGUAAUGUCACACCUGUAUUUCCUCUCAAUUGGGAAAAAAAAUUAAUUAGAAAUUAGGAGGCCAUGUGGUAGUGAAGAUAAAUACCAUGUCAGGAACUUCAAUUCUUAACUACCGUCAAAUAAGUGGGUAUAAUAGCCUUCUACACCUAGGGUAAGAAGAGGUGGGUGAAAGGCCCAUUGCAGAGUUAACACACCCUUACGAGCAAAGUCAAAUUGACCAACCGCCAACUCUAUAUCCCCAGUUAAUUUGACUUUGCCUACAAAAUACAAAAAAAGAAGACAUAAAAAACCAAGCCUUCAUAAGGGAAAUGACAUUUGAAGCCGAUUAGGCGACAUCUUUAUUCACUAAACCUACAUUAUAUGGUUUAAAGAGACAACUUCUCAACAAUUUCUCUGUCCAUGAAACUUGAUGGCCUUCCGCUUUGGUUUCUCCAUCCACUCGGCUACACUUCUCUCUAGCAUUCUCACGCCUUGCACGAGCAAUUUGGGCCUUCCUAUUUCAAAUGCAAUGUAUGGUAUGGAAAUUCCAAUAACAAUUCCAAAGGCAUAAUCUAUCCACAGUACUUUCUUUUUGAACCAACUCUUAUGUCCUUAGCAAUCAAAAGGUGUUGAGGACAAUGGUGGAGGAGGUUGAGCAUCGCCAGGGCAUGCUUUUGGCCAUGGAGUUCCACAUAAGCCUAGAUUCCCACUAAAUGACUAGCUUGAAAAUGUGCUUAAUUGCUUGUCUUGAGGAAUUUGAGUAGUGAGUUGGUUCUUCAAGAGGUUUAAAUACACAAGAGAUGCCAAAUCUCCUAGUGCUCCCCCGUUAAGCAUUUUCAAAGAUAGAUCAAGCCAUUCAAGUUAGUCAGGUUUCCUAAAGUUAGAGGAUGGAACCAAUAAGGUGGUUGUGCGAAAGAUUGAGCCCUAUGAAAGAGUGAAGAUGGCCAAAAGCUUUAGGAAUGUCUCCUUGGAAAGAGUUGCGCGACAAGUCAAUGGUUGUGAGGACAGUCAAUAUUUUCACUAGCUUAAUCUCUAGCCCUUUCAUGGUCACGAUCACAAAAUUGUCAUAUGACUCCCCUCACAAAAACUUUGUCAUAUACAAUGAUUUGUCUUGCCCAGUUUCGCCAUUCACUAUGGCUUUAAGAUUCAUUAUCAAGUUUACUAGCAAAGAACCACGAAAGUUUUUGUUAGAGAGGUCCAAAAUGUGUAACUUCGCAAAGAGGUGAACUCCCUUAGGAUAUCCAAAAGAUCCUUAAAAUUGUUGGACCUCAAAAUGAGAACUUUUAGUUCUAGGAGUGCUCCCGACCAUCUCGGGAAUAUAUCCUCCAUAUGAUUGUCACUCAAAUCUAGAACUUCUAGAUUUUUACAUUUGACGAGGGACCGAGGUGAUGUGUCUCUAAACCAAUUUCAACUCAUGUCAAGAGUUGUCAAGCUAUUUUGAAAGAAAAUGAUUGAGAACUUAUGCCCUCAAGAUGAUUCAUUCGCAAAUUCAAAACUGAUAGGUCAGUGCUAAAAAUUGUUACGCAUCGAGGCAAGCCACUUGUUAAGCCAUUGUUGGACAAGUUGAUGACCUUGAGCUGGGUGGCAUUGCAUAUCAAAGAAGGAAUCUUUCCCAUUACGUUGUUACUUGCAAUAGAAUAAUAAAAUGUGACACAUGAUGUAAGUGGGAUUUGGCCUCCAAACCUGUUGUUGGACAAAUCUAUUAUAGUCAAUGUGGUGUUUGAGAAAACCUUUGUGAGCCACCAUCCUAUAAAAUUGUUAUCGGAAAUAAAUAAAGAUUCAAGAGCAAGGAAGGAUAGCCUAAAAGAGUGAGGUUAAUCUUACCAUAAAAUUUGUUGGAUUGCAAAUCAAGGUAUUCCAGAUGCGAUGCUUCCAACCAUCAUGAGGGGAUAUCACUAAACUCAUUGUGACCAAGAAGUAGUGUUUCUAAGUUCAUGCAUUUGACUAGGGAGCACGGUAAUGGCCCUUUUAAUUUAUUUUUUCCCAAAUCUAGACUUUGGAGAUAAAUUAUAUUACCAAAAAAUGGAUGUAUAUUCCUAAAGAGAUUAUUGUUAGACAAAUUUAGAGACAGAAGUGAACUCAACUAGCAAAUCGAAGGAGGGAUCUCAUCGGUGAAACCAUUGUGUGAGGCAUCAAAGUCAAGUAUAGAAGGUGGAGGCAUUAGGGGUGGUCCUUGGAGUGAGUUGUUGUGAAGGUCAAUAUAUGACAAACUCUUCCAAUGUAUUUGUUGUAUACCUCCCUCUAGAAAGUUUUGAGAAUGAUCUAAUGCGUCCAAUGUAUCAUGAUUUAUUUCCCAAAACCACUUCAGGAUCUCCUCACUAAUCCUAUUGCACGAGAGGCCUAAGUUUGUUAAUCUUUUUUUAACAAAUAUAAGAAAUAAGGGAACUCGGUCAAGUUGCACGAAGUCAACUCCAGCCAUUGAAGAGAAAAGGAUGAAAGAGAGAGAUUCUAAUAAGUCACUUUUGGUAAUGUACUCAGAUUAUGUGAAAUGUGGGAGCGAGCAAGGUCAUUACUAGAAAGGUCGAGCAUCCAAAGAUGGUGAAGGAGAAGGAGGGAGCUAUUAGGGUGGAGAGUGCUGCAAAGCCAACUGCAAGCAAGAUCGAGAGUAAUAACAUUACCAGUAACAUUGUUGCAAAUUACACCAUGCCACAAGUAGCAAUCUACGUCCUUGUCCCAUGAGUUUGUCUUUGAAGAAGAGUGGUAACAAGAGUCUGAUGCCAUGUUAUCAAGCGUGAAGGAGUUUUUAAAAUGGAGCAAGGCGUUGCGCUAGUCAGAAGGGCAAUGGGAGUGUGGGAAAGGAAGGGGAGGAACGUAGAAGAGGCGAAUGAGAGAAAAAGAGAAAACAAAGUAGGUCGAGGAUAUGAUGCCACCCCAUGAUGCGAUUUAGCAGGCAAGUAAGUGCUCUGACUUCUAAAAUGUGAAGUGAUGGACACCAAGUCUUCCUAUACGACGAGUUCGACAUGUCUUGUGGGUUGUGAAUUAAUUUAAUAUGCCUAUAUCAACCCACUAUUACACCCACCCCAUUUUUCUGUAGUCCUCUAUUAAUCUUAACCCACAUCAGAAAAUGCUAUUAGAUCCUCCCCAUUAUUCAGUCUAGCAUCCGAGUGAGUUUAUUGGUGGUUGGGAUAGGAAUUUAACUCAUAUAGCCCUUUUAAUAAGCCAAGUUCUCUCCACACGUCUGCUCUCAAAGGUCCGUCGGAAGGCUUGUACUAAAUAUAAUUUUGUAGGCUGCAUUCGCUCGUGACCUUCCCAGGUGAAAAAGGAUUAACCUCAGUGCAUAUGUACUUGUAUAGGAUUCAACUACAUCCGUACUGUCUGGCACCAGCAUGGACGUUACCCAGGUAGAUUCGGAUGCAAAAGCAUAAACUGGGUGUCAAAAUAAACAUUUAUAAGAACAGAGCUUAACCUCCCAUUGUUUUUUCUAUCAGACAAUUUGCAUAAUUUCCCUCCUUUUAUAACUCUCCGGAAUUGAUAAAAUUAGCAGGCAGUGGAAAGGUAAAGGCAAAUGAAUAACGUUAGCGGCAUAACUAUUCUCUUUUGAGCCAUUGCGCAGGACUGAACCCAGCACCUAAUUAAAACUGGCACCCCAUCAUCCACCUGGUACUCGGUUCAUCCAUAACCCUGAAUCGUAGAACGAUUCAACCGGACCCUGGAAAGAGAAAAUGUGAAUGUUACAAAAUAGAUUAGUACAAGAGGUGAGUAUCGACUGUGUAAUCAUGUAUUGCCACAACAUAAUUGCCUCACAAGGUUUCGGAGGAAACGAGCAGGGGACUUCCGUGCCCUUAGGAGAGCUAUGCUAGCUUCUCUCUCAUUUUCGGCUGGCUGUUCUUGAGUCGACUGUACACUCUGUACAAGCUUUCGCAGCUCCUAUAGGAAGUACAAGGUAGAAA
rnacentral:lncRNA from 1 species